rnacentral:lncRNA from 1 species
UCAGAUACCUAAGUCUUUUCGGAUGUUCAAACCUACAAAAUAUCCAUUUAUCAGAAGAUUCAGUUAGAUGUUUGUUGCCUUCCUUUCCUGUUUUCUCAUAUAUGCGUGAACUUGAUCUAAGUUUCUGCAAUUUACUUAAAAUCCCUGAUGCUUUUGGAAAUUUGCAUUGCUUAGAAAAGCUAUGUUUAAGGGGAAACAAUUUUGAAACACUACCCAGCCUCAAGGAGCUUUGCAACCUGUUACAUUUAAACUUGCAACACUGCAGAAGAUUGAAAUAUUUGCCUGAGCUCCCUUCACGAACUGAUUUGUGUAUGCCAGAAUGGAGAACUGUUGAAUAUGAAGAAUAUGGAUUGGGAUUAAAUAUUUUCAACUGCCCAGAAUUAGUUGAGAGAGAUCGCUGCACCGAAAUGUGUUUCCCAUGGAUGAUGCAAAUAGUUCAACUCUUAACUCUUUCCUUUCUUGAUCAUUCUUCCAGCUAUUUAAUGCCGUGGUGGGUUCCAUUCAUUUCAAGUAUUAUUCCAGGAAGUGAAAUGCCAAGGUGGUUCGACGAACAGCAUUUGGGCAUGGGCAAUGUCAUAAACAUAGACAGAUCUCACUUUAUGCAGCUUGACGAUAAUUGGAUAGGAAUUGUGUGUGGUGUAAUCUUCGUGGUACACAAAGAAAGAAGAAUGCCCCCUCCAGACAUGGAACAACGUUCAAUUCUUAGUAUUACAUGUGGCCCUUCUAUUCCACCUGAACAAAGAAAGAAAGAACGUCCAUCUCUUUAUAUUCCGGUUCUUUUCCGUGAAGAUCUAGUCACGGAUGAAUCGGAUCACUUGUGGCUAUUCUAUUACACUAGAUCACGUUUUGAUGUCUCUAAUUUUGAUCAGUUAAAAGUGGAAAGUAGAUUCAGUGAUCUUCAUGAUCAAGAUUUGGAUGUUGAGGUGAAGAAAUAUGGCUAUCGUUGGGUAUAUAAACAUGAACUAGAAUUAUCAAACUUAACAGCAAUGCACAGUAAAAAUUUGUCGUCUCGGAAGCGCAAAUUUUUGGCAAUUGAAGAAACCAAGUAGCAAUUGCAAUUCGGCUAGGCAUUCUUCAUAGUGAAGAAUUGAAGACAUAUUUGAAUAUGGAUGCACAGUUGUAGCAGCAGUAGCAAGAUCAAGUUCACCUGGACUUUUGGGGUAAAUAGUCCAAUCAUCUCUUUACAAGGUACAAAUUAAACAAAUUUCACUUUAUUUGAAACUUUGGAUAAUAAGGUGAGAAGAAAUGCAUGGUCUAUAGCUUAAAAAAACAGAGAAAGAAACUCAUGGUCUGUUAUUAGUUUUUAAAAAAUAGAAAUUAAACUAUUUAUUUAUCCAGACACUAUUUCUUGCUUGUCGUUUAAUUUUUUAAUUUGUCUUAUGUAACAUUUCUUUAUUUCUUUCUCCAUGUCUCUCUUCGCUCGACUAUAUACAUGUGUAAUGAAAAUUUAAAUCAUUUCAGAAAAUAUACUUUGAUAUUUGUUAAUUUUAUAAAGGCUAUCUACAAAUUAAGUUAGAUAUAAUCACACUCUGACUUUGAAAUAUGUGUUUUUAGAUUAUUUAGUGAGCUGAUAGUACCACCAUGCGUGUAUGUAAUAACUAAUAAGUCUACUCAAGUAGAGUCAAUAAAUUCAGUUGUUUGACAAAAGAAAGAAGUCAAGUUUGAACUCUCAUUUAUUUGCAUGAAUGAAAUAAAUGUGUCGAAGAAUUUCAGGAUCAAAUUAAUUUGCAUGGUUUUCAUUUAUUUAUAUUCAAAAACAGCUUGAGUUUUCUACUUGUUAAAAAAUGAAUACACUUGAGCAAUAAAAUUAGGAUUAAAUAUUUGCAAUUGCCCAGAAUUUGUUGAGAGGGGACGCUGCACCAGCAUGUGUUUUUCAUGGAUGAACAAAUUGCUCAGGUGAGCACACUAAUUCCUCCUUUCAUCUCUUUCUCUCUUUAUUUUGGUGUAGAAACCAUCACUACUAGAAAAGUGAGCUUUUAGGACAGUCAUUCUAUGAAGGUUCUUUUUGAACUGUCUUAGAAAUGAACCGGUGACAUUUUUACAAUUAUGUACUGAAAAAAGCUUUGUAUGACACACAUUCUAAGACGGUUAUUGAAAACCGUCUUAGAAUGUGUGUUGGUAAUAAGAAUUACGACGGAUUUUAUCAAAACACCAUUGUUAUCUUAAUUGAUAUCGAGACUCUUGGUCUUCAACCUAGCUUGUUUAUCACUUCCCUACCCACUCACGCACUCACUCAUGUCUAUCACUUCCCUCACCAUGGCCGACUCCCUCGUCUAGUCCAACGCUGACCCCGACCUCCUCGCCGCCUUCGAGACCAGCAACACCGAGCUCCUCUGCGAGAUCCACCUCCUCAGCGCCUCGCAAGGCGUCGCCGUCGCACGCUUCCUCAUCGAGAAUCGGUGCAACGGGAAGGCCGUGCAGGAGCUCGCACGUGCAAUGAAGGAUUUCCCUAGCAGGCAUGGGGAUAAGGGGUGGGAGAGCUUCACUCUCGAGAGAGAUUGUCUUUCUUUUAUGUAUUACUGGUAGAGUAGGGAGCAUAUGAACCCGUCGGAGCAGAGGACUUCGGCGCUGAAGCAGGCGUUGGGCUUGGCGGAGACAGAGGCGGCGAGGAAUGUGAUUUUGGAGGAGUUGGAGGGGAAGGGUGUGUCUGAGAAGAAGAUCGAAAAACAGACGGUGUCCCUAAUGGCAGCGUCAUUCAGGUGGAUAUUACAACUACACAAGGAUGUUCCAAAAGCUGCACGAUUCUACUCCGAAGGCUUGGACUUCAGCAUCAAUGUCUGCAGCCUUUGUUGGGCCGAACUCCAAUCCGGUUAUCUCAAGCUUGCAUUCUCCCAAGUACCCUUUCGAUAUUUUGUUCAUUCCAAAUUAAGCCUUAAUUAACAAUGACUAAUAACAAGAUCUUACUUUCUUAUUCAGUUGUUUUUUUAUUCUUUCUUUAUGAUUUUAAAAGAAAUGUUUGGCGUGCAAUAUUGGUCCAUGGAAUGGCCAGCUGCUGAUUCACUCUCAAAUUUCCAUUUCAGUGAGCAGCAGCAAGCCACACAGAAAGGGUACUCAUCGCUUCUAUCAUUUACUGUGACUGAUAUGAACAAUACAGUAACUAAAUUAAUGGCGUUAGGAGCUGAACUAGAUGGACCCAUCAAAUAUGAGGUCCAUGGAAAGGUAUUGCAAUUCAUUCAUAGCUUUGAAUUUCAUAUUGCUGAGGACUUCUAAGUUAUAAGGUCUGAUGUGAUUUUCUUGUGAUUAGAUUGCAGCUAUGCGGUGUAUUGAUGGACAUGUCUUAGGCCUCUGUGAUACAUAACAUAGGAGAUUCAGUAUCAACAAAACCCUCUUUUGGUCUGCAAAACUAGUUUUCUUGGUUAAGACUUUACUGCAAAAUAGACUUUAAAUUAGGCUUCAGUAAGUAUUUGAAUUAAAUAUCCAAUUGCUUUCAGGUUGGAUCUAGAGUUACACAUGGUGCACGAAACUCCAUCAGGACAAACUGCAGUGAUUGGAAUAUUGUAUAAGGCUGGAAGAAGACCAGAUCCUUUCUUGUCAUUGGUAAAUUAAUUAAAUAUGUCACAGUGUCUUUAUAUAUGUCUUUGUUAUGAUUGAAUACUAAAUUUCUUACAUGCACAUACAUCUUUUUUAGUUAACGAACCACUUAAUGGUCAUUUCUAAUAGUACGGGAGCAGAAAGAGAAGUGGAUGUAAUGGAUCCAAGGCUGGUUAAAAUAGGCACAAGCACAACACUGUAUUACAGAUAUAUUGGUUCGCUCACUACUCCUCCAUGCACUGAGGAUAUUGCUUGGACCAUGCUUAAAGAGGUUUGUUAGCUAACUCCACUUUGCAUGAUAUAUCAAUUUAGCGGUAUUUGGAAUAUUUAUUUAUUUGUGUUAUAUUAUAAUUUUUCCUUUUUUAUUAUUUUCUUCAAUAUUUUAUAAUUUGAACACCUGUGUAAUUGAUCAGGUGAAAUCCGUUUCAAAAGAGCAAAUCAGAUUACUUCGGGAUGCCGUUCAUGAUGUAAGUUACUAUAGUUUUUCAUAUAUCUCACAUGACUAAAGGCUCACGAUAUAAACCAGGAAUUUAUAACUGUGUAGAUAGAGAGAGAGGAGUCGUCAAUUUGUAGGAAAAAUAUAUUUGUUUAAUUAUGAUAUUGUAAAAUGAAAUUAAUUAGAAUAUACUAAUAAUGAAAAAGUUUUGUAAUAAUUAAAGUGUUCAAUCAUAAAAUGUCAAUUGAAAAUUACUAAUCUGUAUAAUAAUUAUUUUAAAAUUCAUAUUUAUGAUAAAUUUGCAGGAUUUCGAUGCUAAUGCAAGACCAUUGCAGCCAAUAAACAACCGCUUAGUGCAGCUAAAUAAGCCGAUAGAUAAUCGUUAAAGUUUCAAGACAUUAGCGAGAGCAUAUAUAAAAUAAUAAAACGACCAGAAUAUGAUCUGGGAUUUUGGUGGGAGAGUGAUUUUUCACAUGCACAAGGUCUACACGUGAUUGCUAUUUCUGUAUGUUUAUUUCAUGUUUUAGGUUAUAUAUUUUCAAUUUCAAAGUUGGACAACUUUUUACUAAUUUCCUUUUAUAAUCUUUCGUUAGUAGCAAUAAGAUUCUUGGAAAUUUAGUUAAUUAGCAUAUAUACACGAUACACACAAUUUUGAAUUUGUUUUUUCUUAUUAUAUGUAAAUUUUAUAGCAGUCUUAAAAGAUAAAAUUUAAAAUUCAUAUAAUUUGACAAAUGAUAUACAUAUGUAAAUUUUAUUAAUUCAUUCAGCAAUAAUAUUUUUUUAAAAUCAGUUGCAUUCUUGGAUGUUUAGGUAAUUAGCAGAUAUAGAAGUGGCUUCAUGUGCACCCAUAUUCUUAAGUGUCAAACACUGAAAGGUAAAAAAAAUAUGAAAAUCUCCUUGUGAGUGUGUUGCUUCUUCUAUUGGAUGCAGAGUUAGUGGACAAAUACAAUAAAGCAAAAUGGUAAAAAACAUUGGUGCAUUCAGUAUCAAGAAGAGGUUGCUAGCAAAUCCAAGAAAAAGUCCAACAAUCUUGCUUGCAUUCAAGCUAAAGAUCGUACAACAGGAAGAACAGAGAUUGCUUCUUGUGUCAAGGUUGCUGAGGUAUGGAAUUGAAUCUUUCACUCACUGUUUAUUUGGAGCCACUUUUUGGCACUCAUAUAAGAGUACAACUUUCCAGCCUUAGGAUUGGAUUUAUUUAUAAGAGCCACUCUAAUAGAUGUACUGAAUAUGUAUUUAUCAAACGAUUCAUUGAUGGAUUGGAUUUUUUAAUACUUUUUUAAUGGAUCAUAAAUGAUUUCUUUAUGGUUUCUUCUGGUUCAUUCAUAAUGGCCAAUCCAUAAAGUAGCUGUGGUGAAGGCUGCCAUGGAGUCUUUUUGGUAAGUUACUAAUUUGUUCUGCUUUCAAUUUUCUAAUACAAAUAAACAUAUGCCACAUGAGACCAACUUUCUUCUAAGCAUUUACUUUUUAUAUUUUUCUGAAGAAGAAUGUAUGCAAUAGAUUUUAUUCAGUUAUUGUUUGGUGAGUAUAAAAGAAACAUUUUUAUUAUUAUAAAUGUAGAGUUAUUAACAGAAGUAAACCUUUUUUAUUAAUUUAUAUAAAGGUACAAUAUGUUAGCUUUGUAAAAGGGUCUUUCCACAUCAUAUUUAUUAACUGAAAUCAUAUUUAUAUUAAUUCUUUCCACAUCUUUCUAUGAACUCCUUUCUUACUUUGUUCUUAAUUGUCUUUCAAUACACGAAAACUGAUAUUUCUAGUUGCCUUUGGAAUGUGACAUGACAUGUAUCUAUGAACUUUAAAUUAAAAGCUCAUUUUAGAGUGUGAGCAUUUCUGUUAUAAUUUCCUUCAAGAAAAUACAAUGACAGCAUCUGUUAUUGGAAGAAAAUCUAGACUAUUCUUCUUCAUUCUUGUUGUUCAUAAGAAAGAAACCCCUUUUGUUCAUUCUUGUUGAAAUCAAUGAAUUAUCUAACAGGAAAGGUUUUGGAAGACCCCAUGACUUUGACUGCAUCCAAAUUGACUAAUGGAUCCAAACUCAUGCUUGUGGCUUCCCAAUGUUUAUAUCAAGGGGUAUUGUAUUUGACUAUAUUCACCUCUCUCUAAUCUGGAGUGUUAAUUGAUUUUUUUUAUUUAUCUAUUUUGCUGUGGAGAUAGUGUUCAUUGUUUUUUUUUUCUCAGAAAAAUUUAGAAUUUAGAUACACCAACAUUACAAUAUAAUUUUUUUAAAAAAAAAAUUAUCAUCCAAUCAUAUAUUGUUAGCUUUUGCAAUAACUAUUUGGAAGUUAUAUAUAGGGUGAUCUCUAAUUGGUUGAUGUAAAAAUCUUUACACUGAUAAUGGCAGUGCAUAAAAAUUAAGUUCAAAAUGUUAAGCUAAAAUAAAUUCAACUAUAUCAUGGCAUGAUAGGUCGUAAACUAUGUUGUAUGGUUUCAUCAUUAAGUUAAAUUGUGGCUUUGUGAUUAUGGGGUAAACAGGGAAAUUAUAAAUGUGGAAUCUCCUGCUUGCCUUUCUUUAGAAUGUGGAAUUCAAACAAUUAUUAAUGAAUUAGUAUCUAAAAUGAUAUUAUUUUCUGCACACAUGGGCGUUGAAUUGCAUUGAUGUCAGGCAUGUAACUUUAAAGGGUUUUAACGAGAGAACCAAGGUCAUCUCCAUUUACAAUACUCCAAUUUUGCAGCAGUAUAAGUGAAUCUUUUUGCAUUGGAAUUGACACUACCAACAGAGAACUUCUUCCUCUUUAUGAACAUUGUACAUCUUUUAUUUCCUCUUAUUCUUUGAAUGGAAAUUAACAUUAGUAUUUGUUGCUCAUUUUAGGUUGCAACUUUAAAGGAUGAUGGUUGCCCCAAAGUCUGGGUAGUCACUUCUGAUCACUGUCAUCAGCAAGCAGCACAUGGAGCUGUAUGCUUCCUUCCAAUAAAAUGAAAACUUAAGUGAAAUGGAUGCAACUUGAUUGUUAAUUGUCUUCACAAUUCUUUUCCAGCUAUGAGUAUUUCACUCUCCUUACCAAAAUAUGCUAAUUAAUACCAUCACUUGAUUAUCAAGUAACAUUGUUUGUAUUGUGCUCUGUUUAUUAGUGCAAAAGUUUUAUGAGCCUUUAUUUGGAGUUGCAAGGCAUUGGUUAAUGAGGUAAAACUUUAAUUUGAGGCAGGAUGGUUUUGUAUGUUAUCCUCUCAUAAAAUUUCUUUCUUAAAUUAUCUGGUUUACUUUGUAGAUUUAAAAUCCCAGGUUUUCUAAUGGAAUAUUAGAUUUUAAUAGUUUACAUCAUUUAAAAUUACUUAGACAUGCAAUUAAAUCCUAAUUUUUAUUUGCUAUGACAUGCCUGGUGAUUUUUAUGUUCUUCAAUAAUGUUUUACAUGGUCCCUUUUAUUAAUUGUUUUAGUAGUAGAUCAAGGCAUCACAAAAGGAGGUUGAAAGGAUGCAAAAGACAAAAAAAAUCCAAAUUCAAAAAAUAAAAAAAUUAGCAUUUCUACAUCGGUUUUGACAAGACCGAUGUAGAAUGCUAAUCAUUCUAAGAUGGUCACGUGUGAAAGAGUGUCUUAGAAUGCUUAGCAUUCUACAUUGGUCCCUCAGUGACCGUCGUAAAAUGAUUAGAAUUCUACAUCGGUCCCUCAGUGACCGUCGUAGAAUGAUCAGCAUUCUACAUCGGUCUUCUAGAGCCGACCGUCGUAGUUUUCUCAGCAUUCUACAUCGGUCGGUGACAACCAUCAUAGUAUAGGCAACUUCUUUUAACGAUGUCCCCUACUACGAUGUUCGUAAACCGAUGUUGUUGGUGCCGAAUAACCGAUGUAGAAGGCUGGUUUUCUAGUAGUGCAUGAACUAAUAUAUAGUUGUGUAUGUGGUAUUAGGGGCCUUGAAGAAAUAGAAUGAUAUAGCAUUCCACUUCUUUUUCGGGUAGAUCUCGUCAUUGUUGACUUCUUGACAAGUAUAUCAAGCUAUAUACGUAGUAGUAAAACGGUAAGACCGUGUAUUGAAUUCCAUAGGAAUUAUGCUUGUACUCAGAGUUAUAUAUACAUAUCUAACGAUUAAGCAAUUAGCGACUCAAAUCGAAUAUUGUUCAUUGAUAAACUGCAAGUAUACUAAAAUGAAUUAAUUAUCAAGCAAGGAAAAUGUAAGGUUAAGAAAACAAAUGCUCAAGGUUGGGAGAUGGUGUUAUGAUGAGUUAAGGAACAUGUUUGGGGCUCCAUGUGCCAAAAUCAUUCUUGAUGUAAUCUUAAUAUUUUUUUUCUCUUUUUAACAUGCAUAUGAUUAUUGCCCGCACCUUCUAACAUACUCUAACAUUGAUCCAUCAAGUGAGAGUUUAAAUCACCUAAUAUCACUCCUAAUCCCUUAAAAGUUAUAUUAAAUAAUUUGCAUUACGAACAAAGAUUCAUACAUAGGCUAGACAAUGUCACUCUAUCCCUAGACAUGGAUUACUUAGAUGUUCUUCCCAAGUUUUUAGCUUAUAAACAUUUUCAGAUAUCUAAAUCCUAAAACAAUGCAAGAAAAUGGAUUAUCAGACCAUAAACAUGUGAAUGAGCACAGAGAAGAACAAUAAUAUCAUAUUAAUAGAUAGUUUAGAAUCAUUACAUCAAAGAGAAUUUGGUUUGCAGAGCUCCCAACAAUGGGUGAUUUUAACUUUUCAAUAUCAUGAGAGACUUACAAAUAUAAAUGUGAGAUGAAAGGGAAGAAAUGAAAGAGAAAUGGAUUCAGACAGAUCAACCAGCGCUCCAGGAACUGAUUUCCUUCAGCAAUGGCUUCUUUGCUUCCUUGCUCCUCUGCUCCCCUGCUUCUUGUUGGUUUCUUCGAUGUUAAAGAAACAAUUGUUUCCUUUCUUUUUAUAUGCUUCAGCAACUGACCUCCAAUCUGAACUUUCUUGUGCGUUGAACACGAUACUUGCACUAAGCAUGCAUGUCCUACUAGAUCAAGUGACCACAUGCUAAGUGCAGGAUGCGCACUAUGCGCGCUUUCUCGUGACAAUUGUCUUCCAAUGUAGCUUCCUAAGCUAAGCAAUUUGUUUGGGUUGAGCAGUUUUGACUUGCUGAGCGAGGAAGUCACUAUGAGCGUGACACUUCAAUUCAUCAAUCCUCUUCCAUGCCUUUGUUACAUCUCUAUACAAAAUUACUAUAAAUUCAUUAACUUUAGCAUCUUUUGAAUAAAUACUCAGAAGAAGCUAAGUUCUUAUUGUUUCAACACAAAAUAAGCAAUAAAAGAGAAGAAAAUGAAAUAAUUGUAAUGUGAUUUUAGUAUACAAAUGAUGUAUGCAUAGCAUUUAUCAGUCGUAGAUGAAUCAGAUCAUAUGUGGCUAUUCUAUUUCACACAACCAUGUGUAGUGAUAACUGUGAAAUAUGAGUUAAUUUGAUAGUCAAUUUUGGUUAAGAAUAAUUGGAAUUUCUCUAGUUUACUGUUAUUUUUAAUGAAGUAAUAAAGAACUUAAUAUCUUUGUAGUUUUUUAUUAGCAAAAGUUAAAAAAAAAGAAGAUUUCAAGUGCUUUGAAAGAAAAUUGAUGCAAAAAAUGGAAGAAAAAGCCUUGAAGAAAAAUUAGAAAAAUUGGACAGCUUGCUUAAUGUGCAAUCUAGGUUUAGCGCGCACCCUCGCUAAGCAAGAAAGCAUAGGCUAGGUGCAAAGAAGGCUCACGAAUGUUUGCGCUAAGCGUGAGGUCGCAUGAAAAUUAAGCUACCUUAAACCUAUAAAAACAAUAGAAAGCAAAGGAGAAAGACACAUAGGGAUACCAGUCCCUAAACCACCCUGGAGACUCAAGACUCUCUAAUGAAUGCAUCUUAAGUCUAAGUAUCUCUAAUAGAGGAAACUCUCUUUCUGUGUCUAUUAACCCCUUUUCCUGCUCUAUCAAUUCUUCUUCUUCUUCUUCUUCUUCUUCUUCUAUCUGCAUCAGCCCCUAAAGUGUAAAGUCUCUCAUGACAAUAAGAGGCUAAACUCCCUUAGUUAGGGUCUGACAAGCCUAAAAAGUAAAAAAAUGUGUUAUAUGUUUUAUAUCUAUCAAUCCAAAAUGUGUUUUUUUCUUGUUAUCCUUUCUUAUUUUAAUUUCAUGUAUCAUUCAUUCUUGUAUCAUCUUUAGGGAUUAGACACUCGAAAGAGGAUAAUCCUUAGUAGAAAUACAAGGAAGUCUUAUAUGCAUUAGUUUUAGGGAUUUGUCACUCGAGAGAGGAUAAUUUCUAAUAGAACUCAAAGGAAGAUAUAUCUUAAUAAAUUCAUUGCUAGACACAGAGUGAUUGCAUUAUGCUCAUGCAUCAAAGCAAACAUCUUAAUAAGAUAGGUUUGUCAUCAUGAGACAUUAGGGGUAAAGCAAGUAUUUUAAUAGAUGUGAGUAGGAAAAGUUCACUCAAUUGAUAGAGAAAAAUCUAAAAUAAUACAUCUUAUGCAAAUAAGACAUGUUAGAUCCCAACAUUAACAUAUUUUGAAUUCAUUUUUUUUUCAUUAUCUUUAUCUUUUACUUUUCAUAUGUUAUCUAUUUUAUCUUCUACAUUUCUUAUCUUUUACUUUAAUCACUUAUCUCUUUAAUUUUUAUUUAUUUCCUAAUCUUCUAUUUUAAAUUUUUGACAAAAUUGCAUUUUUGGUCCCCCAGUUUAUCUCUAAUUUUGGAUUUGAUCCCACGGUAAUUUAAUUAACGAAUUUGAUCUCCCUAUUUUAUAAAAUCCUGCAAUGUUGGUCCCGGACGGCUCAAUUGGACGUUGAUCGUUAAGUAGUGAUGUUGACUGCCACGUGUCAUGUUCUUAUUAGAUGAUAACUUCCACGUGUCAUGUUCUGAUUAGUCAAUGAAAACAAUAAUGCAUUUCAUCUUUCAUGGAGUUGACAUCCAAUCAGAACAUGACAUGUGACAAUUAUCAUCCAAUAAAAACGUGGCACAUGGCAUUCAACAUCACUACUUAACGGUCAACAUCCAAUUGAGGCGUCCGGGACCAAUAUUGCAGGAUUUUAUAAAACAGGGGACCAAAUUCAUGAAUUAAAUUAUCGGGGGACCAAAUCCGAAGUUGUAGCUAAUGUGGGGGACCAAAAGUACAAUUUUGCCUAAAUUUUUUAUCAUUCAUCUCUCUUACUUUCUUUAAAUUUUACAUGUAAAUUUUUUAUCUCUUGCUUGUAAAUUGGGUUUGCAUAUAUCUAAGUAUAAAUAAAGUUCAUGUGUUGAACUUUCGAGUACUUUAUUAUUUAUGACAAAUUGAUGCACUUGCCAACGAGUUAACAUGUAGUCCCUCGAACAAGAAUUUUCAUGGUAAUUAAUUGAAAUUGGAUUUUGGAAUAGCUAGUGGUCCAGGUUUUAUGUUGAGGUUAAGAAAUACCAGUAUCAUUGGGUGUUUGAACAGGAUCUACAACUAUCAAACUAAACAAUUAAUGAUACACAACAAAAAUGCAUUGCCUCAGACGCGCAAAUUUUUGGCAAUUGAAGAAAACAGGUAGUAGCAAUUGCAACUCGGCUAGACUUCUAUCAUAAUGAAGAUAUGGAAGCAUAGUUAAAUAUGGAUGCAUGAUUUGCAACAAACAUUCCAAAAAAAGGAUGCACGGUAGAAGCAACAAGUAGCAUUCAAUUUUACCAUCACUUCUGGUUUUGGAUAGACAAUCCAACCAUCUCUUUACAAGAUGCAAUAUUGUUAUAGUAAAUUCUACUUUGUUGGAAUAAGGUGAAAAGAUAUGCUCAUGGUCUUUAUUAUUUUGUAAAAGAUUCAAUAUUGUUAUAGUAAUUUUUAGCUUGUUAUUUUGUUCCAGGCAUUAUUUUAUACUUGUCAUUUAAUUUUUUAAUUUGUUUUUGCUCUUUGCAUAUUAUUUAUUCCUCCUCACAUCUCUUUCUCUCUCUCUUUUUGUGGUGUAGAACCCGGGAACUAACCUAUAGUUGUGUCUGUGGUACUAGGCAGACCCCAAUACAAGCGUGAUGAAUGUUGAUGGUUGUUGUGGCCACCGCACAUUUCAGGUAUUAUUCCAACAAGUAUAAUACCAAGGUGGUUCAACAAUCAGCAUGUGGGACUGGAUGGUUUCAUAAAUAUAAGAGACGCAUCUCACUUUAUGCAGCAUGGCAAUAAUUGGAUAGGCAUGUGUAGCAGAAAUUCGUGGUUCAUAAUGAAAGGGGAAUGGGUCUUCCAAAACCUGAACGAAAAUUCGUGGUUAUGCAAAAAUUAAUAAUAUUGAUACAAAAUGGUAAUGCACCAAAUUGUAUCGGAUAACAAUGUAGCAAACUGUCAAUAAUCUUAUUGUGAAUUCAUUUAAUUUUGUAUUGGAGACAAAGGAUAAGUUUCAGGUACAACUGCAAUAUUUGUAGACCAAAACAUUGUACAUACCUAAACAAUUGUAGACCAAAAGAAUUGGUAUACAGUAAUCUGCAAUUCUGCAUCACUAUGACAUGAAACUCCAUAGACUAAUUUAUGGAACAGUGAAUUUUAAAACAAUUAUAAGUAACACAUGGGCCUGGAAAUCAACAAAAACCUCAAUCAGCAACAUAUUUGUACCACUACAUUAUUUCCAGUCUGCAUGUAAUUAAUGCCAAGCUGAAGCUGAAAUCAAAUUUCUGUCCUUCCAUCCCACUAGCAUGGCCCCAUCUUUCUCCACAAGAUUAUAAUGUUCUGGAUACCACCUCAGCAGGCUUUUUAUGACAAAAUUCACAUAAGAACCCAAAGGAUAUUGACGAAAGCCAGCAAUUGUUAAUCUCGACUUCCACUUUCCUAACAGCUCAUGUCUCUCUACCCUUUCUUUCCCUUCGCAAGCAAUAAUGUUGACAAUAUUCCGAGCCAAACAAUGUUGCUCCACAUUAACCCGCUGCUUGCUCUUUCUUGGAAGAGACAGAUCAAUGGACUCGAGCAUUGCCAAGUAGUAAUCCAAGGUUUCUAUAAACCUGUUGAAGAAGGGAGUUGGUAUUCGUUGUGAUUCUGAUUGCUAUAACAACAUCGGAGUAAUAGGUGAUCCCAUCACAAAGAGAGGAUGGAGGAAGUGCAGAGAUGGAGAGAAGCUCUCACACGUGUGGCUAAUCUAUUUGGUUGGGUUAUCGGAAAUGAGUCUCUCAUUUCAUGAUGAAUUUUCAUUUUUUUACUUAUAUUUGCAUUAGUCAUAUUUUUAAAAAUUUUCAGGUCAUACUAUGUAUACAUUCCAGAAAUGGUUCUGAAGGUGACAAAUAUAUUAUAUUAGGUCACAUAUUUUCUAGUCUUCCAUUGGCAUGAAAUUUUGUGUUAAAGAAUAGACAAAGGUUUACAUUUGGGUUGGUUAACGAUGUUCAAGUUGUCAGAAUUUGCAACGUGAGUGUGAAAUAGGAAAAACAAUUAUUGAUCGCACUUUAUAUGAAAUAAUCUAUCUUCAAUGAGAUUCUUUUAUAUUUUACUGAUGGUAUGAGCUAGUUUCAUCAAAAGAAGGAUAAUUAUAUUUGAGCACCCACAAAUUACAAACAUCCCAUCAACAUUUAAUUUCUUUUUAUCUCUCUCUUCCUACUAUAUUACAACAUGAAUAAAAUCAAUCGCUUAUUUAUUCAUUUUUCCUAUGAGUGAUUAGACAUUUAAAAUUAAAUCAAUAACUUAUUUCUCCCCUCUUCCCGUCUCUCCUAGGUGUACAAAUUUAAAGGGGUAUCCAAGCAUCAUUCACCCUUUGUCAAAAACAUAAAUAUUGUUGGACACCCUACACAUGCAUAGUUAGACAGAAAAAAGACUAUAAAUAUUAUAGAGUUUAUGAUGCGAUGGGAAAAAAAUAGAAAUAAAAUAAAAUGUGUGUGACGAAGUGUUUAAAAUAGAGUGUUCAAAUAUCAUCUCUCUUUUAAAAAAAGUUCAAUUAUAUUUUUUGUGGCACCCUCUAUCCCACACAUAAAUGUACUAAUAAUAAAAGGAAUAAGAAAUUAGAAUUAAUUAAAAGUUUUUAAAACACAUUUAAAUAAAAAGUAUUUCAAAAGGGUAAAAAGCUCACAUUGAUCACUUUUCUAACAUCAUAAUAAAACUUGUUCAAAUAAAUAAUAAAAUCAUCUUGACUCAAAAUAAAGUUGUCCAAGACUUCAUGCAAUUAAUACAAAAACCUAUACCCAAAUGUCACAUCUUAUCAGCUUGUAUUCAUGUGUCCUCUAGCUUGAUGUUCUCCAUAGUCAUUCACCGAACAAUUUGCUCUCACGAACACAAAGUUCGAGAUCAUCACAGGAUCCAAACAGAAAUAGCACGCGGGGAGUGAGUUAUCACAUUCCUAGCUAAUAGAGAGAAAUGUGACAACAUAUAUAUAUAUAUAUAUAUAUAUAUAUAUAUAUAUAUAUAUAUAUAUAUAUAUAUAUAUAUAUAUAUAUAUAUAUAUAUAUAUAUAUAUAAAUGAGAUAUAACUUACUUAACAUAGCUCACGUUAUUCCACACUUUGUCACGUAACAUUAUAUUACAACACAACACGUUUCAUUCAUUUUCACAACAUUCACGUACUCAAGGAUAAUAAAAACAAUAUCACUAAAUCAAUCAAUAUCGAUCAAUACACAAGAAUUAUGCAACAGAUACACUAAGACUUAAUCCUAUAGUCGUGUGAUUAUACGAUUCAUAGCUCGCAACUCAGUUCACACGACAUCUCAAUGCACAUAUAUAUUACAAGUCAUACAUACUCAAUUUAUCACAUAGACUCGAUCUUAAUCACAAUGGUAUAAUCUCAAUUUAACAUGUUAUCAUACCUCAUGAAUCAUAUACACUUUACCUAUAAACUAUACAAUACAUACAGCUACUCAAUUGUUUUCAAAAUCAUUUUAACUCGUCGCGCUUGUGAUUAAACUCGUAUGGUCCCUUCAGUGGUUCCCAUCACAAUACUUUUCACACAUUAACUCGUCGCCUUAAAGGGUUUUAUAGUUGUGUGAUUAUACAAUUCAUAGUUCACAACUCAAUACAUACAUCUCAAUGCACAUGUAUUUCACUAUUCAUCAUAGGUUCCAUUUUUCACAUACUCACAAUUUGAAUCACAAUUUCAUAAUUUCAAUAUAACAAUUUAUACAAAAUGUUUCUCACAACAUGGGGGUAAAACCCCUCAAACAAUUCCACAUAAUCAUAUUAAAAUCAAUGAAUCAAAAUCAUAGGUCAAAAACAUGAAAACAUCAAGAGUACACAAGUUUAUCAAUCAAUUUGCAUCAGAAUAUAAAUUAGUCUAUCAAACACAACAAUAUUAUAUUUAUAAUCAUAAAGGAAAAUUAUAAUUCAAUAAACAUCCCAAAAUAAACCUCAAUUUAAUCUUUUAAGGAUUCCUACACGUGUUUAUUCUAACUUCAAUUGCGAUAAACUCAUCCCUUACCUCUAAGUGGGCUCAUGUGUGUAGUCCGCCAGUGAUAGCGGUAUCUCUAGCAAUUUCCUAAGAUUCCUCAAUUUUUUCCUCUGUUUGCUCUAUUAGGGUUUUCAAGCAUUAGAGAGAAGGGGAAUCAAUUGUAGCCUCCAUUUUAAUAUCAACGUGUGAGACUAAUGUCUCUCUGCAAAAACAUUAUUUUGCAAAUCCCAAUAGUGAGACAGUGCAAAAAUGUGGUACCAAGAUAGUGUCCAAAUUUCAUGAUGAUGAAGCGGUUAAAGAGUUCGGGAUCGUAGUUUUACUCAGACAACUUUUGGGUGUCUAUGGGUAAAGGAAAAACUCAGUGUGACGGAAAUUUCUUCAACAACAGACAUUAUUUUUGCAAUCAAACGGUGGAUUUGUGCAAAAAUAAUUUCCAAACCUCGUGUUUAAAUUUCAUGACGAUCCAACGGUUAACAAGUUUGGGAUCAUCAAUGUGACACCCUCUACCCCUCACAUAUAUACUAACAAAGGAAUAAAAAUUCAAAUAUUAAUUAAAAGUAUUGUUUUUUAAAACAUUUUUAAAUACAAGUCUUUCAAAGGGAUAAAAGGCUCACAUUCACUUUCUUCUACAUCAUAUUCAAACUUGUCCAAAUAAAUAAUAAAGUCAUCUCGGCUCAAACAAGGUCAUCUAAGACUUCAUACAAUUAAUAUAAAAUCCUAUACCCCAAUGUCACAUCCUAUCAGAGCGUUGUGUCUCGACGUCCUUCAGCACAAGAUUCCUUAAAGCAAUUUACCUAGUCAUCUGCUCCCCCGAACACAAAGAUCAAGAUCAUCACAAGAUUCAAACACAAAUAACACACAGAGAGUGAGUUAUCACAUUCCUAACUAAUAAAGAAAAGUAAAACAACAUAUAGGUAUAAAUAUUAUAUAACGAAAUACAAUUUACUUGAGCAUAACUCAUGUUAUUUCACCACACGCCUCAUUCAUUUUUACAACAUUCACAUACUCAAUAGUUAAAACACAAUAUCAUCAAAUCAAUCAAUAUAGAACAAUACACAAGCGUUAUGCAACAGAUACACUAAGACUCAAUCCUAUAUGCAAUGUGGUACCAUGUCAAUGAAAAACCUUGUCGGGCGCCUAGGAGUACAUGACAAGACAAACCACACACUAGCAAGUCAAGUCACUCUCACUAGGUAAUAUCAUAGGGAGACCAGUCAGGGUCACAGUGUUUUGCGAGAAUGCUCCAACCAUAUGGGAUCAACAUAGGCUUAAAGGAGCACUCAAACCGGGUGACCCCAAAGGCCUACACUCCGAAAAUUCCGUCAGGGCUUCUCCCUCCAGAUUCAGGUCCAACCCAGAAAAUAUUUUAGCACACAAACUCUAUCUAUGAAGUGUACAAAACACACGACUCUUCAAUUGUUCUCAAAAUAGUUUAUCUCAUCGCCCUUAAAGGGACUUAACAUUAACUUGUCGCCCUUAAAGGGACUUAGCAUUAACUCAUCGCCCUUAAAGGGUCGUAUGGUCGUGUGAUUGUACAAUUCAUAGUUCACAACUCAAUGCACACAAUAUCUCAAUGCACAUAUAUAUCUCAAUCAUAUACAUACUCAAUUUAUCACAUACACUCGAUCUCAAUCACAAUGGUAUAAUCUCAAUUUAACACGUUAUUACACCUCAUGAAUCAUAUACACUUUAUCUAUGAACUAUGCAAUACACACAAUUACUCAAUUAUUUUUUUCAAAAUCAUUUUGUCUCGUCGGGUUUCUACAGUGGAUCCCAUCAUAAUACUCGUCGUCCUUAAAGGGUCUUACAAUUUUGUGAUUGCACAGUUCAUAGCUCACAACUCAAUACACACAUCUCAAUACACAUUUAUUUCACCAUUCAUCACAGGUUUAAUUUAUUACAUACUCAUAAUUUGAAUCACCAUUUCAUAAUCUCACUGUAACAAUUUAUACAAAAGGUUCAUCACAACAUGGGCAUUAUAAACCCUCAAAUAAUUUCACACAAUUAUAUCAAAAUCAUGGGUCAAAACACAAAACAUCCAGAACACUCAAGUUUAUCAAUUAAUUCUUAUCAUAACAUCAAUUGGUACAUAAGGACAAUAAUAUUGUAUUUAUGAUUGUAAAGGAAAAAUUAUAGUUUAACAAACACCCCAAAAUAAACCCCAAUUUAAUCUUCUAAGUAUUCCUACACAUGUUCUCACUAAUCUCCAAUUGUGAAUAACUCAUCCCUUACCUCUAAGCGGACUCACGUGUCUUCUGACAGCGAUAGCAGCAUCUCUAACGAUUCCAUGAUAUUCCUCCAGUUUUUCCUCCGACUACUCCGAUAGAGUUCUCAAACAUCAGCGAGACGGAGAAGGGAUUAAAGCCUCCAUAUGUACUGUCUUCGUGCGAUUCCUUUUUCUAUCUCCACGAAUAUUAUCUCGCAAAUCCCAAUGGUUAAAAUGUGUAGAAUUGAAUCGCAAACCACAUAUCAAAAUUUCAUGAAAAUCCAACAGUUAACGAAAUCGGAAUCGUAGUUUUACUCAGACCGUUUUGGGUUUUUACGGGAAAAGAGAAAGCUACGGUGUGAAGGGUAUUUAUCUUAGCUCUGACAUGAUUUUGCAAUUACCAACGGUGAGAAUUCUCAGAAUUGGGUUUUAAAUGUGGUGCUCAAAUUUCACAACGAUCCAACGGUGAAUGAGUCUGAGAUCGUCGUUUUUCUGAUAUAGGUUUGGUGUGCUACAGGAAAAAGAAAGGGUUUUUGAAAGGAGAAGGGGAAAAACGAAAAUGAGGAGAAGAAGAGGCACCGUCAAUGUGAAAACUGACCUAACUCUAUUUAUAGCUAGGUUUAGUCUAUUUAUUUAUUUAUUAUUUUAUAAACACAAACGCUAUUUUAUUCUCUAUCAAACAAACAAAUAAAAUAUCCUUUUUAUUUUCUCUCAAAUCAUUAUUUUAAUUAAUAAUUAUAUCUCCUUAUUUAUUUAUUUAUAAAAGCUCAUCAUUUUUCUAAAACUCCAUUUAUUUAUAAAUAACAAUUCUUUUUUUAAAUUAGCUUACGAAAAAUGAGAUGUUACAAUCAAUUUACUAAGACAUGUUUAAGUGUAGGCGGAAAAAGAAUAGGAUUUUCAGAGAGGAAGAAAAGAAAACGAAAUUGGGAGAAAAAGGAAGCAUAGGGACAUAUCAUGUCUCAAAACUGACCUAAUAUAUAUCUAUUUAUAACUAGGUACUCUCAGCCUUUUAUUUACUCCAUUUUUUUAUAAACAAAUAUUCUAUUUUAUUUUCUAUCAAAUGAAUAAAUCAAAUACCUUUUUUAUUUUUCUUCAAACCAUUAUUUUAAUAAAGUUAUUUCUCUUUAUUUAUUUAAUUACAAAAAACUCAUCAUUUUUUUCUUCUAAAAGUCUAUUUAUUUUAAAUGAAAUACCUUUUUAAUUUAUUUCAAGAAAAAUGGGAUGUUACAUUUUUUGCCCUUAAAUUUAAUUUGAAAUUCAAUUUGAUUCUCUUAUUAUUUUAAGGUUCAAUUGGUGCUACGUUUUUUAAAAAUGAUUUACUUAGAUCCUUUAUUUUUAAAAGCUUCAAUCAUGUCCUUUCAUUUUUAAUAUGUGUUCAAUUUGAUCCUAUUUAAAAAUAAUUUUGAUCUUUUUUAAAAAAAAAAAUUGAAAAAAAUGGGAUCAAAUUGAAUUCAUUAAAAAAAUAAAGGAUCUAAUUGAACUUUAUUUUAAUUUACAACAGUUUAUACAUCAUGUUCAACCAACUAAACAAGAUUCUUUUGGUACCUAAUUGUUCCUUAAAAUAAUAAGUGGACAAAAUCAAAUCUAAAAGAAUAAAUUAGAGUAUCAUAAAAGUAAUUUAAUAAAAAAAUGCACAAUUAGGGAAUUCUACAUAAUUAUAUUAGUUUCGCGGAAAGGAGAGUAGAAAAUUAGGUUGGAAUGUUGCCACGAGGGAAAAAAAUGCCUAAACUAAAAACAGGGGAUGUUAUAUAUGACUAUGUUAGACUGGGAGAAAGGGAAGUUGGAAAAUAAGGUGUGAGUGCGAUCAUAUUAGCUUCAAUCAACCAACCUAAUAUUUCUUCACUGCCCACACUUGGUUUGUGUACAGAAGCACUUAUCCCUGCUUCCUUCAACUUCUGGAAUUGCUUUGGCUUCUAGCACCAUCAUCCAUGCAAUAAGAACAUAUGACGUGUUUGUGAGCUUGCUCGGUUUAGACGCACGCAAAAAUUUCGCUACUCUCCUUCUUCAAGCUCUCCAUAGAAAUGACAUCGAUGCCUUCAAAGAUAAUGUACAUUGAAAGGUGAAUUCAUCGAAUCUGAGCUGUAGAAGCCCAUUGACGGGUCAUCCAAAUUAAUUGUGGUCUUCUUAAAGAAGUAAGCUUCCUUUACUUGGUGCUUGCGUGAACUUGCACACAUCUACAUCUGUAUUGAAACAUCAACAAGACCAGUUCUGCACAUUUUUUAUGACGUUGAUCCAUCAGAGGUAUGAAAACAGAAUGGAUAUUAUGAGAUAGUCUUUACUGAACACAAAAGAAGAUUUAGAGAAGAUGGAGGAAGUGAAUGUCAGAAAAAAUAAAAGGAAUAAAUGAGAAGAAGAUGAAAAGCCUUAAACUAAAUAACAAAAUAACAGUAGGAAAGUAAUUUUAAAAUAUGAUAGCACAUGGAUUAACAAUACAAUAUAACAUAUAACAAGUACAAAUGAAAAUAAUUUUAAGGAAGAAAAUGUUAUCCUUAGAGAUAAAAUGUUAUCCUUAGAGAUAAAAUGUUCUCAUUACUAAAAAAAUUUGAUUGCGCUCCUCUUUCAAGAUACAACAAUCGAUUCCAAUCGUGUGAAGCAAAAGGAUCCUCGCACAUUCUGAACACUCAUUCUGUUGCUCUAAAAAAAAUGCAAAUUAUUUUUCUGCUUGUGUCUUUUAAGAGAGUGAUAUUUGUAGACACAACUCAAGUGUAGCAUCUUAAAAAAAUUGCAGCACUGUUUUGGAUGUUACUCAGAUAUAGUUGAAACGAAUGACUGAGCUUAACAAAAAAAAUCUUGUUAUAUUAAAAAAUCAAAACAGAAAAAAAUAUAUUUUAUUUUAUAAAUAUAAAUUAAUAUAAGUAAUAUAUUUUAUACAUUUUAAAUUAUAAAAAAGUAUUUACUAACAGUGAAGAGAUGGAGAGAAGCACUCAGACGAGUGGCAAACCUCACUGGUUGGGAUAUCCGAAAUAAGAAAGUAAUUAAUCUUAAUCUUAAUUUCACCAUUUCUAACUUUCUAAGUCACUCGAUUUUAUUAAAUUUGCUAUCCUUUUGAAAACUACGGUUGAGAGAGGUUGAGGAGGUAACAUGCAAGCUGAGUCCAAAUUAAUACAUGUUUACUGCAAUAGUAUUUAAAAUGUCAAAGAGUACACUGGUAUUAUCUUGUCCUAUACAUGAAUUAUCUGUUGUGGUUCUGACAAUAUUGCAAUCUUAAUUUUCUUUAAACUUUCAGGCCACAACCUGCAGAGAUUGAACGAAUUGUCCAAAACAUAAUAAAUAUACUUAUAUGAAAGAAUCCCGUGCUUCACGUGUAUACAACUCAGGCUGAUAAAUCCAUCCAUUGGUCAUCUAAGAAAGCUUGCUGAUUUAAAUUUAAAAGAAUGCAAAAAUCUAGUAAGCGUACCCAACAGCAUGUUGGAACUGAAUUCUCUAGAACACCUAAGUCUUUUCGGUUGUUCAAAACUGUAUAAUAUCCAUCUAUCAGAAGAAACAUUGUGUGUAUUGCAAUAUUGGUGGUACGUAAUGACAGGUCAAUGACAUGAAACGUCCUGGUGACUUUGAAUUUAAAAUAUAUGAUGAUCAAUAUUUUCAUGUUGAGGUGAAGAAAUAUGGUUCCUGUUGUUGGGUACAUGAACAGGAUCUACAACUAUCAAAGUUAACCGGUGAAAAUUAGUUGCUUCGGAAGCUCUAGUGUUAAUAAGGUGAGAAGAAAUGCUAGUGCUCUGUUAUUAUUUUUUAGAAAUAGAAACUAGAAAAUAAACUAUUAUUUGUCCUGACAUUAUUUCUUACCUGUCGUUUAAUUUUUUAAUUUGUCUUUUGUAACAUUUCCUCUCUUAAUUUGCAUGCCUAAUAUAUAAUUUCUGAAAUGCAAAGCCAUAUGCAGUCACAUGAGUGUAAUAAUGUUAGCCACAUCCGCAAUUUUGGCUCUCAUUCUUAAUCUUUUACUCAUCAAUUUCGUACUUUCUUUCACUCAGCAAUGUUAGGCUGCAUACAAUUCUCUCCUCACCCACUCUUUCCAUUAUAGUUAACUCAUUAGAUAAUUAAUUAUAAUUAAAAUGUAUUUGUAAUAUUCCAUUUAUAAUUAAAAUGUAUUUGAAAUAUUCCAUUUAUAAUUAAAAUGAUUUGAACUGUUUCCUUUUUUUUAUCAAUAGAAAUUAAACAUGGUAACAUGUGAUUUAUAACACUCACACACCUGUUUAACCCAUGAGCUAGACCCCUUAUUAUUUAUAAUUUGUUAUUUAACUUAUCUCCAUGUCCUAUCUCAGGAAAAAAAAUACAAAAAGAAUGACUUUUUUAUACUUAAGAAACAACCACUUUUAAAAACUGAAGUAUCAUCCAAGUUUUUUUAAUUUAAAAACAGAAACGUUAUAUUUUUAACAACAGAGACUAUAAUAUCACGUUAGUUUUUAUCUUCUUUCUUUUCAAAAAACUGGUUUUUUUUUCUUCUUUGGUUGGUUCAUUUUCCUGGGCACAACAUAUCUUAUACAAAAAGAGUUCCUUGCUGCUCUGCUACCUGAGCCUUGGCUGAGACGGGUCUAUUAAAUCUUGGAGGGUUCUUGCGCCAUGCAAAUAAAUCCUUAAGGACAAUGUGCCUCCACAGGUCUCAUACUGUUGCUGCAGCGUUUCUUGUUUUGCAUUGCUGCAGGGUUUCUGUUAUUGCAUGUGUUGUUGUUUCUUACUAACAAGCUUCAAAUUUGACAACGAAAAUAUGGUCUGGUUUCCACUCUUAACAACUUACAUUUAGAGGAAGGAUUGCCUCAUUUUAUAUGUCGAUUACAUUAUUAAUGUAGUUUUUCUUUCUAAUUUUAAUUGUAGUUUCUCACUUUAUAUUUUCCAUUUAUGUAUUAUAUUUCUAUCACCAUUUAUAAAUGUGUCGUAUAUUGAUUGGGAUAUGAAACUAAUUGGCCAAAAAAAAUUGUAUUAAUACGAUUUCUCUAGAAAAGCUCUCCCAGUGCUCCUUGAAACAUGCCGUAACGAAAAGGUGGAAAAUUUUAUAAUGGGAGGGAUAUGUAACUAUUUAGACAGAAAAUCGUUAGCAAUAAUUUCUCUUAGAAAGCUUUGUCAAAACCUUGCAAUGGGACACUAACAACUGAUCGGCCAAUAAUUUCUAUCUAUUUUCUAUUUUACAAAAUUGUUGGUAGUUGGUUAGAUGAUAGUUGAUAGUUGGUAGUUUUAGAGAAUUGUUUUAGAAAGAAGGCUAUGUCAUUGAUUUCUUGGAUUAUCAAUUACAACAUAUCAAUUGCCUAUUUAUAGGUUUAAGUCACCAACCUCUCAAUGAUGGUGAAUGUUUCUACAUUACUUUAGGUCUUUCUAGAGAUUUCAUGAUAGAUUAGUAUCAUGAUAGUUCUAGAUUCUUCUAUCUUAUACAUAUAUUUAUAGUUCUAGAUUGUUCUACCAUAUUCAAACACAUUAUAGUUCUAGAUUGUUCUACCAUAUUCAUGCACACUAUAGUUCUAGGAUAUUCUACAAUUUUCAUAUGUAUUAUAUUUAAGAAUAUUCUAGAAAUUUGUAGCAAUUUCAACAUUUCUCCUUGAUGCAAAUUUCUGUGACUUCGAGCAUAGCUCGUAAUUCUUCAAAUCUUGAUCUCGGCAGAGCCUUUAUGAAUAUGUCUGUAAUUUGAUCUUCUGUUCUGCAAUAGUCGAGUUUGAUCUCUUUAGUUGCUUCAGCUUCUCUGAUAAAGUGAUACUUGAUUGCUAUGUGUUUUGUUCUGCUGUGAUGAACUGGAUUCUUCGUCAUUGCAAUUGCUGAUUUGUUGUCGUAGUUGAUUUUAGUAGGCUCAUCUUGCUUUUCUCCCAUGUCUUCAAGUAUCCUACGAAGCCAUAUAGCUUGACUCGUUGCUUCAGCAGCUGCCACGUACUCUGCUUCUGCUGUUGAUUGUGCUAAUGUAGCUUGCUUCUUCGACGCCCAAGAGAACAUUCCCGAUCCUAGUGAGCCAGCAUAGCCAGAUGUACUCUUCAUGUCAUCUGUCGAACCUGCCCAAUCACUGUCUGUGUAGCCAAGUAAUUAUGAGUUGGUUUCGGUAGUAUUUGCAUGAAUCUUGAUANNNNNNNNNNNNNNNNNNNNNNNNNNNNNNNNNNNNNNNNNNNNNNNNNNNNNNNNNNNNNNNNNNNNNNNNNNNNNNNNNNNNNNNNNNNNNNNNNNNNNNNNNNNNNNNNNNNNNNNNNNNNNNNNNNNNNNNNNNNNNNNNNNNNNNNNNNNNNNNNNNNNNNNNNNNNNNNNNNNNNNNNNNNNNNNNNNNNNNNNNNNNNNNNNNNNNNNNNNNNNNNNNNNNNNNNNNNNNNNNNNNNNNNNNNNNNNNNNNNNNNNNNNNNNNNNNNNNNNNNNNNNNNNNNNNNNNNNNNNNNNNNNNNNNNNNNNNNNNNNNNNNNNNNNNNNNNNNNNNNNNNNNNNNNNNNNNNNNNNNNNNNNNNNNNNNNNNNNNNNNNNNNNNNNNNNNNNNNNNNNNNNNNNNNNNNNNNNNNNNNNNNNNNNUAACACUUUGUUCUCUUUGCCUUCAGACACGAAUCCUUGUGGUUGCUCCACAAUAGAUCUCUUCUUCAAGUACGCCGUUAAGGAAGGCGGAUUUGACAUCUAGUUGAUGGAUACUCCAUCCUUUUUGUGACGCAAGAGCUAUUAGGGCUCUUAUGGUAUCAAGACGAGAUAUUGGUGCAAAUGUCUCAUUGUAGUCAAUUCCGGGUUGCUGUGGAUAACCCUUAGCUACUAGUCUCGCCUUGUGUUUCUGUAUGGUGCCAUCAGAGUUGAGUUUUGUCUUAUAGACCCACUUAACCCCAAUGAUAUGUUUUCCAAGGGGACGAUUUACUAACUCCCAUGUGUUGUGAUUAUAGUUUGUGAUUAUAGUUUUACUGGGACAGGUUUAGGUAUGCGUGGGAAAAGAAAAAUCUCAGUGUGAGAGACUUUUUGUCUACCACAGACAUUAUGUUACAAAUCCCAAUGAUGGGAGUGUGUGGAAAUACGUUUCAAACAUCUUGUUUAAAUUUCACGACAAUCCAACGGUUAAUGAGUCUAGGAUCAUUGUUUUGUUGAGACAUAUUUGAGUAUAUACGGAAAAAAUAGAGGAUUUUGGGAGGAGAGAAGGAAAAACGAAUUUGAGAGAAAGAGAACACGUAAUUUAUUUAAUAAUGUAUCGUUAGUCUGAAAACUAUUUAUUUUUUUAUUUAUUUUAUAAAAAAAAACUUUAUUUUAUUUCCUAUUAAAUGAAUAAAUAUGGUGUUACAUAGACAAACACAAAUAGGGUUGUUGGGACAUACUAAGUCAGUUUCCUUUUGGUUAUGAUUCUUUGAUAUUGUGCUGUCAAGGUUAUAUUAUUUUGUUUUGAAAUUAAUAUUCAAUGGUUAAAUGCCUCCUGAGUAUGCUGGGUGCGGGCAUUUCUUCAUGAAAUCAGAGAUUUUAAGAGUCAACAAAAACAGAGGAUUUUCAUGCCCAGACUACUACAAUAAUGUUCUAGGACAUGUAACCAUACUGGUAUGACUAUGUUGCUAAUUUGUAUAAAGAAUUAUUUCUGACCAAAUAAUUUAAAUUUUUUCCAUCUUAGGCAUGGAAAUUAUGGAGAGAAGAGAGGAAGCUGAACUGUUGGAUGAAGUAUUAAAAGAACAGUGCAUGUUCUCUGAAGUCAUACGAUACAUACAAGUAGCAUUAUUAUGUGCAUGCAACAAAGACUAGAAGAUAGGUCAUACAUGUCUUCAAUGUUUUUAAAUUUUAAUGUUGAAUUAUGAUAAAUUAUUGCCAAAGCCAAAAGUUCCUGGCUUUUACACUGAAAUAAAUGUGACAUCCGAGGCAAAUUCUCUGUUAGCAAAUCCCAUACUGUGCUCACUUAAUGAGGUUUCAUUCACAAUUUUAGAUGCAGGAUAAGAAAUGGAGGCAAGAAAAUGUUAAAGAUUCACCUUCCAAUUCAAGAUAUAUGGUAAUUUGUUUGAUCAUAAAUAUUAAAGGUUCUUGUACGAGCUCCUACUUUGUAUCAUCUUUUAGUUUCUAAAAAUUACAAAUGUUAUUGCUUAUAGUCUUAAGCAUGAGACUAAAAUUAUAUCAUUUAUGGAAAGCUAGUUUCAUCUUAUUGUUUUUUCUGUUCAUGUUAUUUUCUCUUAAAUAUGCUGCAGUUGUUGCAUGCACUGUACAACAGAUAAUCACCUAAAAAUAAUCAGUUGUUCCCAGUCAAUUUCUGGUUGGGACCUUAAUAUGUACCUCGACCACAUUUUUCUUUGGUGAACAAGCUCAGAAUUUGGGAUCUCCAUGUAAGCCAAAAAUUUUCUUUGGGGAAGAUCCUAACUUAAUGCACCCAAAGAUUAGGGAAUAAAUAGCUGAGCAUGAGGAGUAUAAAGUGAAGGAAGAAAGCAAGAUUUUGAGAAAAAUGAUAAUAUCUACAAUUUGGGCCUAUAGAAUGACCCUACAUCAACCAUUUAUUUUAAGCCACAAACUGCCAAUAUAUCACCAGAAAUUAUACAAGCUACAAAUAAAGCAAAGGAACAAUGACACGAUUUACAAAAGAGUUGUUCACUCAACUCAAGAAUUAGAACGAUGCAGCAUGAAGGGAAACUGAUGCAAAUUCUUUAUAACCUCGCUAACAAAAUUAUUUUUAUUGGUUAUCAUAAGAUCCUUGUGCCGGUACGCAGGCAUACAAUUCUUUCUCUUUUGGUUGUAAUGUAUACUAGAGGAUUGAACAAUUUUUUUUUAGCCCUUUUAUGUAAACUUGAACAAUGCCAGAGAAUUUUAUGUCUGGCAUGCUUUUUCUGUAUCUAAAUCAGUAUAAUAUUAGGAUCUUUCUGGCGCUUUGUUAGUUUACCGUUGUAUAAUGUACCAAUCACAUUUUAUUCAAGUCAUAUUAGUCAUGACAGUAUGAACAGAAGUUAAUAAAAUAAUUCCUGAUCAAUCAAUCAAUGAAAUAAUCAGAACAUAAAAUCUAGGAAAAAGAUUUCAGAUCAUAUCUUUGUUUUCUGUUUUCAAGUUUUAUAUGCUUCAAAAAAUAGAAUGUUUCAGAUUUUGAUCCAAAGAGCCAUUUCCCUGCCUCUGUCAUUUGAUGGCUUGACUAGUCUCAAAGAUUUUGAUUCAUGAGAAAACAAUAGGUCAAAAACUGACACUACCCAACAUUAUUUGAUGCAAUGUUUUGAAAACUAGAUUGAAGAUUGAACAGACAAUGGUUUUUAUUUUGAUACAUGGUAUCACAAUAAUUUAGUUUUCUUCUUUUUUCAUGUCUUAUGUGUAAAAAUAUACAUACACUGAUCUAAACAUGCAAAUAAAUUUAAAUAGCAUAUUUAGAUCAAACAGCGGAAAUUAAAAGGAAUUACAAGUGUACCUCCAGCCAUUGCAAAUCGAACGGGAAGCGGCUCACACACGAACCUGAAAGACAGUUUUGUUCUUCCAGACCCUUACUCACUCUGAAUAGAUGGUGUAUUUUUUUCUGAAUAGAGAAGUGGGUUUGGUGAUACAAAACUGAGAGCACCCCAUCCUAUUUAUAGAGUCUGUCCAUCACAGAGCUCUCUCAACUUGUUAUCAGAACGUGAGAUAGGGAGUUAUCAGACGUGAGAUAAGAAGUUAUCAGUACGUGAGAUGAUGGGUACGUGAUUUGUUACUGAAGGUGGUUGCAAAUAUAUUUUGCAAAGAUAUGGGAUGAAUGUGGAUGAAAAAUGGACCAUAUUCAAAAUAACUAAUUUUUUUAAAAAUAAUAAAAUUAAUUAAUUAAAAGAACGUGGAGGUGAACGUGCACUUCCAACAUUCUCCCACUUGGUCCAUUUAACCCAACAUCAACCGUAACAAGAAACAUAAUAUAUGAGUCAUGGCGAUAGGUCCUCUGAUGAUGAGUAGUAUCUUCCAUGUACCACAAUAUAUCAAGUCUCUCAACACUAGCUCUCAACUUAAUGAAUAAACCAUAUGUUUAUUCUAUAUCUAAAUCGAAUGAUUUUUCUCGAAAUAAAUAAAUAUGUGCACAAAACGAUAUGAGAAAAUAUCUAACUGAAUAAGAGUUUCAUUGAAAAUAACAAAUGUACGUACAAUGAAAUUACAUCAUGGAACCAAGUCCCAUUCGUACUACAUGAUCCUUAAAAUUCUUUGGUGGCAUGCCUUUAGUUAAAGGAUCAGCAAUCAUUAACUCAGUGUUGACGUGUUCAAUGACCACUUUCUUUUCUUUAACACGUUCUCUUAUGGCUAAGUACUUGAUGUCGAUGUGCUUACUUCGACUUCCACUUUUGUUAUUUUUAGCCAUAAACACCGCAGCAAAGUUGUCACAAUACAACUUUAAUGGCCUAGAAAUAGAGUCCACAACUCUAAGGCCAGAUAUGAAACUCUUCAACCAUACACCAUGCGAGGUAGCCUCAAAACAAGAAAUGAACUCAGCCUCCAUAGUGGAAGUAGCAGUCAAGGUUUGUUUGGCACUUCUCCAAGAUACAACUCCACUGGUUAACAUAAAAAUAUAACCAGAUGUUGAUCUUCGUGAAUCAACGCAACCAGCAAAGUCUGAGUCGGAGUAGCCAAUCACUUCCAGACAAUCAGUUUGUCUGUACAUGAGCAUGUAAUCUUUUGUUCCUUGAAGAUAUCUCAUCACUUUCUUUGCAGCUUUCCAGUGGUCAAUACCUGGAUUACUUUGAUAUCUUCCCAAAACUCCAACAGCGAAUGCAAUAUCAGGUCUAGUGCAAACCUAAGCAUACAUAAGGCUUCCGACUGCUGAAGCAUAUGGAAUAUUUUUCAUGUGUUCCCGCUCAAAAUCAUUUUUGGGGCAUUGACUCAAAGCAAGUUUGUCACCCUUCACAAUGGGAGCUACACUUGGUGAACAAUCUUUCAUAUUAAAUCUCUCUAAAACUUUGUUGAUAUAGGUUUCUUGAGACAAGCCUAAAAUGCCUCGAGAUCUUUCUCUAUGGAUCUUUAUGCCUAUGACAUAAGAUGCCUCUCCCAUAUCCUUCAUAUCAAAGUUCUUUGAGAGAAAUUGUUUCACCUCAUAUAGCAUACCCUUAUCAUUAGUCGCAAGCAGAAUGUCAUCUACGUAUAAUACAAGGAAACAAAUCUUACUCCCACUAACCUUCUGGUAUAUACAGUGAUCCAUGACAUUCUCUUCAAAGCUAAAUGAAAAAAUGACCUCAUGAAAUUUUAAAUACCAUUGGCGGGAGGCUUGUUUCAAUCCAUAGAUGGACUUAUUAAGCUUGCAGACUAAGUGCUCACCAACACUAGAUAAGAAUCCCUCAGGUUGUUUCAUGUAAACCUCUUCUUCUAGAUCACCAUUCAGGAACGCCGUUUUCACAUCCAUUUGAUGCAGCUCAAGAUCAAAAUGAGCUACUAAUGCCAGAAUUACUCGAAGAGAGUCUUUCUUAGAUACAGGGGAAAAGGUCUCUCUGUAAUCGAUUCCUUCUCUUUGAGUGAAUCCUUUAGCAACAAGUCUUGCCUUAUGUCUCUCAAUGUUGCCUUCUGAGUCUUUCUUUGUUUUGAAGACCCAUCUACAUCCGAUGGCUUUUACACCAACAGGCAACUCAACGAGAUCCCAAACUUGGUUAGAUGCCAUAGAAUCCAUCUCAUCCCUCAUAGCAUUAUACCACAAAUUUGAUUCCUUAGAACUCAUGGCUUGUGAAAACGUCUCAGGAUCAUUUUCGGCUCCAAUGUUGUAGUCUGAUUCUUGUAGGUACACUACAUAAUCACUAGGAAUUGCUGUCUUUUUUAUUCUAGUAGAUCUUCUUAAUGUUGUUUGGUCAUCUUGCUGAGGAACUUGUUCAACUGGUUCUUCACCAGUUUGUUCAAUAUCAUCAUGUUGUUCCUCACAAACAACUCGAUCUACAUGAUCACUUUCAACAGCUUGUGGAACUUCAAUCACUGGUUGUCUAACACCCAUUUUAACUUGAGGGGUGGGAAUGACUACCAACCUAUUACUUGUCCCAGAAGGUUCAGCUUCACAGUGAUCCCUUUCAGAAGAAAUGUUCUGAAAUUGAUCACUCUCACUGAUCAAGUCAUUUUCAAGAAACUUUGCAUUCCUUGAUUCCACAAUCCUAGUGUUGUGGGAUGGACAAUAGAACCUAUACCCUUUAGACCUUUCAGCAUAUCCAAUGAAAUACCCAGUAAUAGUCUUAGGGUCUAGUUUCUUCUCUUGUGGAUUAUAGAUUCUUACUUCAGACGGGCAUCCCCAAACGCGUAUAUGUCGCAAACUUGGUUUCCAUCCCUUGAAUAAUUCAAAAGGUGUCUUUGAGACAGCCUUGGUUGGAACUCGGUUUAAUAUAUACGCAGCCGUCUUAAGAGCAUCAAUCCACAAAAAUUGAGGAAGCUUUACAUUACUCCUCAUGCUUCUCACCAUGUCUAAUAAGGUUCGAUUUCUUCGUUCUGCCACACCAUUCUGAUCCGGAGAACCAGGCAUAGUGUAUUGGGCAACAAUCCCAUGUUCUUGAAGAAAUUUCGCAAAUGAACCUGGUGUUUGUCCAUCCUCUGUGUAUCUACCAUAGUACUCCCCACCUCUAUCUGAUCUCACGAUCUUAAUUUGUUUUCCACAUUGUUUCUCAACUUCAGCCUUAAAAACUUUAAAGGCAUCUAAAGCUUCAUUCUUAGAAUGAAGUAAGUAGAGAUACAUAUAUCGUGAAUAAUCAUCUAUAAAGGUUAUGAAGUAUUUCGGACUAUUUGCAUCCAUGUCUGGACAACAUAUGUCUGUAUGUAUGAUUUCUAAUAAAUUAGAACUCCUCUUUGCACCCUUUUUAGACUUGUUAGUUUGCUUACCCUUAAUGCAAUCUACACAAGUCUCAAAAUCAGCGAAAUCCAAAGUACUAAGUACUCCUUCAUUUACUAAUCGCUUGAUUCUUUCAAUAGAGAUAUGUCCUAAUCUCCGGUGCCACAACAUAGAGGAUUCUUCAUUCACAAUACAUCGUUUUAACCCAACAGAAACGUGCAUAGAAGUAGCGUCAUUUUGCAAUUCAAUCGAAUAAAGACCAUCAACCAAUUGACCACAACCAAUAAUUUUAGAUUUAUUUAGUAAAUUAAAACCAAAGUUUGUAAAAUUAAAAUAAAAUCCCAAAGGUGCAAGUUUAGAAACAGAAAUUAAGUUUUUACAGAAACUAGGAACAUAAAAAACUUUCUCCAAAUGUAAUUUAAAGCCACUACUUAAGACUAAGACGCACGUUCCAAUGGCCUCUACAUGUGAGCUCAUCCUACUCCCUGAGUAGAUGCACUGCUCACUUCCCACUGGCUUCCUUAGGCUUUCCAUACCCUGCAAGGUAUUAAAAACAUGGAUUGUAGAACCAGAGUCAAUCCACCAUGUAUUAUGAUUCACAUUAAUCAUAUUAGAUUCAUAACAAACAAAGGCAAAUGGUGUACCUUUCUUCUCAAACCAACUUUUAACUUUGGGGCAGUCCUUCUUCAUGUGUCCUUUCUUUUUACAGAAGAAACACUUUGACUCAUUUUUAAUUGUUGGUUGAGUCAGAAUCUUUCCUUUAUUGGUGCCUACAGACUUCUUCCUAUCCUUUCCAGAAUUAGAAGUAGUCAAAUUUACCUUCUCACCCUCUUCCAUUAUCAAUCUCUCCUCUUCUUGAACACACAUGGUCAUCAAUUCAUUAAUAGACCAUUUAUCCUUAUGUGUGUUGUAGGAGAUUUUGAAGGGUGUAUACUGUUGAGGUAGGGUGCACAAAAUGAAAUGUACCAGGAAGGAUUCAGACAUGGUAACUUCCAAGGUUUUCAACUGAGCCACUAUGUCCCUUAAGCGCAUGAUAUGUUCACGCACACCUCUCGUUCCAGUAAGCUUAAUGGAAGAGAAUUGCAUAAUGAGUGUGCUAGCAAGUGACUUCUCAGAGGUUGUAAACUGUUCAUCAAUGGCUUUCAACAGAUCUCUGACCUUAUCAUACUGGUCAACUGAACCCCGGAUACUAGCGGAUAUGUUGGUUUUUAUGAACAUAACGGAGAGACGAUUAGAUCUCUCCCACUUUUCAUAAAGAUCAACAGCAUCAGGUUCGCUAGUUUCAGUAAUAGCCGGUGGCUCAUCCUUCCUUAUAGCAUAGUCAAUAUCCAUCCAGCCCAAAUGAAGGAGAACUCUUUCCUUCCAAACCUUAUAAUUAUCACCUUUCAAAAUGGGAAGGUCACAAGAAAUAUUCAUAGAUUGUGAAACUGCAAACAAACACACAUGCUCAUUAAGAAAAUUUGAGACUAAACAAAUGUCAUGUUUUGCCAAUGCAAAUCAUGUCUCAAUAUAUGAAUCUAGUGACACAAAACUUGCCUGUGGGCUAAAGUCCUACUCAAUUAGAUUCAUCAUGCAACUUUAUGAUAAAACUAUUAAAUCAUGUUCUUUUCCUUAAUUCCUGUGGGUAAAUUAAGAAAUAUAAUUUAAUAUUUUAUCCUAAUUAAUCAUACAAAUAUAACAAAAUUCCUGUGGGUAGAUUUCAUCACAUUACAUAUGAUUAAUCACAAUUAAUAUUUCUAAUGUGAUUAUAAAUUUAGUAUAUAAUUUUACUCAAUUAAAGAUGCUGUGGCUAUUCUCUAAUUUAAUAAAAUUAUAUUAAUCACUUAACAUUAAAAAAUAAUCCUUGCAUAAACAUACUUAAUAAUGCAAAUGUGCUCAAUAUUGAAUCAUAAAAAAUUACAUGUAUACCAAUAACAUUGCACGUAUAUUCAUUAAACAUGUAAUAAACUUUAAAGGAUUAAAUCCAAUGCAUACCAGUAUUUAACAUAAUAUUGCAUGUUCAACCUAACUUAAGAGACAAACAAUUUUUAAAAAGUUUGUGCAUAAAUGAUUUAUCCUUCAGAAGUUAUAAAUACACGUAAACUGCAAUUAAUAACCAAUUAAAUUGCAGUAGCUUAGCGGCAAAGGGAGUCCUUCCAUGCUUGUAGGGUGAGGGUUCGAAACCAGCAUAAGGCGUUUUCGUUUCAUUUAUACUUCCUUUUAAUUAAUUAAAACGAAAACAAACAACAAAAGGCAGCAACAAGAUUCGAACCCAAAACAAUAAGGUAAUACACAUCACAUCUACCACUAGACCAAGUCGUGCUUUGUUUAAUAUUGUUAAUUUAAAAUGUAUAUUAACAAUUCCAACACAGUAAACAAAACCCACAAGACUUCGUCUUCAACCUCCAGCAGUGGUAAAAAAAAAAUAUAUUAUUACCUCAAUUUCGAAAAACCCACACAUUAUAUGCAUUUUAGACACCCAAAAAUACGUUUUAAAUCAUAGAAAAAUUAGAAAACUCACAUCAUUCCUAAUUUUAAUGUUAUUUUGAAUUAAGGAGGCUUAAAACAUAACACCCAUAUACUCAGAAAAUAAACUCCACAUAGGAACGACCCAAUAAGCAAGACAGAGGUACAAAUAGGCUCUCAUACCAAAUGUAAAAAUAUACAUACACUGAUCUAAACAUGCAAAUAAAUUUAAAUAGCAUAUUUAGAUCAAACAGCGGAAAUUAAAAGGAAUUACAAGCGUACCUCCAGCCAUUGCAAAUCGAACGGGAAGCGGCUCACACACGAACCUGAAAGAUAGUUUUGUUCUUCCAGACCCUUACUCACUCUGAAGUGUAUUUUUUUCUGAAUAGAGAAGUGAGUUUGGUGAUACAAAACUGAGAGCACCCCAUCCUAUUUAUAGAGUCUGUCCAUCACAGAGCUCUCUCAACUUGUUAUCUCAACUUUGUUAUGUUAUCAGAACGUGAGAUAGGGAGUUAUCAGACGUGAGAUAAGAAGUUAUCAGUACGUGAGAUGAUGGGUACGUGAUUUGUUACUGAAGGUGGUUGCAAAUAUAUUUUGCAAAGAUAUGGGAUGAAUGUGGAUGAAAAAUGGACCAGAUUCAAAAUAACUAAUUUUUUUAAAAAUAAUAAAAUUAAUUAAUUAAAAGAACGUGGAGGUGAACGUGCACUUCCAACAUUCUCCCACUUGGUCCAUUUAACCCAACAUCAACCGUAACAAGAAACAUAAUAUAUGAGUCAUGGCGAUAGGUCCUCUGAUGAUGAGUAGUAUCUUCCAUGUACCACAAUAUAUCAAGUCUCUCAACACUAGCUCUCAACUUAAUGAAUAAACCAUAUGUUUAUUCUAUAUCUAAAUCGAAUGAUUUUUCUCGAAAUAAAUAAAUAUGUGCACAAAACGAUAUGAGAAAAUAUCUAACUGAAUAAGAGUUUCAUUGAAAAUAACAAAUGUACGUACAAUGAAAUUACAUCAUGGAACCAAAGAGGAAAAGUGAACCCGAUCGACUAGACCGCACAGGAAGCAAAGCGGAAGUCAUGAAUCUGAAUUUAUGGUCGUUAAGCGCAAUUAUUAGGAAGCUAUGUGAAGAAUCUGCAAAGAAAAACCCAAAAUCACAAUUAGUGGGUUUUUUUAUAUAUAAUUUAUAUUAUCUUCAGUAGAAAGGAGAGUGAAAAAAAUAGAUUUGGCGUUCUGCUUUUGCAACUUCACCCACCACGCUUAAGACCGAAUUGGAAAUUGGCACUAGCUUCUUAAUAAAGGAAUCGUGGAAAAUAAAGUCUGACUAUUUAGCUUAUAAAUUAAAUUUAAGAUAAAAUAUUGAAUUUGAUCUCUAAUAAAUAUUUAAUUUUUUAUAUUUUUUAAUAAUUUUUUUAUUUUUAUUCUUUGGUAAAAAAAUAUUUUUGGUUUUUAGUUUUCUGAUAUUUUUUACUAAAAUAUAUUUGUAAUCUCUAAUAAAUAUUUAAAUUAUUUAUUUAUUUAUUUUCUAUUUUAUUAUUUACAUUGAGUUCUAAAUAAAAAAAUAUUUUUAUUUUUUAUUCAUAAUAAUUUUUUAAUUCCUAAUAAAUUAAAAAAAUUUGGUAUUUGUUCCCGUAUUUAUUUUUAUGUUAUUUAUCUUUUUAAAGGAAUUAAUGACAAAUAAUUUCUUUUACCAGGGAGCAAAUAAAAUAUUUCUAAUUUAUCGUAACUAAAAAAAUAUUUCAACGAUAAAAAUAAAUUGUUAUUUUUAUCAAAGAAUAAAAAAAUAUAAAUUUUUUUUUAUUAAAAAGUAAAUAUAAAAUUUAGAUAUUUAUUGGAGAUCAUAAACAUAUUUUAAUUUUUUUAUUAAUUCUUUUAAAAAAGAUUAAUAACAAAAUAAAUAAAAAUAAAAAUAUCAUUAAUUUAUCAUAAAUUAAAAAUAUUAAUAAACAAAAAUAAAAUUACUGUAUGAAAUCAAUAUAGAUAAAAAAAAUAUCAUUAAAAAACAAACAUUCAAAUAUUUAUUAAAAAUGAAAACAUAGCCUCUUGAAUUUAUAACUUCAUGUGAACGAUUACUUUAAUUAAUGAUGAUAAACUUUCAGCGUGUCUCACGGUAACUUUAAAUAAGUGACGCGGUUUCUUGCGGAUCCCAACAUAUGACAAGUGGGGGAAGAAGCUGCCAAGAAAAACUCCUCAUUUUCAGUGUCCAUGCUUUCUUUGUAUCCAUAAACCAUAUAUGUUAACUUUAAUAAAUAAAAAAAUUAGGUUAAAAUAAAGUAUUAUUAUAUAUCUUGAGUUGAAUAAGAACAAGGGAAAAAUAAAGUAAAAAUACAAAAACAAAAAAUCAAACAAAUAAAGAGGAAAAGCGACGCAUCAAAAUAGGUAACGCGAUUUCUGCGGACCCCAACAUAUGGCAAGUGGGGGAAGAACCUGCCAAGAAAAACUCCUCAUUUUCACUAUCGAUGCUUUCUUUGUAUCCAUAAACCAUAUAUGUUAACUUUAAUAAAUAAAAAAAUUAGGUUAAAUUUACACAUUUUUUUCUAUAAUUUUAGGAUUAGUAUAUUUUUGUUUCUAUAAUUUAAAAAUAAUUUUUUUGGACUUAUCAUUUAUAUUUAAUUUUUUAAUCUUAUAUUUAAAAGUAAUAUUUUUAGUUAUUAUAGUUUAAAAAUUAUUUUUUUAGUUUUCAUAAUUUAUAUUUUAAUUAUCUUUUAAUUUUUCUUAAAAAAUAUAAAAAUAAUUUAUUAUAAAUUAUUUUUUAUCUCAUAUAUGAUAAAUUAAAUGUGAAUUACUCGUUAAUAUUUUUGUAAUAAACUAUUAAUAAUAUUAUUUAUAUUUUAAUAAUAAAAAUUUAAAAAAUUAGAAUAUAAAAUAUAUGAAUUAGAAAUAUCACUUUUAAACCAUAGAUACUAAAGUAAAAUUAAAAUAAAAAACAUAAAAACUAAAAGAAUAACUUUUAAACUAUACAUGCUAAAAUAAAAUUAAAAUAUAAAUUAUAAAAAAAUAAUAAUUUUAUAACUAUAAAGAUUAAAAGAUAAAUUAUAGAAAUAAAAUGAGUAAUUAAAAGAUUUUGAAGUCAAAACUGCAUGAGUAUAGGUUCGUCGUGUCUUGGUUUGUUUAAUUUAUGGUUUUUAUCUACUUUUUGUUCUGAUUCCCUUACUUGAAACAUAACCCUUUGCCUACGUUUUCUUUUUUCUUUCCAAAACGUCUAUGAUUAUAUAUUUGUGCCGUAGCAGUGGCUCACUAGGUGUUUCAUGGCAUCUCCUAUAUUAUUUUCAAAGUGUUCUGCCUCUCUAUGUUGUUUGGAUUUAUAUCUACUUGGUGUAUAUAUACAUUUGUUUUUAUGUACUUGGUCUAUAUAUACAUUUGGUGAUAAUUGUCUAUUUUAUUUGUGUGUGUUCUCUUUGCAACAUAGACUGAUACUUUUUGUUAUUCCCCACUAUGUGCUUCAGACAGUGUAUGUCCACAGUUUGAGGUAAAGUGUUUUGAUUCCCUUACUUGAAACAGAACCCUUUGCCUACAUUAUUGGUUUUUUUUGCCUUUCCAAUCCUUCUAUGAUCAUACAUUUGUGCCGUAGUAGUGGCCCACUAAGUGUUUCAUGGCCUCUACUAUGUUGUUUGCAAAGUGUUCUACCUGUCUAUGUUGUUUGAAAACAAACUGAGGCCUUUUGUUAUUCCCCAUUGUUUGCUUCAGACAUUGUAUGUCCAUAGUGUAUUGUGUUUUAUAAAUUAUUCGUUCGUAUUUAUAAAGAAAAUAUUGUGUUUUAUUUGUGGCGAUGUCUCGCAAGGAAAACCUGAUAUCUGAAUGGUAGCAGUAUGAAUCACUGAUAUGUGGCAUGUUAACAAGCACAAUGGCAGGCAAGCAAUUAAGAUGGUGUUGAUGGACCAAAUAACGAUUUUGCUGUUAUUUGAUAUAUUGUAAUUGAGUACAUUCGUUUCAGUGCUUUGAUACAUUCAUGAGUUUCAUUCCUGACUCUUGUAGGGUGCAAUGAUUGGCGUCACUCUAUGGCAAUAACUAUUUGCUGAAUUUGAGGCAAAGUUGCAUUGUGGUUCUGCAUAUUUGAUUCAGAACAUUAAAGUUGUUGACAAUCAUUCUACAUACAAAGUAAGUACGAUUUCAUUUGUGGUUUACCUAGUCAAAACAACUUUUGUGAAGGAGGCUGAACGUCCUGAGAUUCCUCCUAAUGUCCAUGUUAUAACUCAAUUUGUUGAUUAUUGCUGGGGUAGUACCGCAUGAUACUUUAGUUGGUAUGUGCUUUAGUCAAUUUCAGGCAUGGACAAUAUGAUAAUUUGUGAAGAAUACUUACAAUUGUGUUUUUUAAAUAGAUGUUGUUGGUGUUGUGGUCAUAGUCAUUGAGCAUAAAACAAUUAAUCCUACAUAUAGAGCUACAAUCAAGUUGAGAGACAACAAGUAUUGUUGAUGCCAUUAUUUUUUAAGACAUGUUUAGAUAGGUACCAUUAGAAGUAGUCUUCUUUUGUAAUAUUUUAAUUUAAUGUUUAACUAUAUAUGUUUUGUUUUGUUAUAGUGAUGGUGAGAUGAUCAUGACCGUGUAGGAGGAAUAUGCUUUUCAGCUUGAUGAUGCUAUCGAGAAAAAUCAUUUUGUUAGAAAGCCAUUGGUGGUUAUGUUAACACGUGGUUAAAAUCAAGGAUCCUAAAGGUCAUUCUAAUGGAGUUUUCUAUUUCUUUCAGAUUGCGUUCAAUUUAUUAUAUGAAUGCAUUUUACAUGUAACUAUAACAUUAUUUGCAGACAAGUAUCCCUUCAAUGUCCAAAAUAUCAAGCACGGGUCAAAGUUGUAUGUCAACAUUGAUAUAGCAAAAAUCCAAGAAUUCCAUAAUAGGUACAAUGCAUAUGUUUUUUGGAACACUCAAAUUUGACCUUCAUCUUUUGUUGCAUGCUCAUAAUAAAACCAAAAUUUAUUCAUGUUGAUGAAUGCAUAUUAGAUGUAGGUACGUUGUUCUAUUCUGGCAGAGUAUCAAAUGAAGGAAGUGUUUCUCAAUCACAAUAUAUCCAAUAUUCCCAACGAAACUCGGUUGAAAAGUUCUUGCAUAAUGCUCAAAUGGUUAGGUUAGGUGAAAUAAGCAGACUGAGACAGGUAACAAGUUUAACUAUCAAAUUAAUGACCCUGUUAUUUGAAUAACUGUUAUCAAAAUUAAUAAUUCAUUCAUUUAUGUUUUGCAUGUACUGAUUUAGGACUGUUACUAUUUGAUCGUUGGUACGGUGGAUGAAGUCAUCAUUGAUACACCAUGGAGUUAUGAUAAUUAUCCCUAUUGUACUAUGACAUUUGAUCCAUUGAAAAUUGGUGUCAAUUUUUGUUCGUGCUAGAACCAAGUUACUCACACCAUUCCAAGGUAACUUAUAUGUCUCCCCAAAUUUCCAACAAAGUCAAUUCCAAUGAGUUAUUAUGUAUAUUAUUUCAAUGUUUAUUAAAAGGGAUAUUGUUGUGUUAGGUAUAAGUUAGUUCUAAAAAUGGAACAGAAUGGGGAGAAGACUAACUUCCAUUUCUGGGAUGCAACAUGUAUCAAAAUCUUUAACAAAACGGCCGAUCAAUGUUGCCAAGAGUUGAUUGCAGUAUGUUUUCUAAAUUAGAAUCAUCCAUGUAUGUUAUCUAUAUUCAUAUUGCAUUUAAUUUGUUUAUUUAUUCAUAGAGUGGCGAUGAGAUCAAGGUUUUCCCUCCCUAUUUUGAUGAAUUAUUGGGAAAGACUUGGGCUAUCAAGUUUUAGUACCAUGCACGAUGCUCAAAAAGGCCUACAAUGUGUUGCUGAACCUUGGUACCAAUAUUUGAGAGACAAUGCCUUUAGUGUUGGAGAUGAGAUAUGUUUCUACUUCAGGCCUAAUAAAAAAGUAUGAAAGUUGAUAAUCAGAAAACAGUUGGCUUGGGAUGACAGUGACUCCAAUUGAAGAUGGCAAUUCAGUAGCUUAUUUUAGAAUUGUUUGUUGGUGAAAUUAUUAUGUGUCUAUGCUAAAGUACUUCUAUGUUGUAAUUCAAUUACCUAGCAUUGCCAGACAAUGUUUCCUUUUGGUAUUUACGACUAUCUGAACAACGUUACAAAACUAUAUGGUCAUUUACUAUUUGUUGAAAUAUAUAACUUUCUUUUGGAUAUAUUCAUAUUUUGGUAUAUAGUAUUAAUUUGUGCAAUCCAAAAGAACACUGAACCCUAUCAAUGGUUGUUACAUAUAUCAAUGCUAUCCAAAAAGUUUUAAAUCUAGUAUAUAAGAAGAUUUUGCUAUAAACAUUGUUUGUAAAACUUUGUAUUUUGAAAUCAACAAGUUUAUCAAUAAUGCAUGUUUAACACAAAUAAGACUAAUAAAUUAACAAACACACCAAAGAUUUCGACGAAACACAAAUUCAAUAAAAUAUAACAAAUGUAUUGAAUAAAACAUUUUUGUGAAAGCUAUCAACACAAGUAAUGAAAAGUAGUUACCAAAUUACUGUAGUGUUGAUAGAAGUCUCAGCCUAAACCACACAAAUGUCUAAUCAUAGAUUUGGUGGGAAACAAAAAUACGCGAGGGAAUGCACAAGUCACCCUUCUUCCUUUUCUUUACUAGCUUCUCAUGACUAUCAAUGGUGAACAAUAUCAAAAUCUUCACCCAACUUCUACAACAUCAAUUCUCAUUCAAUAGCAGGUAAAAGCUAGAUGAUGAUAAAUGAUGAACGAAAUGGGAAGCCAAAAAGCAAGAUUACCACAACAUCACAACUUACCUCCAACAUGAACAACAAAAGAUAUAUUUUUUACUCCAAAAUCUGAAGGAAAUUUUCUAUAUUUAUACAAUUUAUUAUAUGUUAUACUUAAUAUUCUAACAACCAUUCAUGUACCAUUAUUUGUUCUGAAACAAUAUCAUGUGGCUACUAUUCGUACAUUGCUAGAUAUAUGGAAGUAAUACUACAUGUUGCAGGAUUAUAUGUUGCACCUAAAUUCUUAUUUUCAAAGAAUAAAAAAAUGUUGUAGAAUACUUUAACAACUGAAAGUUCAAAUGGAAAAUUCUGCUCAACAAAGGAAAAAUAGAAAACACAUUUUGCAAAAAAGAAGACAAGGUUCUAACACUCCACAUCAACAUUUAGCAAAUGGUAACAAUGACUACAAACCCCCAAUUGACGUGUACAUAUUUCAAUAAAUACUAAUUCAAAUAUAAACACUGUUAUUGCAGAAAAAACGUAAGCGUAUUUCAACAUGUCACCCACACUUUAUUGAUGACAGUCCUACACUACAUAUACAGUGUACACCUUUGGCAAACAUCACUUCAUCUUCGAAUUAGUCCCACCAACAUUACACUAGGGAAUUUCAAAUUGGACGAAAGCAUACUAUCAACCAUUUAUUUUAAGCUACAAACUGCCAAUAUAUCACCAUAAAUUAUACAAGCUAGCACGCAAGCAUACAAGAAGAUCUCUGGAUCAUUGUUUGAUUGGUACAAUACAGUUAAAUUUAUGAUUAAACUGCAAUUAAACUUUAGUCGAAUUGGAUACGUAGAUUGUUCAUGAUCCAACCAGUACAUUAUAUUGAACAUCUCCCAAGUUUAAUUUCUUCAUGGUGAUAUGUAAUAAUCCAUUCACCGGAUCUCAUCACACAUUUCACAUCCUUGUCUCAGCUCUUGCAUUCUAUGGAAUGGAAACACUUUUGAUGCGAUUAUUAUUUGAAUACAAGUUCCCUCCUGCAUGAAUAAUUUUUAUAAACCUUGCAGUAUUAUAAUAAUAACUUUCAGGGUUCUAUUCGUAAUGGACCAUUAAGUAUAGUCAAAUUGAGGAAUGGCAAAACUUAGACUACAUCAAAUGUCUUACUGAUAAGAAAUGUGUAAGUAUCUUCUCUAAUUGUAGCAUCCAAGUUCUCUAAAUGUGUAAGUAUUUUCUUCCAAGAGCUUGUGUUAAUACUGAAGAUUUGAGUCUAGCUGACUUGAUUUAAUAAUAAUCUGCAACAAUCUAUAAAUUAUUAUAUUCAGUGGCAAAAAAAAUAGGAAACCUAAAAUAAGUGUACAAAAACAAAUUAUUAGCUUAAGACCCACAAGGCUUGAAGAAUGAAAAUUCUAAGACGCAAUUAUUAGCUUUGUACAAAACAAAUUGGAAAAACAAAGAAAGAAGCGUUUCUUUCUACAAUUAUUAGCUUUAUAUUUCUUCACUGCCGACCGCCGACAGUAAUUGUCCUCGCUUUCAGAUUCUGCAAUAGCAAUGACUUCUAACACCACUAUCCAAAAACAUUUAAAAUUACUUGGUUGAAACAUAUAAAAAAUACUAAAAGUAAAAAAUCUUAAAAGUUCAGGCACAAAAAUAUAAUUUAUUAUUAUUUUUUGCAAAUGUUUUAUCUUAUUUUUCUACAAAGACUAGCUAAGACCAAACACAACCAAAUUUACAUAAACUUUAAAUAUUUUUAAUAAUAAUGAUAAUAAUACAAUUAAAUAUAAAUGAGUCACAUCUUGAAUGCCUAAAAAUAAAAAUAAAAACGCGUUAGCAUUAAUAUCUAUUGUCUUCACUAGAAAAAACCGGACAAUGAAAAAAACAAAGAGGAAAAAGCCAGACAAUAAAAACGCGUUAGCAUUAAUAUCUAUUGUCUUCACUAGAAAAAACCGGACAAUGAAAAAAACAAAGAGGAAAAAGCCAGACAAUAAAAACGCGUUAGCAUUAAUAUCUAUUGUCUUCACUAGAAAAAACCGGACAAUGAAAAAAACAAAGAGGAAAAAGCCGGGCAAUAAAAACGCGUUAGCAUUAAUAAUGUUCGAUCAUGCUAGCUUUACAACAAAGAGGAAAACUUAGUCCAACUUGACAGUUCUGCCAGCGAAUUGAAAAUUGACAUUAGCUUCUAAGGGAUGUGUGGAAAAUAAAGUCUUACUAUUUAGCUUAUAAAUUGAAUUUACGGUAAAAUAUCUUUUUAACUUCUAAUAAAUAUUUAAAUUCUAUAUUUUUUUAAAUUUUUUUUUAUUUUUACUCUUUGGUAAAAAAAAAAGCUUUAUUUUUUGGUGUUUUGACACUUUUUUUAGUCUUUAAUAAAUUAAUAAAUAUUAUAUUUUUUCUUAAUAAUUUCUAGUUAAAAUAUAUUUGUGAUCUUUAAUAAAUAUUUAAUUUUUUUUAAUUUUGUGAUAAUUUUAUAUUUACCUUGAGUACCAAAUAAAAUAAUAAUUUUAUUAUUAUAUAUUAAUAUUUUUAAAUUUUAAAUAAAUUAACGAAUUUUGUGUUUAUUCUUAGAUAUUUUCUUCGGAUCUAAAUUUAAGUAAAAAAAUUAAAUUUAAAUAUAAUUAAAUACUAACUAGCUUUUAUCAUAUUUAAUGAUAAUAUUUUUAUUAUCUCUUUCAUUUAAUAAAAUUUUGUCUCCUGUACUGUCCAGGCUAAUUUUAGAAAGAUUUUUUAAAUUAAAUAUUACUAAUUGAAUUUCUUUUCAUUCAUUUGCCAGGUAGUUAAGUUUACUUUAUUUAUGUUAGGGCAAUAUAUCUUUUAUCAUUUUUUAUUAAUCUUUUUCAAAAACAUUAAUAACAAAUGAAUUUUUUUUAUCAUACAAUACAUAAAAAAUUUCGAAUUUUUAAAGUUGAAUUUUACAAUAUUCUACACGAGCAAGAAGAAUAGGAAAUCAUGGUCUUAGAAUAUUUAUCUUUCUUAAAUAGACUAAUAAUGUCAUUCCUAUAACUAUUACUUUUGACUUUAUCUUUCUAUUCUAUGAACUUUCUUUGAUAACUUUAAUUGAUGAUAAUGAACCUUGUAGCAUGUGCGAUGAGCCUAUGCGGACCCCAACAUAUGGCAAGUUGGUAAAGAAGCUGCCAAGAAAAACAUCUCAUCUUCACUGUCCACGCUUUCUUUUUAUUCAUAAACCAUUGAUUUUUUAUUUUUUUUUUAUUUUGCAUAUUCACAGCUUUUGCAAUGGCUUCUAACACCAAGAUCGAACAAAAGAGGAAAAUUAUCCCGAAUUCGAGACAGGGGCAGUGGAAGAAACCAAAAUAAAAUUUUAAAGAGUAAAUAAUCACUUUCAUUUUUCAAUGUGUAAUUCAGUUAUAAAUAAGUUUCUAAAUGAUAAAAAUAUAAAAUUUAGUCUCUGAAAAUGUAAAAAAUGUGAUAAACAUAUCAUGUUGAUAACUUCCGUCCGGCACCACGUUGACACGAAUGGACAAAUCUGAAAUAAUUAUCAAUGUGGAUUGUUAGCAUAAGAACGUAUAUGUUAUAAUAUAUUUUUAUUUUUUGUCUUUCUACUUCACUGACAAAUAUGUCCCUGAAAGAUAAAAUAAUAAAUUUGGACAAUAUAUCAUGACGUUGACUAAUUAUUAUUAUUAUUAUUAUUAUUAUUUUGUAAUUUAGUGUUUGUAUUCGUUUAGUAAUUAUAUAUAAUAUAUUUUUUAAAUUUUCUUUUAAUAUAUAUAUUUUUAUUAUUUUGAUUUUCUUGUCAAACUUUAAUCUUUUUGUUAAAUUUUUUUUAUCAUAUAUCUUAUAAUUUUAUCAAAGUUUUAUUAAAUUUCUCACUUUCAAUCUUUAAAAUUAUUCCAUAUCUCAAUUCCAACUUAAGUAUUCUUAUAUUUAAAUUAAAAAUAAUAUGUUGAGUGUUUUGAGCAGAAAAAACACAAUCAGUCGCGGAAUUAAAUUUGUUUAUUUAUUUAUUUUCAUAAAAGAAUUUAAUCAACUAUUUUUUAAAAAAAUUCUCACAAAAUUUGAACUAGAUAGGGUUAAAGUGGAAUUAUUAGUUUUUGUCCUUAAUCAAUAAAAUGUAUAAAUAUACCUCAAAUAUGAAAGAAUCAUUUGAAUAAACCUUAUUUGUUUCCACUCAAAACAAUAUUUAUUAUAUAUAAUAUGAAUGAAAUGAAAAUACUUACUAACAAAUAAAAAAUCCAAAUAAAUUUAAAUAAAAAAUACGAUAAUACUCAAACUAAUACAGAUGUUAACUUCAACAAAAAAUAGUAUAGAGAGGUUUAUUACAUGUCUUUGAGAGGUAAAGUUGCAUCUCUAGUUGGUUUAGAUGCUAGAACAACUUUGCAUUCUAGUUGAGAUACUCUAUAAGAGUACGUAACAAAGAUUAAUAAAUAAUUGAAAAAACAAAAAAAUUCAAAAAACAAAAGACUUUUCUUUUUUUAAAUGAUAACUCAAUUGAUUAAAUUUUGUGAGACUUCUUUUUAAAAUUCCACUUUAACUUUAUCUAAUUUAAAUUUUGUAAGAUUUUUUUAAAAAAAUGGUUGAUUAAAUUUAUUUUUUUAAAUAAAUAAAUAAAUAAGUUUAAUAUUGUGGUCAGUUGUAUUUUUUCUACUAAAAACUCUCUAACAUAUUAUGUUCAAUCUAAAUAUACGGAUACUUAAGUUGGAAUUGAGAUAUAGAAUAAUUUUAAAAAUUAAAAAUGAGAAAUUUAGUUAAAAUUUGAUAAAUUUAUAAGAUAUAUGAUAAAAAAAAUUUAACAGCAAAGAUUAUUUUUUGACAAUGAAAUCAAAAUAAUAAUAAAAUAUAUAUUAAAAGAUAAUUUAAAAAUAUAUUCCAUAAGUACCAAACGAAUAGAAACACUAAAUUAUAUAAACAAAUAAUAAUAAUGAUAAUAAUAAUAAUAAUAAUAAUAAUAAUAAUUCACAAUCUAUUAUUAACGUCUGAAUACAUUUAUUGUACUUUUUAUAUUUUCAGGAAUGCAUUUGUCAGUAGGUGAAAAGACGAAAAAUCAAGAAAAUAUUAUGAUAAAUAUGUCCUUAUGCUUACAAUCCAGGUUGACAAUCAUUUCACUAAUAAAUUUGUCCAUUCGUGCCACUUAGGUUAGACUACUUUAUCAAAGGUAACGGAAAGAACAAGAUAUAUUUAUCAUACUUUUUAUAAUUUAGGAACUAAAUUUUGUGCACAUUUAUCAACAAAUUAUACGUUGAGGGACAAAAAUAACUAUUUAUCCAAUUUUAAAUAUCAACUUUCUUGUCUCCCUUCAUUAGAAAAUAGAGUUAAAUACAUGUCCAAACCCUCAUUCACUCAUAAUGACAACAAUUAGUGACAUCCUCAAUGCUGUUAUAAAUGUUUUUAUCCGAUUCUUGCAUAUAAAAAAAUUAUUAUAUCUUGAGGUGACGUGAAAUGGGAAUUUGAAAUAAGGGACCAGCAAGGUUUUGAUGUUGAGGUGAAGAAAUGCGGGUAUCGUUGUGUAUCUGAAAAGGAUCUACAAGCAUCAAAAUUAACAAUGAUGCACACCGAAUAUUCAGUGUCUUGGAAGCACAAGUUUUUACAAUUGAAGAUAACAAGUAGCAACUGCAAUUCAUCUACACUUCCAUCAUAGUGAAGAACUGGAGACAUUGUUGAAUAUGGAUGCAUGAUUUGCACAAUCAAACCAAAAAAGGAUGCACACAGUCGAGACCAAGUGCUCACGGUCUUUGUUAUUAAUUAUUUUUAAAAAAUAGAAAGUACAGUAGUUAUUUGUCCCUGAAAUUAUUUCUCACUUGUCAUUUAAUUUUUUAAUUUGUCUUAUGUAUUUAUGUGAGUGUGUUAUUACUUAAUAUAGCAUUAUUAGUACCGUUGAUUACUAUUAUUUUGUUAAACAAAUGAUUUGUAAUUAAGGGUAUUAAAGGGAUUACCACUUGAGAUGGUUAUAGUUUGUUAUAGCAAAUUAAUAUAAUCGUAAAAGUGUAGGCUCUUGUUUUGCAUAGCUACUAUGGUUAGUUGCAAAGCAAUGUCUGUUAUCUGUUAUAUGCAUGUACUGCAAUACUGGAUCAAUACUGAAAGCAAGCAAUGAAUUGAGACUUAUUUUAUGCCCCUUCCUUCUCUUAUUCUGGAGGUUCCCUUCUCUCGAAGGAAGGAUCUAUCACCUUUAUUGGUAAAUUGGACAUGUUCAAUUAUCUAGAACUAGUGACUACAUAAAAAUAUACACUAAAAAUUCUUGCUUUUGUAAUUACCUUGGACCUUCAGAUAUGAUGAUCUCUCUGGUUCUUUACUUGCUAGUGCAGAGUUUUUGAUGACCAACCAACUCAUUACAAAUUAUUUGAAAUUGAUACUAUUAGAUUUGAAGUGUAUAAAUAAAAUGCAUACUAAUGGAUCAACUAUUUUUAUCCAAAAACAAAUCAGUUUUCCUUUUUUGUGAAUAAACGAAUCAGUUUUUUCUAAAAAUACAUAAACUUGUUUAAAUAAUUUUUAUUCACUCUGUGAGAAAGUUACGUGGGAGGAAUGAAUGUUUGUCCUUGUGAGACUGUCAUCCAAUGCACCCCUUCUUCAUCUCACGCAAUAAGGACAUACGACGUCUUUGUGAAAUAUGGCCAUCAUCAUUGGACGCCUGAAAAGGAUCUAGAAUAAUAAAUCCGCGCAUGCCCGGGUAAAUAAAUGAAUUAUUUAUAUUAAGGACGAUUAAAAGGCAUGUUAUAAUAUAAAUUCUAUGUAAAUAUUUGAAUUACAUUAAUGAGUAUUUUUUUUUUGUUCUUUUCUUUUUGAAUAUGAAAAUAUAAAAAGUAAAGUGAAUUAAAAGCCCAAAGAAAGCUCUUAGUCAAUGAUAAAGAUAUCUGAGUAAUUUUAAUUGAAUCAAAUAAGGUGUUUCAGAGAAACAAAUUAUAAGGCACUUUGAAGAGCAAAUGUUUUACUAAAUUGAAAAAUGGAUAAAAAAAAUAUACAAGAUUUCUACAGAUUUUUGAAGGAUUCUUAAUUAAAUUGACGCGUUGGGCUAGAUUUUUAGGGUUUGGCAAAAAAAAGAGUGUCCUGUUGUUGUUCAUAUUAUUUAAUAUUAAUUACUAUACUGUUUAAUAUAUUUUUUAUAACCGGCACCCUUAUCAAAUUAAAUGUCUUAAUUGAUUAUGAGUUCAUAUAACCAUCUAUAUAUAUAUAUAUAUAUAUAUAUAUAUAUAUAUAUAUAUAUAUAUAUAUAAUUUCAAAUUAUCAGCUACUUAGUACUAAUGAAAGCAACAUUAGAGUUUUGGCCAAAGAAAUUGUUUUUUUCUUAUAAUUAAUAAUAAUUACAUUGUAUUUAUUAAUUUCUAUUAUUGUCUUUUAAUUUUGGUGUUUUAAUUACAAAUUAAUGUAAUCAUUCAUAAACGUAACUACUAAUUAAUGAGAUUUCAAAUCAUCAACAACUCAAUACUAACUAAAGCAACAUUAGAGUUUUGCAAUUAAUGUUUAUAAGGGAACAUAUUUGGUAUGACUAUGCUACAAAAUAAAAGAUAACUCAUAAUUUUUUAUAAUGUUGGUCAGGUUGAACAAUUACAUAUGUUUAAAGGGAAUAGAGAGACUCUAUUACACGAAUGAUUAGGUGGAGGGGCAUAAUCAUCAUAAUUUCUAGAGAUGAAUACAUAUUAAGGACACAUGGAAUAAAUAAUGUUUACCAAAUCUAACCAUUGAAUUGGGACAAUGUUAUUUAGUUAUUUUGCAUAUAUGUUUUCAAAUGUAACUAUAUUAUGAAUGAUUAUGAAAAGUUGCACAAGAUGAACUAUUACAUGCUAAGGCCAUUUCUUAGCAAUUGAAGAAAUUAAUAGGCAAAUCUUUGUUUGAUCAAAAUCUUUCACAGUGAAUAAGUACAUUGGAUAGACUAAGAGAUAAUAAAAAUAGAAAUAUUAUGAAUGUUAAAAAUAAGUUAUGAUGAUCCCCAAGAAAAAGACUUAAAAAUAGAAUUUAUUUUCAAGUUUUAUAUAUGUGCUUUAAAAAAUAGAAUGUUUCAGAUUUUGAUCCAAAGAGCCAUUGCCGAGCCUCUGUCAUAUGAUGGUUUGACUAGUCUCAAAGAUUUUGAUUCACGACAAAACAAUAUGUCAAAAACUGACAUUACCCAACAUUAUUUGAUGCAAUAUUUUGAAAACUAGAUUGAAGAUUGAACAGACAAUGGUUUUUAUUUUGAUACAGGGUAUCACAAUAGUUUAGUUUUUUUUUUUUUUUUCGUGUCUAGUGUACAUAGCACAAAUUGAAUAUUUCAGAUUUUUUUAUCUAGACAGCUAUCCCAUGUGCUCUAAUAUGUGGGGGCUGUACUAGUUUCAAAGAUUUGUAUUCUUUAAGAAAAAGAACAGAAAAAAAAAGGAAGUCAUGACAUCAACCAAUGCUCUCUCUCUCUCUGCAAUGUUUUGAAAAUCAGAACAAAGACUAAAACAAGAAGACCUCUGGAUCAUUGUUUGAUUGGUCCAAUACAGUUAUAAUAAAGUCUGAACAAGUGACGCGGUUUCUGCGGACCCCAACAUAUGGCAAGUGGGGGAAGAAGAUGCCAAGAAAAACUCUUCAUUUUCACUGUCCAUCCUUUAAUUUCUUUGUAUCCAUAAACAAUAUAUCUUAAGUUGAAUAAAUAGAAAAAAAUAAGUUAAAUUAUUCAUUUGUUCUUAUAAUUUUAUUAUUCUUAUAUUUUUAUCCCUAUAAUUUGAAAACAAUUUUUUAGUCUUAUAAUUUAUAUUUAAUUUUUGUAAUUCCUAUAGUUUAAAAAUAAUAUUUUUAGUUUUUUUAGUUCUUAUGAUUUAAAAAUAAUAUUUUUAGUUUUUAUAAUUUGUAUUUUAAUUAUUUUUUAGUCUUUAUUAAAAAAAUAUAAAAAUAAUUAUAAAUUGAUUAUAAAUUAUCAAUUAUUUUUAUUACAAAUUUGAUAAAAUAGUUAUGAAUUACUUACUAAUAUUUUUAUAGUUAAUUGUAAUUGAUAAUAUUAUUCAUAUUUCAAUAGUAAAGAUUAAAAAGAAAUUAAAAUAUAAAAACUAAAAAAUAUAUACCAAACAUAAUCUUCUUAUUUUGAUAAUGAUCUUUUUCUUUUUUUUUAAAGAAAUCAAAAUACAUAAAAAAAAUUCUUAUAAAAAAGUAUAUGUUAUUUGUUUAUCUAUUACUUGUGUUAACAGCAUGUGAAAUGUCUUACUAAUAAGAAAUGUGUAAACAUUUUUUCUAAUUGUAGCAUCCAAGUCAACAUGUAUGCCUUAUUCACACUCAGUGUCAGGUGUCUUAAUUUUCUUCCAAGAGAUUGUGUCAAUACUGAAGAUUUAAGUCUAGCUGACUUGACUUAAUAAUAAUAAUAAUUUAUAACAAUCUAUAAGUUAUUCUAUUCAGUGAAAAAAAAAAAAAACAGGGAAAACUAAAAUAAAGUGCGAAUAAGUGACGCGGUUUAUGCGGACUCCUCAUUUUGACUAUGCAUGCUUUCUUUGCAUCCAUAUAGCAUGUAUCUUAAGUUUAAUAAAAAAAAAAUUAGGUUAACUUUACAUAUUUUUUUCUAUAAUUUUAGGAUUAGGAUAUUUUUAUCCCUAUAAUUUAAAAUGAAUUUUUUUAGUCUUAUAAUUUAUAUUUAAAUUUAUUUUUAAUCCUUAAAAUUUAAAAAUAAUAUUUUUAGUCAUUCUUUCGGUACUUACAAUUUGAAAGUAAUUUUUUUUAUAAUUUUUAUUUUAAUUAUUUUUUAGUCAUUAUUAAAAAAAUAUAAAAAUAAUUAAUUUUAAAUAAGUUAUAAAUUAUCAACUAUUUUUUAUUAUAAAUAUGAUAAAUUAUUUAUGAAUUAAUUGCUAAUAUUUUUAUAAUUAAUUGUAAUUGAUAAUUGCUAAUAUUUUUAUAGUUAAUUAUAAUGAAUAAUAUUACUCAUAUUUUAGUAGUAAAGACUAAAAAUAAAUUAAAAUAUAAAAUAUAAAAACUAAAAAUAUCAUUUUCAAAAUAUAAAAAAUAAAAUAAAAUAUAAAUAUAAAUUAUAAAAACUAAAAAAAUUAUAUCAAAAAAAAGUUUUUCUAUUUUUAUAAUUUUAUUUCUCUCCCAAGAAAAUUAAAAUACACCUCAAACAAACAUUCAUAUAAAAAUAAUAUACAUUAUUUAUUUAUUAUUUGUGAAAAUCAUAUUAAUUUUUUAUAAUUAAUAAUUUAUAAAAACCGAUAAUAAUUUUAAUGUUAUAGACCAUGAAUAUCAACCCUAGUCAAAUUGAGGAAUGGCAAAACUAAGAUCACAUCAAAUGUCUUACUAAUGAGAAAUGUGUAAGUAUUUUUUCUAAUUUUUCUAAUUGUAGCAUCAAGUCCACACUUAUACCUUAUUCACACGGCAGUGUCUGUGUCUUAAUUUUCUUCCAAGAGCUUGUGUCAAUACGGAAGAUUUGAGUAUAGCUGACUUGACUUAAUAAUAAUAAUUUACAACAAUCUAUAAGUUAUUCUAUUCAAUGGAAGAAAAACAGGGAAACCUAAAAUAAAGUGUGUUCAUAUUAUCUUCAGUAGAAAGGAGAGUGAAAAAAUAGAUUUGGCGUUCUGCUUUUGCAACUUCACCCACCACGCUUAAGACCCACAAGGCUUGAAGAAUGAAUUCUAAGACGCAACUAUUAGCUUUGUAUAAAACAAAUUGGAAAAAAAAAAAAAAAGAGCGUUUCUUUUUACAAUUAUUAACUUUAUAUUUCUUCACUUGCAAUGAUUGUUCUCGCUUUACGCUUCUGCAAUUGCAAUGAUUUUUAAUACCAUCAACCGAAAAUAUUUAAAAUUUUAAAAAUUUGGAGAAUAAAAUUGUUGUUUAUUAUUAUUUUUUCAAAUGCUCUAUAUAAUUUUGUAUCUUAUUUUUCUGCAGAGACCAGCUAAGACCAAACAUAUAAUCAAAUUUACAUAAACUUCAAAUAUUUUUAAUAAUAAUAAUACAAUUAAAUAUAAAUGAGUCACGUCUUGAAUGCCUAAAAAUAAAAAUAAAAACGCGUUAGCAUUAAUAUCUAUAGUCUUCACUAGAAAAAGCCGGGCAAUGGUAAAAAGUUAAUGUGCUCAUACAGUUUUACCACAAAGAUACUUAGUCCAACUUAACAGCCCUGCCACCGAAUUGGAAUUUGACACUAGCUUCUUAAUAAAGGAAUCGUGGAAAAUAAAGUCUGACUAUUUAGCUUAUAAAUUAAAUUAAAGAUAAAAUAUUGAUUUUCAUCUCUAAUAAAUAUUUAAUUUUUUAUAUUUUUUAAUAAUUUUUUAUUUUUAUUCUUUGGUAAAAAAAUAUUUUUUGUUUUUAGUCUCUAAUAAAUUAAUAAAUAUUAUAUUUCUUUUCUGAUAUUUUUUACUAAAAUAUAUUUAUAAUUUCUAAUAAAUAUUUAAAUUAUUUAUUUAUUUUUUUGCUAUUUUAUUAUUUACAUUGAGUUCUAAAUAAAAAAAUAAUUUUAUUUUUGAUUCUUAAUAAUUUUUUAAUUCAUAAUAAAUUAAAAAAAUUGGUAUUUUUUCCCGUAUUUAUUUUUAUGUUAUUUAUCUUUUUAAAGGAAUUAAUAACUUUUCAAAGGUAUUAAUAACAAAUAAUUUCUUUUACCGGGGAGCAAAUAAAAUAUUUCUAAUUUAUCGUAACUAAAAAAAUAUUUCAACGAUAAAAAUAAAUUGUUAUUUUUUAUUAAAGAAUAAAAAAAUAAAUCUUUUUUAUUAAAAAAUAAAUAUAAAAUUUAGAUAUUUAUUGAGAUCAUAAACAUAUUUUAUUUUUUUUAUUAAUUCUUUUGAAAAAGAUUAAUAACAAAAUAAAUAAAAAUAUCAUUAAUUUAUCAUAAAUUAAAAAUAUUAAUAAACAAAAAUAAAAUUACUGUAUGAAAUCAAUAUAGAUAAAAAAAAAUAUCAUUAAAAACCAAACAUUCAAAUAUUUAUUAAAAAUGAAAACACAGCCUCUUGAAUUUAUAACUUCAUGUGAACGAUUACUUUAAUUAAUGAUAAUGAAACUUUCAGUGUGUCUCACGGUAACUUUAAAUAAGUGACGCGGUUUCUUGCGGAUCCCAACAUAUGACAAGUGGGGAAGAAGCUGCCAAGAAAAACUCCUCAUUUUCAGUGUCCAUGCUUUCUUUGUAUCCAUAAACCAUAUAUCUUAGUUGACUAAAUAGAAAGCAUUAUUAUAUAUCUUGAGUUGAAUAGACAGAACAAGGGAAAAAUAAAGUGAAAAUACAAAAACAAAAAACCAAACAAAUAAAGAGGAAAAGCAACACAUCAAAAUAGGUGACGCGGUUUCUGCGGACCCCAACAUAUGGCAAGUGGGGGAAGAACCUGCCAAGAAAAACCCCUCAUUUUCACUAUCGAUGCUUUCUUUGUGUCCAUAAACCAUAUAUGUUAACUUUAAUAAAUAAAAAAAUUAGGUUAAAUUUACACAUUUUUUUUCUAUAAUUUUAGGAUUAGUAUAUUUUUUUCCUAUAAUUUAAAAAUAAUUUGUUUAGACUUAUAAUUUAUAUUAAAUUUUUUUAAUCUCAUAUUUAAAAAUAAUAUUUUUAAUUGUUAUAAUUUAAAAUUUAUUUUUUUAAUUUUUAUAAUUUAUAUUUUAAUUAUCUUUUAAUUUUUGUUAAAAAAAUAUAUAAAUAAUUUAUUAUAAAUUAUUUUUUAUCUCAAAUAUAAUAAAUUAGCUGUGAGUUACUUGUUAAUAUUUUUGUAAUAAACUAUUAAUAAUAUUAUUUAUAUUUUGAUAAUAAAGAUUAAAAAAAUUAAAAUAUAAAAUAUAUAAAUUAAAAAUAUCACUUUUAAAUCAUAGAAACUAAAAUAAAAUUAAAAUAAAAAUCAUAAAAACUAAAAGAAUAACUUUUAAACUAUACAUGUUAAAAUAAAAUUAAAAUAUAAAUUAUAAAAAAAAUAAUUUUAUAGCUAUAAAGAUUAAAAGAUAAAUGAUAGAAAUAAAAUGAGUAAUUAAAAAAAUAAAGAAAAAUAAAGGAAGAGUGAACCCAGACAGCACAUGUAAGGUAGGUUGAAAAAUGAAAAUCCUAAGACGCAAUCGUGACAUGAGAAACUGACGAGUGAACUACAGUUAUUAACUUUACAUAAAGCAAAUUGGAAAAAUAAAGAAAGAAGCGUUUCUUUCUACAAUUAUUAGCUUUAUAAUAUUUCUUCACUGCCCACAGUACUUGUCCUCGCAUUCCGCUUCUGCAAUUGCAAUGGCUUCUAAGGCCAUCAUCCAAUACAGCUCUUCUUCUUCUUCAUCUCAUGCGAUCAUCACUACAUAUGAUGUGUUUGUCAGCUUCCGCGGUGAAGACACGCGCAACAACUUCACUGCUUUUCUCUUUGAUGCUCUCUUUGAAAAUGGCAUCCAUGCCUUCAAAGAUGAUACACAUCUUCAGAAAGGCGAAUCCAUAGCACCCGAGCUGCUACUGGCCAUUCAAGAGUCUCGCCUUUUCCUUGUGGUCUUCUCUAAGAACUAUGCUUCCUCAACUUGGUGCUUGCGUGAACUUGCACACAUCUGCAACUGCACUAUUGAACCAUCCUCGAGUCGUGUUCUUCCAAUUUUCUAUGAUGUUGAUCCAUCAGAGGUGCGGAAACAGAGUGGUUAUUAUGGGAUUGCCUUUGCAGAACACGAACGAAGAUUCAGAGAAGAUAUAGAGAAGAUGGAGGAAGUGCAGAGAUGGAGAGAAGCUCUGAUACAAGUGGCCAAUAUCUCUGGCUGGGAUAUCCAAAAUGAGUAAGUACAAAUUUAUAUGCAGUCAGUCAUAUUAUAUCCAUGUGCAUACAUUUCAUCAUUUCUUAGUCAGGUUGUUUUUAUCAAACUUACUAUGGCUUUCUAAAGUAGAGUUCAUAGAAGUUGAGGACGUAGCAUGCAAAUUGACUCUAAAUUUAUACAUCUUUAAUGCAAAUGGUGUUUAAAAUCUCUGAAAUUCUCUUGCCCUGUACAUAUAUACAUUAUGUUGUGGUUCUGAUAAUUUGUCAUUCCUCAUUUUCUUUAAAUUUUCAGGUCACAACCUGCAAUGAUUAAAGAAAUUGUUCAAAAAAUAAAAUGUAGAUUGGGUUCCAAAUUUCAAAAUCUUCCAAAUGGUAAUCUAGUUGGGAUGGAAUCCCGUGUUAAAGAAUUAGAGAAGUGUUUAAAAUUGGAGUCGGUUAGUGAUGUUCGAGUUGUCGGAAUUAGUGGAAUGGGGGGAAUAGGAAAAACGACUCUUGCAAGUGCUUUAUAUGAAAAGAUUGCUUAUCAAUUUGAUUUUCAUUGUUUUGUUGAUGAUGUAAACUAUAUUUAUCGACGUUCUGGUUCACUAGGUGUACAAAAACAGUUACUUUCUCAGUGCCUAAAUGAUAAAAAUCUAGAGAUUUGCAAUGCUUCUGUGGGAACAUAUUUGAUAGGGACAAGGCUACGCAAUAAACGAGGACUUAUAGUUUUUGAUAAUGUUAAUCAGGUUGAACAACUACGCAUGUUUACAGGGAGUAGAGAGACUCUAUUACUUGAAUGCCUAGGUGGAGGGAGCAGAAUCAUUAUAAUUUCUAGGGAUGAACACAUAUUAAGGACACAUGGAGUACAUCAUGUUUACGAAGUCCAGCCAUUGGAAGAUGACAAUGCUGUUCAGUUAUUUUGCAAAAAUGCUUUUAAAUGUGACUAUAUUAUGAGUGAUUAUAAAAUGUUGACAUAUGAUGUACUAUCACAUGCUGAUGGCCAUCCCUUGGCAAUUGAAGUAAUAGGCAAAUCUUUGCAUGGUCGAAAUGUUUCGCAGUGGAGAGGUAUAUUGGUUAGGCUAAGUGAUAAUAAAAGUAAGGAUAUAAUGGAUGUGUUGCGAAUAAGUUAUGAUGAUCUGGAAGAAAAUGACAGGGAAAUAUUUUUAGAUAUUGCUUGUUUCUUCGAUCAGGAUUAUUUUGAGCAUUGUGAGGAGGAAAUCUUGGAUUUUCGUGGAUUUAAUCCUGAAAUUGGCCUCCAAAUUCUUGUUGAUAAAUCACUCAUAACCAUUUUUGAUGGGAGGAUUUAUAUGCAUAGCUUGCUCAGAGAUUUAGGCAAGUGUAUUGUUCGAGAAAAAUCACCUAAAGAGCCAAGAAAGUGGAGUAGACUCUGGGAGUGUGAAGAUCUCUACAAAGUUAUGUCGAACAAUAUGGUAUAAUAAAUUUUUUAAUGUAUAAUCUUCGGUUGCUCCAUUUUUUCUAGAAUUUGUUUGUACUUCAAAAGGUCUAAUAUUUUCUUUCUUGUUUGCAAUGUUGUAGGAAGCAAAAAAUCUGGAAGCCAUAGUUGUUGAUGAUAAAUCAUGGAUGUUUUUUAAUACAAUAAUGAGAGUUGAUGCUCUAUCAAAAAUGAAAAACCUUAAGUUGCUUAAGCUUCCCGAGUAUGAUAGUUUGUAUGGGGAUGAGGAAGAGGAGCUUUGCACAUAUACGAAGAAGGAUUUUUUUUCAGGAAACCUGAAUUAUCUUUCCAAUGAAUUAGGAUAUCUUAUUUGGCAAUGCUAUCCCUUUAACUCUCUACCUCAAUGUUUUCAACCACACAAUCUUUUUGAGUUGGAUCUUUCUUGGAGUAGCAUCCAACAUUUAUGGGACAGCACACAGGUAGUGUAAAUUUUUAUGUUUUUCCUAUUUUCAUUUUCUUUAAAGGAAUGUAUCAAUAGACAAAUUAUCUUUGAUUAUUCAAUUCUUGUUUGAAUAAUUAAUAAUUAUGAUCCAAGUGUUGUUUUUAAUUUUGUCUCUUUCUAUUGGCUCUUUAUUGCAGCCGAUACCCAAUUUGAGACGUUUGAAUGUCUCUUACUGCAAAUAUCUAAUCGAGGUGCCCAAUUUUGGUGAGGCCCUAAAUCUUUAUUGGCUAAAUCUCGAAAGAUGUGAACGACUCAAGCGGUUCCAUCCAUCCGUUGGUUUUCCUAGAAAUCUUACCUAUCUGAAUUUAAGAGGCUGCAACAGUCUUGUCGAGUUACCACAUUUUGAACAGGCCCUAAAGCUUGAAAUUUUAGAUCUGAGACGAUGUGAACUACUAAAACAGCUACCCUCAUCCAUUGGUCGUCUAAGAAAGCUUACUCCUUCAUUAGAAUUGGGAGGGUGUAAAAGUCUCACUGACUUGCCACAUUUUGUAGAGGACCUAAAUCUUUUGAAGAAGUUAAAUCUCGAAAGAUGUGAACAACUAAGGCAGAUACAUCCAUCCAUUGGUCUUCUAAGAAACCUUAUUGUUUUAAAUUUGAGAGAUUGCAAAAGUCUCGUAAACUUGCCACAUUUUGUAGAGGACCUAAAUCUUGCAAGGUUAAAUCUGGAAGGAUGUGUACAACUAAGGCAGAUACAUCCAUCCAUUGGUCAUCUAAGAAAGCUUACUGCUUUAAAUUUGAAAGAUUGCAAAAGUCUAGUAAACUUGCCACAUUUUGUAGAGGAACUAAAUCUUGAAGAGUUAAAUCUCAAAGGAUGUGAAGAACUAAGGCAGAUAGAUCCAUCCAUUGGUCGUCUAAGAAAGCUUACUGCUUUAAAUUUGACAGAUUGCAAAAGUCUAGUAAACUUGCCACAUUUUGUAGAGGACCUAAAUCUUCAAGAGUUAAAUCUGAAAGGAUGUGUACAACUAAGGCAGAUACAUUCAUCCAUUGGUCAUCUAAGAAAGCUUACUGCUUUAAAUUUGAUAGAUUGCAAAAGUCUAGUAAACUUGCCACAUUUUGUAGAGGACCUAAAUCUUGAAGAGUUAAAUCUCAAAGGAUGUGAAGAACUAAGGCAGAUACAUCCAUCCAUUGGUCAUCUAAGAAAACUUACUGUUUUAAAUUUGAGAGAUUGCAAACGUCUCGUAAACUUGCCACAUUUUGUAGAGGAACUAAAUCUUGAAGAGUUAAAUCUGGAAGGAUGUGUACAACUAAGGCAGAUACAUCCAUCCAUUGGUCAUCUAAGGAAGCUUACUAUUUUAAAUUUGAAAGAUUGCAAAAGUCUAGUAAGCUUACCUAGUAACAUAUUGGAACUUAGUUCUCUCAGAUACCUAAGCCUUUUCGGAUGUUCAAACNNNNNNNNNNNNNNNNNNNNNNNNNNNNNNNNNNNNNNNNNNNNNNNNNNNNNNNNNNNNNNNNNNNNNNNNNNNNNNNNNNNNNNNNNNNNNNNNNNNNCCAGCCUCAAGGAGCUUUCCAAACUGUUACAUUUAAACUUACAACACUGCAAGAGAUUGAGAUAUUUGCCUGAGCUCCCUUCACGAACUGAUUGGCCUGGGAGCUGGACACCUGUUAAACAUGAAGAAUAUGGAUUGGGAUUAAAUAUUUUCAACUGCCCAGAAUUAGUUGAGAGAGAUUGCUGCACCAACAAUUGUUUCUCAUGGAUGAUACAAAUACUUCAGUGCCUCAGUCUUUCCGGCUUUAGUGGGCUGUUCAGCUUUCCAUUAUUUUCAAGUAUUAUUCCAGGAAGUGAAAUACCAAGGUGGUUCAAGAAAGAGCAUGUGGGCACGGGCAAUGUCAUAAACAUAGACAGAUCUCACUUUACGCAGCAUUACAAAAAUAGGAUAGGCAUUGCGUUGGGUGUAAUCUUCGUGGUACACAAAGAAAGAAGAAUGCCCCCUCCAGACAUGGAACAACCUUCAAUUCUUAGUAUUACAUGUGGCCCUUCUAUUCCACCCCAACAAAGAGAGGGAGUACGUGAAGAUCUUCAUAUUCCGGUUCAUUACCGUGAACAUCUUCAUAUUCCGGUUCUUUUCCGUGAAGAUCUAGUCACGGAGGAAUCGGAUCACGUGGGGCUAUUCUUUUUCAAACGUCCAUAUUUUGAUGAGUUGAAAGUGGAAAGUAGAUUCAGAGAUCUUCAUGAUGAAGAUUUGUAUGUUGAAGUGAAGAAAUAUUGGUAUCGUUGGGUAUAUAAACAAGAUCUGGAAUUAUUAAACUUAACAACGAUGCACAGUAAAAAUUCGUCGCCUGGGAAGCGCAAAUAUUUGGCAAUUGAAGAAAACAAGUAGCAAUUGCAAUUCAGCUAGGCUUGCUUCAUAGUGAAGAAUUGGAGACAUAUUUGAAUAUGGAUGCAGAGUUGAAGCAGCAGUAGCAAGAUCAAGUUCGCCUGGACUUUUGGCGUAAAUAGUACAAUCAUCUCUUUAAAAGGUACAAAUUAAACAAAUUUCACUUUGUUUGAAACUUUGGAUAAUAAGGUGAGAAGAAACGCAUGGUCUGUUAUUAGUUUUAAAAACAUAGAAAUUAAACUAUUUAUUUAUCCAGACACUAUUCCUUGCUUGUCGUUUAAUUUUUUAAUUUGUCUUAUGUAACAUGUCUUUAUUUCUUUCUCUAUGUCUCCCUUUGCUCGAUUAUAUAUGUGUGUGAUGAAAAUUUAAAUAAUUUCAGAAAAUAUAAUUUGAUAUUUGUUAAUUGUAUAAAGGCUAUCUAAUUUUGUUGUGAUUUUACCCGUGCUAUUAAGAUAUAUUACUAUCUUAAUUUAUUACCUUCAAAUUAUAGUAUUUUGUUGAAUAAACGUAUUAUGUCCUUGCGAUUAUAAUAUUUUUUUAAAUUAUCAGUAUUAUUUGGUUCCAUGUUGUUAUUGAGUAAUAUAAAUUAUUUUUAUGAAUUAUAAGGAAAUUUAGUAAAACUUUUUAGGCGUGGAACUUUAAACAAAAUGAAAUUUGUUUAAUACACAAACUUAUUUUAGUAGUUUAUAGUUUAUUUUCAAGCUACAUGGAGUAGCAGUUAACUUAUAAGUUAUUAGCAUUUUUUUUCUUCUCAAAAUUUAUUUUCACUAAUUUGUUUUAAAAUAUUUUUUAUCCUUUAUUGAAUUUAAAAAUCCUUUUACCUAUUUUAAUAUUUAUAAUUUAUUGUGGGAAACUAUAUACUAGAUGACAUAUUUUUUUUUAUUAUGAAACUUUAAAUUCUGAUUUUUUAUUUUUUAUGCAAAACUAUUUAUUUUAAUGAAUUAUUGAAUUGUUAAUUUUUUUAUUUAUAUGUAAAUAUUUGGUCCCUAAACAAAGUUAAUAAGAAAAUCGAGAUUAUAUGAAAAAAAACAAAUUUUCUUUGUUGUUUAAAAAUAAUAUUCUUAAAUAAAAUAUUUAAAUAUUAAAAAAUAAUUUUAAACAAUAUAUGCUUAUUUAAUUUAAUUAUAAUAUAAAAAAUGAAAAAUUUAUUUAAAAUCAUAUUAGUUGAUGAAAAUACUUAAAUAUGUAGGCACGUAAUUCCUUUCUUUAAGAUAAAUAAAUAAUGACUUCCACCAUAUCAUGAAUAUUUUGUUUAGUCUAGUAGCAUUAUAUUUGGUAAACUAUACUUUGAUGGCAUUUUUUGUCCACUAAGAUAUAAAUUCUUUUGUAUUGCUUGAAUACGUGCUAUCCUGUUAUAUAUGAUUAUCUUCGCAUGUUAUCAUAUCUCCAACUCUAUUUAGGCAUGAGCAAGAAGUUCUGUUCUUUCUUCGUAUGCGCAUUGUUUUCUUCGCAUACUUUUAUAUGGCUAAAUUAUAUCCUGUAUAAUAUUUUGUUGGUAUAAAAUUUACAUUCUACUCAAUGAUAAGAAGAAAGAAAAAUAAAAUAAACUUAUGCACUGGCAUAUGAGAGAACUUCACCGAUGAAAAAAAGAUAUAAGAGAAUUUUUUCAUAAAAAAUAAUUUAUAAAAUUUUUAUCUUUUAGAAAAAUUAUAUAAGAAAAAUUCUAUAAAUUAAUUUCAAUUCUCACAAUUGAAUUAAAUAACAUAUAUAUAAUGCCUACCAACAUUGCAUGUUUUAGCAUUGCUGUGAAUUUUUAUCAGACAUUGCUUCUCCCCCAAAGCCGCAAUGCUUUCUUUUCUUCUUCUCUCUCGAUGUUCCCAGUUCCACUUUCAUGGCAAAGCUUUUUAUUCCAUUAAAAUCACUUUGAGUCUCACAUGCAAUUAUAAAACAAUGUUCACAUAUCCAUUAGCUUCUCAUUGAUAGUUCCUAAUACUCAAAUCAGCUGUAUUUUAAUUUUCUCUCCUUUUUAUUCUUUUUUUUUUCUGUCAAGUUGUUGUGACCCAUAUAAGUUCUAGGUAGUAAUUUUUAAGAUUCCUUGUAUUUUGAUAUUUUAAAGAGUGAUUUUUUAAGCUCCUAGAAUCUCCAUUUGGGUGCAGGAAUAAUCUUCAUCCAUCCUUUCUUCAUGUAUUUCUCUCUAAGGGAAAGAGAAGCUAGAGCUUGAAUCAUUUUGGGUUUUGAAGAGUAUAGAUAGGUGGGAAAAGGUGAGGAUUUUCCUAAUCCUAUAAUUUUCAAUUUGCAUGCGAAUUUGAUUCUUAGAGCACUAAGUCUCUCUUUGUCUAAUUGGAUGCCAUUGUUAGUCUCAUACAUAUUUAGAACCUGUUUUUGAUGUGUAUUGAUCCCCAUGCCCCAAUUUUGUUCUGUAAAUAUGGAUUUAAGAACAGCCAUGCCAAUUGCUUUGGUGUUAAAACAAAGUUGGCCAAGGACUAGUGUCUUAAAGCUUAUUAAAAUUCAUAUAAUUUAUUUUCUUGAAUUUCUUGCUGUUGGUGAAUCAUCUAUCUUUAUACAAACAAGGUCCUAACAUUAUAAGGAAAUGUCAAAAAUGUCCCUACUUUGCUGAGGUGUCGAAAUAUUAAGCCAUGUAGUUCCCGCCCAAAAACGUCAACAUCACGCUAUGUAGUUUCUUUUUAUUUUGUCUUCGGGUUUUUAUUGCACUUUUGUUUACAAUGCGCUUCUAUUUCCAAUGCGCUUCUAUGACAGAGAGGAUGUGGGCUCAGACCAUAAUUUGCAAGAGAUAGAACACACAAUGCAAGUGUUUUGAAGCUAAACCAAGUCACCAGUAACCCUAACUGCACCUCCCUUUUGUUUGAAUGAGAAAGAAGAUGAAAUGGAAGUGGUUGGAUGGUGAAUAAAGUCACCAGCAACCCGAGUACAAGUUUGUUUUCUUUGCAGGAGAAAGAAGAAGGUGAAAUAAGUAACCCACAACCCUAAGUACAGGUUCCUUUUCUUUGCAUAACCAAACUUUGCGAUUUCCUUAUUUGUUAUUUGUUAUGUUGCGAUUUUUUUGUCAAAUUUGCAUGAGUACAAGUACGUCAUGUGUUAGUUUUUUGUUUAGUUUACGGUUUUUAUUUACUUGGUGUAUAUAUACUUCACGAUUUCCUUAUUUGCUAUUUGUUAUGCUAGGAUUUUUUUAUUAUGCUGCGAUUAUGAAGUCAAAACUGCAUGAGUACAGGUUCGUCGUGUCUUGGUUUGUUUAAUUUAUGGUUUUUAUCUACCUUUUGUUCUGAUUCCCUUACUUGAAAUAGAACCCUUUACCUACAUUUUCUUUUUGCUUUCCAAAACGUCUAUGAUUAUAUAUUUGUGUCGUAGCAGUGGCUCACUAGGUGUUUCAUGGCAUCUCCUAUGUUGUUUGCAAAGUGUUCUGCCUUUCUAUGUUGUUUGGAUUUAUAUCUACUUGGUGUAUAUAUACAUUUGUUUUUAUGUACUUGGUCUAUAUAUACAUUUGGUGAUAAACGUCUAUUUUAUUUAUGUGUGUUCUCUUUGCAACAUAGACUGAUACUUUUUGUUAUUCCCCACUAUGUGCUUCAGACAGUGUAUGUCCACAGUUUGAGGUAAAGUGUUUUGAUUCCCUUACUUGAAACAGAACCCUUUGCCUACAUUAUUGUUUUUUUUUUGCCUUUCCAAUCCUUCUAUGAUCAUACAUUUGUGCCGUAGUAGUGGCCCACUAGGUGUUUCAUGGCCUCUGCUAUGUUGUUUGCAAAGUGUUCUGCCUGUCUAUGUUGUUUGCAAAACAAAUUGAGACCUUUUGUUAUUCCCCAUUGUUUGCUUCAGACAUUGUAUGUCCAUAGUGUAUUGUGUUUUAUAAAUUAUUCUUUUGUAUUUAUAAAGAAAAUAUUGUGUUUUAUUUGUAGCGAUGUCUCGCAAGGAAAACCUGAUCUUUGAAUUGCAUACCAAGAAAGGGGCUUGGAAGAUAGCAAUAUGAAUCACUGAUAUGUGGCACGUUAACAAGCACAAUGGUAGGCAAGCAAUUAAGAUGGUGUUGAUGGACCAAAUGACGAUUUUGAUGUUAUUCGAUAUACUGUAAUUGAGUACAUUCAUUUUAGUGCUUUGAUACAUUCAUGAGUUUCAUUCCUGACUCUUGUAGGGUGCAAUGAUUGGCGUUACUCUAUGGCAAUAACUGUUUGCUGAAUUUGAGGCAAAGUUGCAUUGUGGUUCUGCAUAUUUGAUUCAGAACAUUAAAGUUGUUGACAAUCAUUCUACAUACAAAGUAAGUACGAUUUCAUUUGUGGUUUACUUGGUGGUUAUGUUAACACUUGCUAAGAUCAAAGAUCCUAAAGGUCAUUCUAAUGGAGUUUUCUAUUUCUUUUAAAUUUGCUUCUAUUUAUUAUAUGAAUGCAUUUUACAUGUAACUAUAAUAUUAUUUGCAGACAAAUAUCCCUUCAAUGUCCAAAAUAUCAAGCAUGGGUCAAAGUUGUAUGUCAACAUUGAUAUAGCAAAAAUCCAAGAAUUCCAUAAUAGGUACAAUGCAUAUAUUUUUGGAACACUCAAAUUUGACCUUCAUCUUUUGUUGCAUGCUCAUAAUAAAACCAAAAUUUAUUCAUGUUGAUGAAUGCAUAUUAGAUGUAGGUAUGUCGUUCUAUGCUGGCAGAGUAUCAAAUGAAGGAAGUGUUUCUCAAUCACAAUAUAGCUAAUAUUCCCAACGAAACUCAGUUGAAAAGUUCUUGCAUAAUGCUCAAAUGGUUAGGUUAGUUGAAAUAAGCAGACUGAGAAAGGUAACAAGUUUAACUUUCAAAUUAAUGACCCUGUUAUUUGAAUAACUGUUAUCAAGAUUAACCGUUCAUUCAUUUAUGUUUUGCAUGUACUAAUUUAGGACUGUUACUAGUUGAUCGUUGGUACGGUGGAUGAAGUCAUCAUUGAUACACAAUGGAGUUAUGAUAAUUAUCUCUACUGUACUACGACAUUUGAUCCAUUGAAAAUUGGUGUCAAUUUUUGUUCGUGCUAGAACUAAGUUACUCACACCGUUCCAAGGUAACUUAUAUGUCUCCCCAAAUUUCCAACAAAGUCAAUUCCAAUGAGUUAUUAUGUAUAUUAUUUUAGUGUUUAUUAAAAGGGAUCGAAUAUUGUUGUGUUAGGUAUAAGUUAGUUCUAAAAAUGGAACAGAAUGAGGAGAAGGCUAACUUCCAUUUUUGGGAUGCAACAUGUAUCAAAAUUUUUGGCAAAACGAUCGAUCAAUGUCGCCAAGAGUAGAUUGCAGUAUGUUUUCUGAAUUAGAAUCAUCCAUGUAUGUUAUCUAUAUUCAUAUUGCAUUUAAUUUGUUUAUUUAUUCAUAGAGUGGCGAUGAGAUCAAGGUUUUCCCUCCCUAUUUUGAUGAAUUAUUGGGAAAGACUUGGGCUGUCAGAUUUUAGUACCAUGCACGAUGCUCAAAAAGGCCUACAAUGUGUUGCUGAACCUUGGUACCAAUAUUUGAGAGACAAUGCCUUCAGUGUUGGAGAUGAGAUAUGUUUCUACUUUAGGCCUUAUAAAAAAGUAUGAGAGUUGAUAAUAAAAAAAUAGUUGGCUUGGGAUGAUAGUGACUCCAAUUGAAGAUGGUAGUUUAGUAGCUUAUUUUAGAAUUGUUUGUUGGUGAAAUUAUUAUGUGUCGUCUAUGCUAAAGUACUUCUAUGUUGUAAUUCAAUUACCUAGCAUUACCAGACAAUGUUUCCUUUCGGUAUUUACGACUAUCUGAACAACGUUACAGAACUAUAUGGUUAUUUACUAUUUGUUGAAAUAUAUAACUUCCUUUUGGAUAUAUUCAUAUAUUGGUAUAUAGUAUUAAUUUGUGCAAUCCGAAAGAACAUUGAACCCUAUCAAUGGUUGUUACAUAUAUCAAUGCUAUCCAAAAAGUUUUAAAUCUAGUACAUAAGAAGAUUUUGUUAUAAACAUUGUUUGUAAAACUUUGUAUUUUGAAAUCAACAAGUUUAUCAAUAAUACCUGUUUAACACAAAUAAGACUAAUAAAUUAACAAACACACCAAAGAUUUCAACAAAACACAAAUUCAAUAAAAUAUAACAAAUAUAUUGUAUAAAACAUUUUUGUGAAAGCUGUCAACACAAAUAACGAAAUGUAGGUACCAAAUUACUGUAGCGUUGAUAGAAGUCUCAGCCUAAACCACACAAAUGUCUAAUCAUAAACUUGGUGGGAAACAAAAAUACGCGAGGGAAUGCACAAGUCACCCUUCUUCCUUUUCUUUACUAGCUUCUCAUGACUAUCAAUGGUGAACAAUAUCAAAAUCUUCACCCAACUUCUACAACAUCAAUUCUCAUUCAAUAGUAGGUAAAAGCCGGAUGAUGAUAAAUGAUGAACAAAAUGGGAAGCCGAAAAGUAAGAUUUCCACAACAUCACAACUUCCCUCCAACAUGAACAACAAAAGAUAUAUCUUCUACUCCUAAAUCUGAAGGAAAUUUUCUAUAUUUAUACAAUUUAUUAUAUGUUAUACUUAAUAUUCUAACAGCCAUUCAUGUACCAUUAUUUGUUCUGAAACAAUAUCAUGUGGCUACUAUUCGUACAUUGCUAGAUAUACGGAAGUAAUACUACAUGUUGCAGGAUUAUAUGUUGCACCUAAAUUCUUAUUUUCAAAGAAUCACAAAAUGUUGUAGAAUACUUUAACAACUGGAAGUUCAAAUGGAAAAUUCUGCCCAACAAAGGAAAAAUAGAAAACACAUUUUGCAAAAAAGAAGACAAGGUUCUGACACUCCACAUCAGCAUUUAGCAAAUGGUAACAAUGACUACAAACCCCCAAUUGACGUGUACAUAUUAUAAUAAUACUAAUUCAAAUAUAAUAUUGUUAUUGCAGAAAAAAUGUAAGCGUAUUUCAACAUGUCACCCACACUUUAUGAUGACAGUCCUACACUACAUACACAGUGCACACCUUUUGGCAAACAUCACUUCUUCUCGAAUCAGUCCCACCAACAUUACACUAGGGAAUUCAAAUUCGACGAAAGCAUACUAUCAAUGUACAUACCAUCAACGCUUUAUCAUCUAGACAAAUCUAUUGUACAAGUUUGGGAAAGAAAAUAUAACUUCAUCAAACCUCAAACGACCAUUAACUUCUACAGAACAUACAACCACACCUGCUGCUCCAAUUCAAUCUGCCAAUAUGUCUCAACAUAUACAUUCUGGGAGAUAUACAAUACACAAAUCAAUACUAAUAUCUCACAUCUCAUAUGAUAGUGAUGACGAAAACAAUAUAAACUAGACAAACAUUGAUACAGGUAAUAUGUGAUUAUUGUUAUUACAUCUAAAAUGACUAAAUCCGUGUGGAUUAUAAUUACAUCAUGUCAAAUUGAUCACCAUGUACAUUUAACUUCUUACUUUUCUAACUUACUUAAUUGGUUACAAUAGACCACAUUUUAAAUUACACAAAUUUGUGUCAUGUAGAAUAUUCAUUUGACAACCCAACACCAAUAGAGGAUGAUGCUGAUACUGAUCAUCAUAGCAAUCAUCAUACACCAUAUGAUUGUCAAAAUACCGGUAUUGAACUUCAAACUUCAACUUACAUUUUGUUGUCUUUUCAUUUCUUUUGCACGUGGGGAGAAUCUAAACUUUUGAAUGAAUGUGUAGGUGCAACAUACAAUGAUAUUGGAGAUCCAGUUUGGCAAUGCAAGCAUUGUAAUGCUAUGAUGUGGUAUGAUGAGAGGAUUAACAAGGACAAGCAGUCCAAAAACCCAAGGUUUGUAUUAUGUAACCCAAGGUUUGUAUUAUGUUGCGGUGAUGGAAAAAUACAACUUCCUCUACUACAAGAUCCUCCACAACCAUUGAGACAACUACUAUUUGACACCAACAGUACAGAAGCUAGAAAUUUCCAACAAAACAUUCGUUCAUAUAAUCUAAUGUUUGUAUUCACAUCACCUGGUGUCAAAGUUGACACAACCUAUAAUACUAGAAGAGGUCCUUUUACAUUUCACAUACAUGGUUAAGGGCACCAUCUUAUUGGAAGCCUCCAACCUAUGGCUGAUAAUUCAUCCAAAUUUGCACAGCUUUAUAUUUAUGAUACUGACAACGAAGUUAAGAACAGGUUUUCCCCAAACCCGUAAGUUUUUAACAUUCGACAAAUUACAUGUUACAUUAAUUAUGAGGGAUCAGGGUUGAGUGUCUUAGUAGAUAUGAGUGAAAAUUGAGAAAGUAUUAAACAGAUAAACACAUUAAUAUUGCAUCGAGGGUAGUUGUAUCACUAAUCAAUCAUAAAAAAAUUUCAAUAUAACUUAUACAUUAAUUAUUAUAAAAAUUAAUAGAUUUUUCAUACAUAAAAAUUUUGUGAUUAAAUAAAAAUAUAAUUUGUGCACAUAUUAUUUAUUUAAUAAGCUACAGUUGAAGAGAAUAAAACUAUCAAAGUUUACAAGUCAUUUUCAUUCAUUUUAAAAGAGUAUAUAAAUAAAUAAAAAGUUUGCUAAGACAUUUUAAUAUCAAGAGAGUUUCUAAUACCCAAGGAUGACCUCCUUUUCCAAACUACAGACAAAAUGCCAUAAUAUCUAAAAUAGUUUAGUAGUAUAAGAAAUUUUAGAUGAAAGCUAAUUCUAAAGUUUGAUUUCCGUCAAAGAUUUUUGCAUCAUUAAUCAAUCAAAAAAAUUAAAAUUUUAACUUAUAAAACAGUUAUUAUAAAAAAUUAUCAUAUGUGAUGACUUUGUGAUUACAAGACAAUAAAAUUUGUGCACAUGUUUUUCAUUUAUUAUUUUAUAGUUAGAGAAGUUAAAAUUAUCAAAGUUUAUAAUUUAUUUUCAUUCUUUUUUGAAUAAAUAAAUUGUUGAUCCAAUUACAUGACUCCAGUUAUCAUAUAUCGUUGACACGUUUUGCUUAAACAUGGAGAAAUUAAGAAUUGUAAGAACUAGAAUAAGAAAGAUAACAACAAGAAAUAUACAUGUGACAAGGUGUUUCGCGUAAGCAUGACUGUUACAUGAAGAAAAAUAGAAAUGAAUAUUUCUAUUUUUUUCAAAUAACGUAGAGGAUUCAACUUUUUUCAUUCACCAAAAAGUAGUCUAACAGAAUAAAGAUAUUUUUUUAUACUCUUAUUUUUAGAAUUUUUAUACUUUUAUGCAUAUUUUAAUUUUUAAUCUAAGUAUUAAAACAAAAAUAAAAAAUAAAGGAAUGAAGCGGAACAACCGAGCGUAGACAUGGUAACUGACUAGUUAUUUUUUAAAAGUAGAUAGUAAACUGGCUAUUCCAUCCUCACACUAUUUCAUACUAGUCAUUUAAUCUUUUAAUUUGUCUUCGGCUCUUUGCAUAUUAUUUGGUUUCUAAAUUUAGGAAUAUCACUCCAAGCGUGAACUUCCAUGUGCCAACCAAUUUAACAUCAAGUGAAUGGUGGCUAUUGUAUCUUCAUAUAUAUCUUUAUCACAUAGAAUAAAAUGAAGUAACAAACCAAAAUGGUGAAAGGAUGCUGCCAAACCCUCCCUGGGGAUAUAAUCAAGUUGAUGCAUAAUCAAUUUGAGCAUCCGGGAAUAAUCAAGCAAAGGAACAAUGGCAAGUAGAUAUUGUUGGAAAGGAUCUGAUCUGAACAUCCUUGAACAGAAUAGACCAUGCCAGUUGCCAUUUUACUGUCACGGAUGAGUGGAAUGUUUUAUGACAAUUGGGCAUUGGUGCCAAAGAACAAAAGAGAAAGGAAUUUUUGAAGUCCCACCAGAUAAUGACUGAAACGAGAAUAUAGUGAGUGAAGGGGCUCAGUUACUUUUACAAUCACAAGUUUCUAUGAUAGCAUUGAAGUUCCUUCUUUUUCUUCCAUGUACUUAUCUUGUGUUUCUGACUGUAAAUAGACCAAAUGACCAGUGUGUAAUUGUGGUUAUGUAUAGCUAGUUGUAUUGGUUAUGACAUAUCCCGAAAGAAUAACGAGUAUAUAUAUACAACAAUCAUCCCGGUGCCCAAAAAGGAACAUGGAAAACCAACCAUGCCGGCCCCAACAUGAAAAUUAACCGUCCAUGCAAAAAUUAAUAUUAUUGAUACAAAAUGGUAAUGCACCAAAUUGUAUCGGAUAAGAAUGUAGCAAACUGUCAAUAAUCUUAUUGUGAAUUCAUUUAAUUUUGUAUUGGAUACAAAGGAUAAGUUUCAGGUACAGGUACAAUAUUUGUAGAUCAAAACACUGUGCAUACCUAAACAACUCAUAAAAGAAUUGGUAUACAGUAAUCUGCAAUUCUGCAUCACUAUGACAUGAUACUCCAUAGACUAAUUUAUGAAAUAGUGACCUUUAAAACAAUUAUAACUAACACAUGGCCCUGGAAAUCAACAUAAACCUCAGUCAGCAACAUGUUUGUACCACUACAUUAUUUCCUGUCUGCAUGUAAUCAAUGCCAAGCUGAAGCUGAAAUCAAAUUUCUCUCCUUCCAUCCCAGUAGCAUGGCCCCAUCCUUCUCCACAAGAUUAUAAUGUUCUGAAUAGCACCUCAGCAGGCUUCUUAUGACAGAAUUCACAUAAGCUGGAAAAUAUAAAGUUUGAGGCUCCCUCUGUUACUUAGCACUAGAGUAAGCAUUUCUCUUUAUUAGUUUAAGUCAAACCUCAUCCAUUUAAGCCAAAACAACAGUUGUGCCAAAAAUAAAUCUGCAUAACAGGCGUUGAAACCUACCUGACAAGAAUAUUCAACAAAUAUUCUACAAAACUUCAAAAUUUAUGGAACCAGUAAGUCCGCAAAGAGGACUUCCAGAUCUAAAGUUCACAAAAAUACCAAAGACCAACUCUGCCAGACCUUAACACACAAACUUCUGCAAGACAGCUUAUCUGGUGUCAAAAUUUGGCAGCAACCACUAACCAUUUCAAUUCUAAGCUUUCUUGAUGUUUUAGCCAUCCCACUCUUAACUUUUCCCAAACCCAUUGCACUAAGCUUGUUAAACCUUAGAGUUUAGGUUAUUUAGAAGAUUUUACCUUUUUGGUUCAAAACUCUCUAAUUAAAUAUAAGUCCUAUUGAUCAAUAGUAUGAAACACAGUUUCUUCACAAAUAAUCCCAAACUCUUCAUGAAAUAAAAAAUAUUACAGAUAAAAAUAAACUAUUGAAAUUGCUCUGCACCUUGUUCGAGACAACAAGGCCAUUGGAUUCACAGCCAAUAGAUUUUUGUCCAGAGAAUGCUUUCUGACUGCCUGCUUCCUAAUCUCUCAAGCCACCAACACCGUUUCAGACACACCUUUAAAACAACUACAGGCAUUUAAAACAACUACAGUCAAAGAGUCUCGUAGGACAAAGGAUCAAAAUAAAGAAAUUACGGAUGGCUCAAGCACCUGAAAAUAUCCAUCUUUACACAUGAAAACGAUAUAGAGUUAGUUUGGAGAAGUUUUUCAAUAAGCACUUUAAGAAAAUGAAAAAAGAAAUAAGAACUGGUCACAAAUUUAAGAGAAGUUACAAUGUACACAACAUAUUGGAGAUAACCCCAGGACCAGCAUGAGUGUGAAAAAUCAAAAUUGCCCAAAAAUAGUUCAUGCUCUGCCGAGAGAGCAUGCUGGAAACAAAGUAACAUAUAGCUUGAAAUUUCUUGAAGCGAAAAUAAGGACAUGAAUGAUUGGCAGCGAUACAUAAUUCAAAUAGGGACAUAAGUAGCAACGUAAUUGAGAUAAAAGUUGGAAACAUCUCAAACAACUUCCCUACAAAAUGAUUUCUAAGAUUUCAUGUCUUUGAUAAACUUUCUCAGAACAAUAUGAAGUUUAACUUUAAAUAGAGCAGAGGCAGCUACCACAAAUGUUCACUUUGUAAUUGUACUGUAUAAAACGACCAAAUGUACCUACCAACAAAGAGAAACUUUGAAUACUUCCAUGCCUACCUAUAAAUUUUCGAAGAUAAUAAAAAGGGCCCAAUGUCAUCAUCAAACUUAACCCUUAUGAUCUCCAACCAAAUGCAUUCACCUGAAUCAUAGAAAAAUCCAUGGAGAGAUAUUUAUUUAGCAAGUUCAUGCUCAUUGAGGCUUCUGCCCUCUCUUCCUCCUAAAUUUCUCCCCUCUCAUUGGGCUCAUUGGUAUGUUUCAUUAGAAGUCAAUUUAUUAGAGAAUUUAUAUAAGUUCAGGUAAAUUCAUUUCAAUAUUACACUGAGAGGAUUUCUGAUACUUCUAUAGAACUGCUCAAGUAAUUUAUAUUCUAUGAUAAGAACAUAAAACUUCGUACCCCAUUGCCCAGAGGCUCUUCGCUAUGCGAAGGUAUGGGGGAGGGAUAUUGUACGCAGCCUUACCCUUGCAUAUGCAAAGAGGCUGUUUCCGGAUUCGAACCCAUGACCAACAAGUCACCAAGGCACAACUUUACCGCUGCACCAGGGCUCGCUCUCAUUCUAUGUUAAGAACAUAAUACUUAAAAAAUGAAAUCAGUUGUUUACUCUUUCUUUUUGCUUCUUUUACAUUUUAAUCCUUAGAUAAGUAGCUAAUCCUACGCAAGAACCUAGCUAGCUCAUAAAAAUACUUCACCAAUUCGCACAGAUCUAUAUACUGAGAAGGGGCGGUUUAUUUUAAGUGCAUGUGAAUGGCAGACCUGGUGAUUUGCAAGCUCUCCAUCUUGAGAAGUCCACUCGAAACAGAGCAAUCACCGAAUCCACAAUCUGCCAAAAAUAAAUUUGGUCAACUGUCCAUAUCCCAUGAUAUUGCAAACUGCAUAGUGCAUAGGAAAGAUAAGUAUAGGCACGAGCAGAUAUAACAAUCACAAACAGAAUAUGUUUAGGUGUCAACACCAAACUACUUUCCUUCAGAACCUAUUAUGAUAUAUAUGAAACCAACUAAACUUAUACUGCCCCAGGAUCCAUGCCAAAUCUCUCAGCUAUGGGAACAAUUCAGUCUGGUCGGCUACAGUUAUUUGUGAAUGAACAGGAAACAUUGGUAAAAUUUGGACGACAUUAGUUGAAAAAACAAUCACAAUUCAUAAGUUAUGAGUGGAAUCUAUCUGAAUCAAGAUAUGAGUUGAAAAAACAAUCACAAAUUUGGACGACAUCAUUUGAAAAAACAAUCACAAUGCAGAGGUGAACUUAUGAAAUUAAAAAUGAGCCGAAUCUAUCUGAAUCAACAUAUGAGUUGUGUUUUCACAGCAAUUCUCCAAACGAUUGUGUAAUUGCCGAUGUUUCAACCCCGCCUUUUUAAAAAGAAAAUUUCAAAAACAAAAUAUUUAUAGCAUAUUACACCGUCAAAUUUCAAGACAGUAAGAAAGAAAUUCCCAGCGUUAAGCUACCUCCUAGCAAUUCAUCAAGCGCUUGGCUUCCGGUAGUUAGUCAGAUCACCGAACAUUAAAUCUUUUCAUUUUUUCUAUUUUCUAUCUCUACGCCCAUAGAAUGUUCUUGCUCAAGACAUGAAUCACACAAUUGAAGAACAACACAUUCUUCAGAAAUACUUAGCAGAGAUUUAAUAUACCUAACAAUAAUGUUCCCGUGCUGUUUUUUUUUUUCAAGAGAGAAAUCUCACGAAUGGUGGUGUUGGGAUCUUACUAGUUUAUUACCAUAAAAUAUAAACAUAAAAUACUUUUUAUAUUGACAUUCAAUAUGAAUUUAUCUUAUUAGUUUAUUACCAUAUCAUAUAUAUUAUAGAAUCAGAUAAUGUGGCUGGAAGACUAAUUUCUUUUUGAAUGUUUAACAAGCAUGUGCUAUUUAAAGAUAUAAAAAAAUGAAUAUUAAUGAGUGAAAGUGGCUCGUGAAAAUGAUGAUUUGAAACAAUAAACCUUUUGUCUUUGUUUAUUAUAUAUUUCAUCCAGGUGGUGUUUUUCACAAACUCUAAAACAGAAGCAAACAAAUUGGCCAUGUUGAUAGCAAGGUUGUACAUCGGGUGCCAUGCAUGACAUAAUAUCUCUAAGGAAGGCUUACCAUAUAUGGUAAUGCAACUCGGACAAUGGGAGCCAUAGCUCAAAGCAUCUAGAAAUUUAAUGCAGUGCAAAUAUAAGCUAAGCAUUUAUUAGAUUCAUUUUUAAAUUUUAUAUAUGAUUUUUUUUUUCUAAUUUCAUGUCCAUAGGCUUCCAAAUUUUCGGAAUAAAGAAGGCAGCAAGACACUCUGUAAAUCAUCAUAAUACCUAAAUAAAGACAAGGUUCCAUAUCUCAAUGUAGGCAGGAUCAUCAUCCUUAUUAACCAACAAUGCAGCAUCACGGUUAACAAUGCUUUUGUUAAAUUGACAAGCAAAUUGUGACAGCAAUCUAAUAAGAAUGAUCCAAAUUAGAGAAAUGAACUAAGAUUUCUAUUCUGGCACUUCCUGGAUCCCUAGCUAAGUAUCAACAAGAUACAUGAAGAAUCAAAUGAAAGUGUAACCCUUCCAGUAUUAGAAACAUGAAAAUUUUCCAACCGAAGCCUCAAUUCAAUCACACAUCCCCACCCCCUAACUAACUUCUUUUUGCAUAAUUUAUUUCAUCUAAUCAAAUACAUUGAAAUAUUUAUUGGACAGUUUUUAUUAUAACUAAGUUUUAAUUCCCUGUAAAUAUGUUCCAAAAUCAAGUUCAAAUAUUGUGACUUAAUUUUAAUCAACAAAAUUAUGGAUGGGGUCUGGAAUUGUAAUAAAUUUUCAUUUCAACUUUUUUUCUAUAAAUAAAAUGAACACUUUAGAUGAAUAAGUUGGAUGCACCAAAUUAUCAUAAUAAUAAGAUGCACCAAAUUAUCAUAAUAAUAAAUGACUGACCCGCGUAUACAAAGAGCAUUCCGUAGGUCUCUAGAAGCUGCAACAACUUUCUGCAAAGUGCCGUUCUAAUUAAGCUUUCCAUAUUAUAUUCAAGAUGAAUUACAAUAGCACUUUCUUAAUCUCCUCUUUUCCUUAAUUUAUUUAAAACAUAGUAAAAUGGGACUUGAUGCACUUUACCUAAGAAUAAAAAUGAUAGCAUCUCAUUAUUUUUUCAAAUAUAUAAAUGGACUCAUAGCACAUAGUUCCAGGACUUGCUGUUGAAAAACAGUGUAACAAAGUUCCUGGUGAUGAAACAAAAAGUUAUUAACAAUAAUAUUCAACAAGAAAAAAUGCAAUAUUUGGUUCACAUUUUUUAUUCCACAAAGUGAGUAAACUAUUUAACAAAGCAUCACAAUGACAAUUUUCUUCCGGUGGUCAUGAUUCAAGGUGAAGAUGGCACAACCAUAUAACUCAAUUUUCUUCCGGUGGUCAUGAUUUACUAGCCAUGAACAAUUUUGCAUUUUAAAGAAAUUUACCUAUUAACAUACAUCUAGAAAAAGGAAAGGUGGUGAGCAUGAAAUGAUCAUGGAGAACGAUCCUGUCUUUGGUUAUCAAAUAAUCUAAUUCAUCAGCGACUAUGAAUUUGUUACUAUGAAGGUACAUUACUUCUUUGUUAGCAUCCAAUUAAAAAGAUAAAAACAUAACUUCCGAUAUCUAUGCAACUUGUUCACAGUCAUCAAUCCAUAACAUCACUAAGAGCAUGAAACCAGCAAGUAUAUCAUACCUCCUUAGCCCAAUUGAGUAAUUUAUCUUUCACUUUCUCCAUAGAUAAUGAUUUCCCAGGACACCCGCAUAUAUAGAGACUCUCAGCCUUCUUGUGCUCAACGCACCCCUUGCAAUUCCAAAACCAUAUCCUGCUCCUCGCGCGACACACAACCAAAGUCAAUGCAGUGGACAAGUGCAGUGCCAUCUUUGUCCUCUUCAAUUGCUCACCAUCUAAUUAUUUUUCCUACCACAAUAAAAACAAAUAAAAAUUACCACAACAAAAAAGAAGAAAGAAAGAAAAGAAACGAAUCUAAAAUCUCACCUUUGGGAUUCUACUUGGGUUUCAUAGCUGCUGGAUUAGCUUGGUUUUCGUCGGCGACAAAUCUGUUUUUCUGUAAAUGAGUGAACAUAAAUCAAUUAAUUAGGGGUAUUGAAAGAGAGGAGAGAGUGAACACUGGGAAUUAGGGGUUGCGGUGGUGCAUCAGUAGGGGGAUUUGAGAGGGGGCAAGGAAGGGUAAGAUCGCAAUGUGCGCUUGGGGUCGAUGACUGGCAUUGUGCGCAAGGUGAGAGAAUGGUGAAGAGAAAUGGGAUUAGGAUUUUGAAGGUUGAUGAAGAAAAUGAAAAUGUGAUCUAGUAACAGAGGGAAUAUGUGACAUCAAAAUCAGAAAUAAACUCAAGAAUUGAAAAGAAUGCAGAAGAAAAGAGGUAACAUACUAGGGAUUUUGAACAUGAAAGUAACAUUGUCACUAUUGUCGUCGGCCUUGAUGGUUAUGAUGUCAUCAUUACCAACCCAUGGAGAUGUUGCAGUCACAGCGAUAGUGCUCAAAGCACUCAAAUCAAAGGAGGAGCCAGACGAGGGUGAUAUGACUGGAGUCCAUGGCCUGGAGGGAGAACCCGGUGGAGGAGCAGUCAAAGUUUGCAUUAAUAUAAAAGAUCUAAUAACAUUAGUUUUUAAAUAAAACCAUUGUUUUUAGAAGUGACUCAACAUCGAAUUUUGAAAAACCGAUGUUAACAUUAUACUAGCAAUAUCGGUUAUUCCAAAAACCAAUGUUGAGUUUCUGUUAGUAACAUUGGUUUUUCAAAAACCGAUAUUAUGUUUCUUCUAGUAAUAUUUGUUUUUUAAAAUUCUGAUGUUAACAAAAUUACAAGUAGUGGCAACUGAAGAAAACAGGUAGUAGCAACUGCAAUUCGACUAUACUUCUGUCAUAGUGAAGAUCUGGAAGCAUUGUUGAAUAUGGAUGCAUUAUUUGCAACAAACAUUCCAAAAAAGGAUGCACAGUAGAAGCAGCAAGUAGCAAUCAAUUUUACCAUCACUUCUGGUUUUGGAUAGACAGUCCAUUCAUCUCUUUACAGGAUGCAAUAUUGUUAUAGUAAAUUCUACUUUGUCUGAAUAAGGUGAAAAGAUAUGCUCAUGGUCUUUAUUAUUUUUUAAGAGAUUCAAUAUUGUUAUGGUAAUUUCUAGCUAGUUAUUUUGUCACAAACACUAACUUGUCAUUUAAUUUGUCUUUGGCUCUUCGCAUAUUAUUUCUUCCUCCUCCCAUCUCUUUCUCUCUUUCUCUCUUUUGGUGGUGUAGAACCCAUGAACUAACAUAUAGUUGUAUCUGUGGUACUAGGCAGACCACCAAAACAAGCAUGAUGAAUGCUGUAGGUUGUUGUGACCACCGCAUAUUUCAGGUAUCAAGUUUAACAAUGAUGCAAUACGGAAAUUCGAUGCCUUGUAAGCGCAAGUUUUUGGCAAUUAAAGAAAAAAAGUAGAAACGACAAAACAAAAAUGAAAAUUCAUUGUGAAGAAUCGGAGGCAGUGUUGAAUAUGGAUACAAGAUUUGCACCAUUCAAACCAAAAAAGGAUGCACAAUAGAGAAGCACCAGUAGCAUUAUUUGGUUUCUAAAUUUAGGAAUAUCACUCCAAGCGUUAACUUUCACGUGUCAAGUUAACAUUAAGUGAAUGGUAGCUCUUGUACCUUCAAAUCUUUAUCAUAGAGAAUAAAAUGAAGGAACAAAGCAAAAUGGUGAAAGGAUGCUACCAAACCCUCCCUGGGAAUAUAAUCAAGUUUAUGCAUAAUCAAUUUAAGCAUCUGAGAAUAAUCAAGCAAAGGAACAACGGCAAGUAGAUAUUGUUAGAAAUGGUCUGAUCUGAACAUCCUUGAACAGAAUAGACCAUACCAGUUGCCAUUUGACUGUCACGGAUGAGUGGACGGUUUUAUGACAAUUGGGCAUUGGUGCCAAAGAACAAAAGAGAAUGGAAUUUUUGGAGUCUCACCUGUAAUUACUGAAACGAUAAUACAAUGAGUGGAGGGACUGUAAACAAUCAAACAGCUGAUAUGGAGAUUUAUGUUAAACGAGACUUAAUUAAAACAAAUGAUGGAUUGAUCAAAACCAUAACUUUCUAAUAGCUAUUGAUGAUAUGUAUUCUUUUUAACAAUUGUAUUUAAUUGUGAAUUAAAUUACUUACAUUAAUAAAUAUUUAGAAUAUAUUUUUGAUAUUUUUAAAAACAUUUUUAUUGACGUUUACAAAUUUUUAAAACAUAGUAUAAUUAAGAAAUAAUUAAAUUAAUAUAUACUAAUUAGUAUAUCAAUUAAAUAUUUUAAAGAAGUUUAGCAUAUUAUAUACUAGUUAUAAUAUUAUAUUAAAUUUUAUGCUUAAAUAUUUUUUUUAUUCUAAUAAAUAUUUAAUUUUGUAUUUACUCUUUGAUAAAUUUUUAUUUUGCAUUCAAUUUCUAAUAAAAUAAUAAUUUUAUUUUAAUCCUUAAUAAAUUAACAUAUUUUAUAUUUGUUCCUUAAUAAAUUAAAAAAAAUAGUUUAGUUCUGACUAAUAAAAAAUGAAAUAUUUUUGCAAGAGAACAAAGUUCCAUAAUUUAGCAAUGUUAAAAAAUGACAAAAAUAAAAAUAAAAUUUUUAUUUUAUUGAAGAAACACAGUAUAAAAAUGGAUUGAGUAAUUUCUAAUUUGACUCGCGGGAACACUUAGCUUUCACUGAGAAGAAGCUCCGUAGAAAGUGUGAAGAAGUUUCGGAAAGAAAGAGACGUUCACCUUUUGCUAUUUUUUAAAAUUGACUUGACUUGACUUAUAUUUCAUUUCAACAAAUUUUCUUCCACUUUUGUCAAUUGCAAACAGUGGCUUCUUCAUCUCACGCCAUGGCGAAGAAUGAUGCGUUUUUGAGCUUCCAUGGUUUAAACACCAUUGCAAUCUAUAUAGCCGUUUCUGAUAGGCUCAGCUUAGGCAAACUGGCUUCGAGGGCCAGGACCUCCAAGGAAGAAGAAGAAGAAUAGAGGAAAGUGCUUCUGUUUCAUUGUUCUGCCUAUUUUUUAUGAUGUUGAUCCAUCAGAGGUGCGAAAACAGAUUGGAUGUUUUGGGAAAGCCUUUGGGAAAGCCAGAUGGAGAGAAGCUCUCACACGUGUGGCUAAUCGAUCUGGUUGGGUUAUUGGAAAUGAGUCAGUAAUCCUCUCUCAUUUCAUGCUGAAUUUUCAUUUAUUAUCUAUAUCUGCUCUUAGUCAUAUUUCUUUUUUUUUUUUUUUAAAUCUUUUCAGGUCAUACUGUGUACACAUUCCAGAAAUGGUUCGAAAGGUAACAAUAUAUUAAAUUUGGUCCCACAUUUUCAAGUCUUCCAAAGGAUAUAAUCUGGUUAGGAUGGAAUUUCGAGUUAAGGAAUAAGCAAAGGUUUUACAUUUUGGGUUGGUUAAUGAUGUUCAGGUUGUCGGAAUUUCUCAAAUAGGAAACAUAACUAUGGGUCUUGCUUUUUAUGAAAGAAUAUAGCGUCAAUCAUAUUUUUGCUGUUUUAUUGAGGGUGUAAGCUAGUUUUGUCAAAAAUGCUAAGUAUAUUGGAAAGCUGCAACGAGAAAAUAAAAAAUGCCUAAACUGAAAACAGGGAAUGUUAUAUAUGGUUAUGUUAGCUUGGGAGAAAGCAAAGUUGGAAAAUAAGGUGUGGGUGCAAUCGUAUCAACUUCACAUAUAUGGUUAUGUUAGCUUGGGAGAAAGCAAAGUUGAGUAAUUAACUAACCUAAUAUUUCUUCACUGCCCACUUCGUUUGUAUCCAGAAACACUUGUCCCUGCUUCCUUCAACUUCUGGAAUUGCAUUGGCUUCUAGCACCAUCAUGCAUGCAAUAAGGACAUAUGAUGUGUUUGUGAGCUUCCACGGUUUAGACACACGCAACAAUUUUGCUGCUCUUCUUCUUCAAGCUCUCCAUAGGAAUGGCAUUGAUGCCUUCAACGAUAAUGUACAUGUCAUGAAAGGUGAAUUCAUUGAAUCCGAGCUGUAUAUGGCCAUUGAUGGGUCUCGCAAUUUCAUUGUGGUCUUCACAAAGAACUAUGCUUCCUCAACUUGGUGCUUGCACGAACUAGCACGGAUCUGCAUGAACAUUGAAACAUCAACAAGACGAAUUCUGCCCAUUUUUUAUGUUGUUGAUCCAUUAAAAGUGCAAAAGCAGAGUGGAUGUUAUGAGAAAGCCUUUAUGGAUUACGAAGAAAGAUUCAGAGGAGCUAAAGAGAGGGAGCAAGUAUGGAGAUGGAGAAAAGGUCUGAAACAAGUGUCACAUCUCCCUUGUUUGCAUAUCCAAAAUGAGUAAGUAGUCCUCUCUCAUUUAACAAAAGAAAUUCAUUUCUUACAUAUAUAUGCACCAAGUUAUCUACAUGUGCAUAUAUUUCCUCGCUUCUCAGUCAUGCAGUUUUCAUGAAUUUACUAUCCCUUUCUAAACUAGACUUGAGAGAUAUUGAAGAGAUAACAUGUUACACAUGUUUAAUACAAAUAGUAUUUUAUAACAGAAGAAAUACUUUUAUUAUGCAAAUAAUAUUUUAAAACAUAAAAUGUACUGUUAUUUUCUUGUCCAACACAUGUACAUUUUGUUUUGGUUUGCUAGGGUGAUGAUUUGGAAUUCUUCAUUCUCUUUAAUUUUUCAGUCUACAACAUUUACAACAGGCAGAGAUCGAAGAAAUUCUUCAAGAGAUAAUAAAUAUAUUGAAUUUCUAAUCUUCAAGUCUUCCAAAUGAUGAUCUAGUUGGGAUGAAAUCUAUUGUCAAAGAAGUAUACUUGCACAAAAUUAUUGUUUUGGUUGUCAUAGGAUACUUGUGUUAGAUAUCAUUCUUUUUCUUUUGGAUGUAAUGUUUGCCAUAGGAUGAUACAAUUUCUGAUCCUUUUUUAUGAAACUUAAACAUAGCCUGUGAAUUUAUGUCUAAUAAGCUUUUUCUUAUUUGAAUCAAUUUAUUAAUGUAUAAUAUUAUGAUCUUUAACUCUACAUGACAGCAUGAAGAGAAGUUGAAACAAAAGGAUUCUUCAUUUGAGCCAAUCUGAUAAAGUCAUCUUUGUCUCCUACUUUCAAGUAAUCUGUUUCAGAUUUUUAUCUGAACAGACUAUGCCCUGUUCUUUGACUCUUACAUUUGAGGGCUUGACUAGUAUUUUCAUGGAGACUGUUACUGGACAAAUUGCCUUCAUGUGAACAACUUCAUCAAAGACAUGUUCAGAUUCAAAACUUAGAAGCUUCUUGUUAUUUUUGUUACUCGAGAAAGGAAACCACGCAAUACUUAUUUCUCAUGCGUUCUGAGACUAUUCAGAUCGAUGUUUUUCUUUCCUUCAUGGUUUCGUUGGCAGCUCGACUAGCGUCUCUCUGACAUGCUACUGUCGCCGUCCACGCUUACUCUAACUGGUGCUUAACUCAUCCGUCACUUCACCAAAGCCUCCCCAUAUCGUCACGCGCGUGUAGGUUGCAAGAUCUACAGUAGUGUGAAGGUUUUCUCUAAUUUAUGCUCCAGUUGGGUUUCUGUGUUUGGGGUUAUGGGGUUCUUUUUUAAUUUUGAUUCGUAUGUGAUUUUUAGCUUUUGACUACCGACAUCUCUAUCACAUUCUCCUAUUCUUUGUGUUACUGAAAUCUUGACUGAAGAUGAAUAUGAUUCUUUUGUGAAGUUUCACUGUCUCUUUUUGAAAUCGUGAUAUUGAGUACAAUUUAAGGACCUGAGGGUCCAGAGGAAGUGAAAGAAAUUCUUCAGGGAUUGUUGUGUGGCAAAUUUCGGUUGAGAAAACAUGAGUUGGUGCAGGAGGAAGAGAAUAUUUUCCUUUAUCUUCAACCUAUCUCAAGCAACAUGGGUCCUUGAUUUUUUUUUCUUUAGGAUCUUCUACCUACAACUUGAAAAUAAUUUCUAAAUUUUACUGAUAUGUGCUUGCUAUAUUUCAUUUUUUUUUUUUUUUGCAUCAUUUUUUCCAUUUUAAUAACUAUUUCCUCUUGUAUCCUCAGACUCUGGUGCCAGACCACCCUCAUUCAAUGCAAAAUCAUGAGGCUUUAAUCAUUGGGUAUCUUUUACUCUAGGUAAAAAGCUUUUUACUAUUUUUACAUGUUAUAUCCAGACUGUGGAUUUGAUUACAUUUCAAUAAACAUAGCUUUGGCUCUGAACAAUCUUAACAGGACAAACUCAAAUGCAUUAAGUGUAUGUUUGGAUGAUUAAUUACAUUUAGUUACUGAAAUAUUGCAAAUUUUGAGCCUGAGUAUGGACUAGAUCCAAUGCUUCAUUUCGCUUUGGUUGGAUCUGAGCGGCAAGUCAGAAUUCAAGGUAGAGCUAGCAAUUGGCAGGACAAACUUGUGGUGACCUCAACACGUUCUGUGGAAUAGGAUGCAUUCCCAAAUGAUUAUCUUGUUGGGAUGGAAUCCCGUAUUGAAGAAUUAGAAAAGCUUUUAAUGUUCAGAUCAAUUAAUGUCGUUCGAGUUGUCGGAUUUAGUAGGAUGGGUGGAAUAGGAGAGACAACUCUUUGUAUGAAAGAAUCUAUCAUCAGUAUAAUGUUCAUUGUUUUAUUGACGUUGUGGGUAAAAUUUAUCUCAUUUUCAACACAUCAGGUGUACAAAAACAAUUGCCUUCUCAGUGCCUAAAGGAAAAAAAUGUAGAGGUUUGCAUACAAGAGCACUAAUAUUACUUGAUAAUGUUGAUCGAGUUGAACAACUAAAUUUGUUUACUGGUAAUAGAGAGACUCUAUUACGGCAAUGCCUAGGUGGAGGGAGUAGAAUCAUUGUAAUUUCUAGGGAUGAACAUAUACUGAAGACACAUGGAAUACGUAGAUGAUGUGCACCAAGUCAAGUUGUUGGAUAAAGAAGCCGUUCAGUUGUUUUGCAUAAAUGCUUUCAAAGGUUAUUAUAUUGAGACUUGAGAGUGAUUAUGAAACACUAACACGUGAAGCACUAUCACAUGCUCAAGGCCAUCUCAUUGUCUUUUGAAAUGGGAACAUAAUAUUCCGCUUCUUUUCCAUGGAGAUCUAGUCAUGGAUGAUUCAGAUCACAUGUGGCUAUUUUAUAUCACUCGACAAGAUUUCAUUGAAUUAUAUAAAUUGGGAGGGAAACGUUCUGGUGAUUUUGAAUUUAGAAUACAUGAUGAUUGAUAGAGCAGAGAUGAAACGAUUGUAAUAAGGUAUUUUAUUGAAUGUGUGAAUAAUGGAAAACUGAAUACAAACCAGAGCCAAGCUCCUCAGCAGAGAACAAACUCUCUAACUGCCUAACCACAAGGGCGAAAGCAAAAUGAAUAAUCUCCCCCAUAACUAAUUCCCACUACUCUACUUAUUGAGGGAAUAUCCUAACCGAAUGCCACCUCAGCUAUCACACUUUCUUUGUGACUCCUUUCUUAAUCCUUCUUUCAUACACGCGCCAAACUUUGGGCUCAACAUUCUUUUUGUUAACCAAUACUUCACCUUCACUACUAACAGACCCACUUCUAUCAUCACCCCCUCCUGCAACAACAGCCUUGUCCUCAAGGCUGAAAUCUGGGAAUUGACUCUUUAACAAUAAUUCCUCUUCCCAUGUGGCAUCUCCAAUAUCCAUGCCUUCCCACUGCACCAGCCAUUCCCUAGUAUGUUUUCCAGCAUCAAAUUUGUCUCUCCACGACAACAGCUUGGCAGGAACCACAUCCUUUUUCUCCAAUUCCAGGCUGGCAGGCAAGUCAUUAGACACUGUGUAGUUACCCACUGCCUUCUUAAUUUGUGAUACAUGAAAAAUAGGGUGAAUUUUUUAUGUUGCCGGCAACUUAAGCUUGUAUGCAACUGGACCAACCUUCUGAAUGAUCUGGUAAGGGCCAAAGAACCUGGGAGCGAGUUUCUGAUGAAUUCUUUGCACCACAGAUUGUUGUCUAUGAGGCCAUAAUUUGAGAAAGACCCAAUCUCCCACGUCAAACUGCACUUCCUUCCUUCUUUUAUCAGCUUGCAUCUUCAUUUGCUCUUGUGCCUUCUGUAAAUUGAAUUUCAGUUGUCUCAAUGCCUCAUCUCUAUCCCUCAAUUCUUGAGCCACCGCUUCAACUCUAGUUUCACCCUCUAAGAAGUGCACCAACACCGGUGGUUUUCUGCCAUAAACCACCUCAAAUGGUGUGAAACCAGUAGAGAUAUGAAAGGUAGUAUUGUACCACAAUUCAGCCCAUGGCAAUGGGCCCAUGACUUUGGUUGGUCAGAUAUGAAGCAACGAAGAUAAGCCUCAAGGCACCGGUUGACUACUUCCGUUUGACCAUCCGUUUGAGGAUGGUAUGCUGAAGACAUUUUGAGCACAGUCCCGAUCAGCUUGAACAAUUCCUUCCAAAAAAUGCUCACAAAUAAAGGGUCACGAUCACUGAGUAUAGACUCCGGAACGCCAUGAAGCCUCACCGCCUCUUUCACAAAAAUAGAAGCAAUGGAACGGGCUGUGAAAGGGUGCUUGAGGGGAAUGAAAUGACUGUAUUUCGAGAGGCGAUCAACUACCACCAAAAUAGCUUCAUAGUCGUUGCUCUUAGGUAAGUUAGUGAUAAAAUCCAUAGAAAUUUCACUCCAUACCAACACAGGAAUAGGCAAGGGCUGCAGCAAACCACUAGGUGUGGUGGCAGCAUAUUUUUGCCUUUGACAAGUAUCACAAGCCUUCACAAACUCCUGAACUCUCUUCAUCAUGCCCUGCCAGUACAACGUUCCAGCCAUUCGUCUAUAUGUUCUGAGGUACCCUGAAUGUCCUCCACUAGGAGAUGAAUGAAAAUCGCGCAGUAAAUCAUCAAUUAUUGGAGACUUAGCUGGAAUGACCAACCUAUUUUUGUAGAACAACACCCCACCUUUUAAAACGAAACCUGGCUUCGAUGUAGGGUCCGAUUGAAUAGCUUUAAUGAUUCCUUUGAGGACUGGAUCUUGCAUAACUUCUUGCUGCAGCUGUUUCCCUUGAGUCCAGAUCGGAAAUGACAACAUGGUCUGUAUUGUUGCCUCUUCGUGUUGCAUUGAUAACGCAUCCGCCACCUUAUUCUCCACUCCUACCUUAUAAACCACUUCAAAGUCAAAGCCCAGCAAUUUAGCCAUCCAUUCUUGCUGGUUAGCCGUCGUGAUACGUUGUUGUAGUAAGUGUUUGAGGCUCUUUUGGUCAGAGUAUACCACGAAGCGCCUACCCAACAAAUAGUGUCGCCAGUGUUGAAUAGCUAAAACUAAUGUCAUCAACUCCUUGUCAUAAGCUGAUUUGGAUAGUUUAGAGGCAGUAAAUGCUUUACUGAAGUAAGCAAUAGGGUGCUUCAUCUGCAUCAACACAGCCCCAACACCUUUACCGGAGGCAUCACAUUCAAUUUCAAAGGGCAGUUCGAAAUUGGGUAAGGUAAGCACAGGCGAUGAAGUAACAGCAGUUUUUAAUGUCUGAAAUGCUUUUUCCGCCUCUUCAUUCCACUUAAACCCUUCCUUCUUUGUCAACUCUAUCAAGGGUUUAGCUAUUUUCCCAUAAUUGGCAAUGAAUUUCCGAUAGUAUCCGGUCAAACCCAAAAAUCCACGCACCCCUUUUACACUAGUAGGAACUGGCCACUGCAAAACACUCUGCACCUUGGCCGGAUCAACCAUCACCCCUGCCUUAGAAAUGACAUGGCCUAAGUAUUCGAUCUUUUCUUGGCCAAAAGCACAUUUGUUCUUAUUCGCCACAAACUGAUGCUGUUGGAGGACUUGCAGCACCACAGCUAAAUGUUGCAAAUGAGUGUUCCAAUCACCGCUGUAUACUAAGAUGUCGUCAAAGAAUACGAGGACAAAUCUUCUCAAAUAAGGUUUAAAGAUCUCAUUCAUCACAGAUUGGAAGGUAGCUGGAGCGUUAGUCAGACCGAAUGGCAUCACCAUAAACUCAUAAUGACCUUCAUGGGUUCGAAAAGCAGUCUUAUGAAUAUCCUCCUCCUUCAUUCGAAUUUGAUGAUAACCCGAUUUCAAGUCUAACUUCGAAAAGUAUGCAGAACCAUGCAAUUCAUCAAGUAAUUCAUCAACCACAGGAAUUGGAUACUUAUCUUGUAUGGUGACCUUGUUCAAUGCGCGGUAAUCAACACACAUCCUCCAUGAAUGAUCUUUCUUCUUGACCAAAAUGACCGGACUCGAAAAAGCACUAGUGCUAUUUCGAAUUACUCCUUGUUGUAACAAAAUCUGAAUAUGUUUUUCAAUCUCAUCUUUAUGAUGAUGAGGAUACCUAUAAGGUCGAACACUCACAGGCCCAGCACCAGGUAACAACACAAUUGAAUGGCUAUUGUUCCUUGCUGGAGGCAGACCCAUUACUUCACAAAAAACACUGGAGAACUUAGUCAGCAACGCUUGAAGCGCUCUGUUUUGCACCUCACUAAGCCCAGCUUCAGCCUUGCCCUUUACUUCCAUCAAAGUAGGAGACCCUUCAUUAGCAAACACACUGGAAGUGGUCACGGCACUCUGGAAUGUGGCCAUUUUCUCCUCCAAGGGCUGACCAAUCAACUUCACCAAAUUCCCGUUGUAAUUGAACACCAUAGACAUCUCCUUCCAAUCCAUAGUGACCUUGCCAAGAUUUUCAAGCCAAACUACUCCCAAAAUUAAAUCCACACCUCCUAACUCCAAAAUAUAAGCAUCAAUGGUAGUCUCCAUUUCCCCCAAUACCAAGGAAAUUGCCGCACACUUACCCAUAGUCAAAACACGAUGAUCAUCACCUAACUUGACUCCCAAGGGCUUGGAAGGGACCAGCUGUAAACCCAAAGCUUCCACCACUUUGGGAGAUAUGAAGUUAUGUGUUGCACCACUAUCAAUUAGAACCAAGAUGUUUGCCCCUUGCAAAACACCCUCCAGCUUCAUGGUACGAACUUGUGAAGAGGUAGAAGACACACCAAACACCCCAAGUCCUUUACAUUCCAUUUCGUCAGACUCUGUGUCCUCCUCUGCCGCUGUUUCCAACACCACAAUUUCACCCUCAUCGUUGAUGGCCUCAUCAUCACCCAGAAUAAUCACUCGCAACUGCUUCGUAGCGCAUUGAUGGAGCGGAUCCCAACGUUCAUUGCAUCGAAAGCAUAAACCCUUUGAACGACGCUCAUUCAUCUCUGCUGCCGGAAGAUGACGGACACCACGGGGAUUGCGACGACCACCUUCACCGGCGUUCAGGCGAGAACCGGAGGAUGGUGCGGAUGAACGAGUCGAUCCUGUCGAUAGAGUGGACCCAGAAACAGAUCGGGAAAUUGAAUUGGAUUUCCCCAAACCACCGCCAGAUUGGGCCGGAUUAGAUGACCCGUUUCCAUCCCCUUCACGUUGGGUCCAAACCUGUUUCUGUGGGCGAGCCCAACUCGCUUGACCCGGCUUGUGGCGAGACCCGACUCCCUGACCCGACACGUCAGCGAACUCACGUUCAACAUCACGUGCCAACUGCAUCGCCAAAUAACGAUUUCGUGGUUUGAAGGUACGCACACGGGAACGAAUAUCAUGACGCAACCCUCCGAUGAAAUACCCCAGAAACUGUUGUUCCGGCAACCGUCCACACUGGGAGGAGUACAGUUCGAAUUCCGCGACGUAUUCCUCCACCGAACCGUUUUGUUUCAACUCCUUGAGUUCUUCAAACGGGUUCUCCAAACGUCCACCGCCAAAUCGAAUCAUCAUCGCCUCCGUCAGAUUCUCCCAUGUCAACUCCUCUGUUGAAUCACGCCAGAGAUUGAACCAGUGAAUAGUAGGGCCUUCCAUGCUGAGUUUGGUCAAUUGAAUACUCACCUCCUCAGAAAUUCGCUGCACUUCAAAAUACGUCUCAGCUUGGGUAAUCCACGCCACGGGAUCGUCGCCGUUGAACGACGGCAACUCAACUUUCUUGGCAGAUAAACGAAAUUCAUCCAGGGGUGAGGUAACUGAGUCACCACCCGGUGGAGGAGAAGGACGACUCGCCAUCGCACGCUGAAUCUCGGCGCCGAUGAACUCGCGUAACGAUACAAUACUGGCUUCCACGCGUUCCAAACGAUCUUCCACUGCUGUGACACGAUCAGCCAUCUUUGGGGCUCGGGGCAUCAACAACGGUAGGUCGGACCAAUUGAUAGAGCAGAGAUGAAACGAUUGUAAUAAGGUAUUUUAUUGAAUGUGUGAAUAAUGGAAAACUAAAUACAAACCAGAGCCAAGCUCCUCAGCAGAGAACAAACUCUCUAACUGCCUAACCACAAGGGCGAAAGCAAAAUGAAUAAUCUCCCCCAUAACUAAUUCCCACUACUCUACUUAUUGAGGGAAUAUCCUAACCGAAUGCCACCUCAGCUAUCACACUUUCUUUGUGACUCCUUUCUUAAUCCUUCUUUCAUACACGCGCCAAAUUUUGGGCUCAACAUUCUUUUUGUUAACCAAUACUUCACCUUCACUACUAACAGACCCACUUCUAUCAAUGAUCAAUAUUUUCAUGCUGAGGUGAAGAAAUAUUGUUAUAGUUGGGUAUAUGAACAGGAUCAACAACUAUCAAACUUAACAACAAUGCACAUACAGCGAAAAUUAGUUGCAUGCCUAUAUGUGUGUGAUGAAAAUCACAAUAUUUUCAAAAAAUAUAUUUUGACAUUAGUUAAAUUCAUAAAGGCUCUCUAAUUUUGGUGUCAUUUUAAUCAAGUAAAUCUAUUUAUGUAUUUUCUAUUUAAAAAUUGAAGUACCAUACAUGUUUUUUAAUUUAAAAACAGAAGCUCUAUAUUUUUAAGGACAGAGACUAUCAUGUCACAUCAGUUUUUAUCUUCUUUCUUUUCAAAAACCUGAUUUUUCUUCUGCUUUGGUUGGUUCAUUUUCCUGGGCACAACAUAUCUUAUACAAAAAGAGUUCCUUGCUGCUCUGCUACCUGAGCCUUGGCUGAGACGGGUCUAUUAAAUCUUGGAGGGUUCUUGCGCCAUGCAAAUAAAUCCUUAAGGACAAUGUGCCUCCACACGUCUCAUACUGUUGCUGCAUUGUUUCUGGUUUUGCAUUGCUGCAGGGUUUCUGUUAUUGCAUGUGUUGUUGUUUCUUACUGAUAUUACGUUGCUGCUUCAAAUUUGACAACGAAAAUAUGGUCUGGUCUCCACUCUUAACAACUUACAUUUAGAGGAAGGAUUACCUUAUUUUAUAUGUCGAUUACUUUAUUAAGGUAUUUUUUCUUUCGAAUUUUAAUUGUAGUUUCUCACAAUAUAUUUUCCAUUUUUGUAUUAUAUUUCUAUCACCAUCUAUAAAUGUAUGUUAACACGAUUUCUGUAGAAAAGCUCUGCCGGUGCACCUUGCAACAUGCCGUCAUGUAAAGGUGGCAAAUGUUAUAAUGAGAGGGAUAUGUAACUAUUUAGACAGAAAAUCGUUAGCAAUAAUUUCUCUUAGAAAGGUUUGUCAAAACCAUGCAAUGGGACACUAACAACUGAUCGGCCAAUUUAUGCUUUUGAAGUUUGCCCCACUCCAUGUUCUAUCUAUUUUCUAUUUUACAAAAUAUAUAAAUUCUAAGACGCAGGCUGCCACAGUGUCUUUUUAUUUAUUACUAUCUCUGUUAAAGGUUUGUAGGUUGUUAUUAGGAAGAAUCUGGCUUGGUUAAAACUGUUGCCUCCGUGUGGGUGCAAGGAGUAGUGGUUAAGAGUCAACAACAUAGUGCUGGUUAGUUCUCCUUCGUUCUUUACAAAACAAUCUCUCAACAGUUUAUAUGGAUUAUAACUGCUAUAUAUGUCUUUUUUUUCACAUUUUGAACAUCUUUCUGUGCAACUUUGUAUAUACCAGUGCGGACACAACUGAUAAAGAAAACUGAUAUCUAGAACUUUUAUUUUCCUUGAAAAGAUUUGAAGUUUCUAGCUAUAUAUAUAUAGUCCAUGCUUAUUUUUCAGGGCUCACUGAUAGAAAGGAAAGAGUUAGCUGUGAAAAGGAUUUCAAACAAAUCUGGAUAAGGGUUGGAUGAGUUCAAAUAUGAAGUGGUGUGGAUUGCAAGCUGAGACAAACACAAACAGGGUUGUUGGGACAUAGUAUGUCAGUUUCCUUUUGGUUAUGAUUCUUUGAUAUUGUUCUGUCAAGGUUAUAUUAUUUUGUUUUGAAAUUAAUAUUCAAUGGUUAAAUGCCUCCUGAGUAUGCUGCGUGCCAGCAUUUCUUCAUGAAGGAGAAGAGAUUUUAAGAGUAAAGAGAGGAUUUUCAUGCCCAGACCACUACAAUAACGUUCUAGGACAUGUAACCAAAUUGGUAUGACUAUGUUGCUAAUUUAUAUAAACAGUUAUUUCUGACCAAAUAAUUUUAACUUUUGCCAUCUUAGGCAUGGAAAUUAUGGAGAGAAGAGAGGAAGCUGAACUGUUGGAUGAAGUAUUAGGAGAACAGUGCAUGUUCUCUGAAGUCAUACGAUACAUACAAGUAGUAUUAUUAUGUGCGUGCAACAAAGACCAGAAGAUAGGUCAUACAUGUCUUCAGUGUUUUUAAAUUUUAAUGUUGAAUUAUGAUAAAUUAUUGCCAAAGCCAAAAGUUCCUGGCUUUUACAAUGAAAUAGAUGUUACACCCGAAGCAAAUUCUCUGUUAGCAAAUCCAAUAUUGUGCUCAGUUAAUGAGGUUUCCAUCAAUUUUAGAUGCAAGAUAAAAAAUGGACGGAAGAAAAUGUUAAAGAUUCACCUUCCAAUUCAGGAUAUUUGAUAAUUGAUUUGAUAUUAAAUAUUAAAGGUUCUUGUACGAGCACCUACUUUGUAUCAUCUUUUAGUUUGUAAAAAUUACAAAUGUUAUUGCUUUUAGUCUUAAGCAUGAGACUAAAACUAUAUCAUUUAUGGAAAGCUAGUUUCAUCUUAAUGUUUUUUCUGCUCGUGUUAUUUGCUCUUAAAUAUGCUGCAGAUGCUGCAUGCACUGUACUACAGGUAAUCACCUAAAAAUAGACAGUUGUUCCCAUUCAAUUUCUGCUUGGCACCUUAAUAUGUACCUCGAGCACAUUUUUCUUUGGUGAACAAACUCAGAUAUUGGGAUCUCCAUCUAACAUAAAUUUUUCAUUGGUGAAGAUCCUAAUUUAAAGCACCCAAAGAUUAGGGAAUAAAAUAGCUGAGCCUGAGGAGUAUAAAAUGAAGGAAGAAAGCAAGAUUUUUGAGAAAAAUGAAGGAGCCUGAGGAUCUAUCAUCUGGGCAUUAUGGUAACUUGGGCCUAAUCAGUUCGUGCAUUUGGGCCUAUAGAAUGACCCUACAUCAACCAUUUAUUUUAAGCUACAAACUGCCAAUAUAUCACCAUAAAUUAUACAAGCUAGCACGCAAGCAUACAAGAAGAUCUCUGGAUCAUUGUUUGAUUGGUCCAAUACAGUUAAAUUUAUGAUUAAACUGCAAUUAAACUUUAGUCGAAUUGGAUACGUAGAUUGUUCAUGAUCCAACCAGUACAUUAUAUUGAACAUCUCCCAAGUUUAAUUUCUUCAUGGUGAUAUGUAAUAAUCCAUUCACCGGAUCUCAUCACACAUUUCACAUCCUUGUCUCAGCUCUUGCAUUCUAUGGAAUGGAAACACUUUUGAUGCGAUGAUUAUUUGAAUACAAGUUCCCUCCUGCAUGAAUAAUUUUUAUAAACCUUGCAGUAUUAUAAUAAUAACUUUCAGGGUUCUAUUCGUAAUGGACCAUUAAGUGUAGUCAAAUUGAGGAAUGGCAAAACUUAGACUACAUCAAAUGUAUUACUGAUAAGAAAUGUGUAAGUAUCUUCUCUAAUUGUAGCAUCCAAGUUCUCUAAAUGUGUAAGUAUUUUCUUCCAAGAGCUUGUGUUAAUACUGAAGAUUUGAGUCUAGCUGACUUGAUUUAAUAAUAAUCUGCAACAAUCUAUAAAUUAUUAUAUUCAGUGGCAAAAAAAAUAGGAAACCUAAAAUAAGUGUACAAAAACAAAUUAUUAGCUUAAGACCCACAAGGCUUGAAGAAUGAAAAUUCUAAGAUUCUACAAUUAUUAGCUUUAUAUUUCUUCACUGCCAACAGCCGACAGUAAUUGUCCUCGCUUUCAGAUUCUGCAAUAGCAAUGACUUCUAACACCACUAUCCAAAAACAUUUAAAAUUACUUGGUUGAAACAUAUAAAAAAUACUAAAAGUAAAAAAUCUUAAAAGUUUAGGCACAAAAAUAUAAUUUAUUAUUAUUUUUUGCAAAUGUUUUAUCUUAUUUUUCUACAAAGACUAGCUAAGACCAAACACAACCAAAUUUACAUAAACUUUAAAUAUUUUUAAUAAUAAUGAUAAUAAUAUAAUUAAAUAUAAAUGAGUCUCGUCUUGAAUGCCUAAAAAUAAAAAUAAAAACGCGUUAGCAUUAAUAUCUAUUGUCUUCACUAGAAAAAACCGGGCAAUGGAAAAAACAAAGAGGAAAAAACCGAACAAUAAAAACGCGUUAGCAUUAAUAAUGUUCAUGCUAGCUUUACAACAAAGAGGAAAACUUAGUCCAACUUGACAGUUCUGCGAGCGAAUUGAAAAUUGACAUUAACUUCUAAGGGAUGUGUGGAAAAUAAAGUCUUACUAUUUAGCUUAUAAAUUGAAUUUACGAUAAAAUAUCUUUUUAACUUCUAAUAAAUAUUUAAAUUCUAUAUUUUUUUAUUUUUACUCUUUGGUAAAAGAAAAGCUUUAUUUUUUGGUGUUUUGACACUUUUUUUAGUCUUUAAUAAAUUAAUAAAUAUUAUAUUUUUUCCUAAUAAUUUUUAGUUAAAAUAUAUCUGUGAUCCUUAAUAAAUAUUUAAUUUUUUUAUUCUUUGAUAAUUUUAUAUUUACCUUGAGUAUCAAAUAAAAUAAUAAUUUUAUUUUUACUUAUUGAUAUUUUUAAAUUUCUAAUAAAUGAAUUUUAUUCGUUCUCAGAUAUUUCCUUCAUAUCUAAAUUUAAGCUACAAAAAAAAAAUUAGACUUAAAUAUAAUCAAAUAUUAAAUAGCUUUUAUAUUAUAUUUAAUAAUAAUAUUUUUAUUUUGUCUUUCAUUUAAUAAAAUUUUAUCUCUUGUAAUAACCAGGCUAAUUUUAGAAAAAAAAUUGAAUUAAAUAUUACUAAUUGAAUUUCUUCUUUCAUACAUUUGCCAGCAGUUAAGUUUACUUAUAUUUAUGUUAGGGUAAUAUAUCUUUUAUCAUUUGUUAUUAAUUUUUUUCAAAAACAUUAAUAACAAAUGAAUUUUUUUUAUCAUACAAUACAUAAAAAAUUUUGAAUUUUUAAAGUUGAAUUUUACAAUAUUCUACACGAGCAAGAAGAAUAGGAAAUCAUGGUCUUAGAAUAUUUAUCUUUCUUAAAUAGACUAAUAAUGUCAUUCCGAUAAUUAUUACUUUUGACUUUAUCUUUCUAUUCUCUGAACUUUCUUUCAUAACUUUAAUUGAUGAUAAUGAAUCUUGUAGCAUGUGCAAUGGGCCUAUGUGGCAAGUUACACAUUGAAUAAGUGACGCGGUUUAUGCGGAUCCCACAUAUGGCAAAGAGGGGAAAACUCCACUAGCUGACUUGACUUAAUAAUCUCUAUCUAUUAUACAAGCAAGGCCCGGACUAUCGGAGCUCUGUCCUUUUGCCACCUGUCCCACUUCCGAACCCUAUCAUGUUGACACCUAUCUAAUUAUAGGCCUUCUUUUAUGCUUCUUCUUUGCUCAUUGUCGUGUUUUAUGCUUCUUCUUUGCUCAUUGUCGUGUGUUGCCACCUGUCCAAUAAUAAACCCUCUUUUAUGCUUCUUUGCUCUUCAGUCCAUGUGUUGCCACCUGUCUAAUAAAAAACCCUAUUUUAUGCUUCUUUACUCAUUGCUCACUUCAGUCCACGUGUCCUGCCCCUUUGUUUAUGUUCAUCCUGGCCAUUUUUGCUUCUUCCCUUUUCCGCUUUCCAUUUUUUUGCCCGUACCUAUAGCUGUCCUGUCGGGGUUUUUUUCUCAUUUCUUCUUUUCCCAUUUCCCAAUAUUGUCAUUGUUUUGUCAUUCUCAUCCCGUACCUCCACCUCUCCUGUCCUCACUCCGUUCACUAUUUCUCUCCUUUGGGCUUGCUUUCUUAACUUUUGGUUUGUGUUGCAUUUGCUUAUUUUUUUUCCAGUUAUGUGUUCAUUGUCUGUUCACCUUUUUCGGUUUCCUUUGGACUGAAGUGCUGAAAACAUGCGUGAGCUUUGCCUGAUUCUGAUUUACAUUGCUAUUGUUUAUGUCUUUCUGUUCGUUUUGAUGCCUACAACUGUUUCUAUUUUGUUCUUUUUUUUACACGUUUGUAUGUGGUUCGUUUUGGCCUUUAUGUUCAUUUGCUUGCAUGUGUUAAAAAACAUUCACCUUUGUCUUUGUUUUUUAUGUGUAUUGCUUUGGACUCUUCAUUUUCAUUCAUGUUUAAAGCUUUACCUUUGUAGUUGGUUUUUUUUGUGUAUAUUUGCUUUGUACUGAAAAAAAAAACUUGAGCUUUGUCUCAUUUUGAUUCUCAUUUAGUUUGGUUGUAUUUGGUUGUAUAUUGCUUUGGACUGAAAACAAAUGUUGUCUCAUUUUGAUUUUCAUUUGGUUUGGUUGUAUAUUGCUUUGGACUAAAAACAAAUGUGACCUUUGUCUGAUUGUCACUCUCAUUUUCUUUAGUACUGUUUAACUUCUUCUAUAUCCAGCUCUGGAACUGUCAUUUGGUUCUUCUUUUUCCAGGUUUGUAUUUGGUUUUUGUGUUUCUGUCCAUUUUCAUUCAUGUGUAAAAAUCUUUUAUUACCUUUGUAUUUGAUUUUUUUUUAUUUCCUCUAUUUUUGUCCAUCCUUCUUUUCUGUUACCCUUUACCUUUUUGUUGGGCUUUACUGACGUGUGUUGCUAUUUUCUUCUCUUAUAUGCAAGUUUCUAUUUUCGUCCAACUUUUUUUCCCGGAUUGCUCCUGUUUGCCACUGUUUGAAAAAUAAAAAAGGUUUGCUAAUGUCUGCUGUUGUUUUGUUCUAACCACGUUUUGAGUUAUGCAUUUCUGUUUGCCGCGGUUUUUUGCAAUAACAAAAAGAUUUUCAAUGUUGGUAUUGUUCCAACUAUUUUCUCCUGUUCAAUGUGAUUCCUAUUUUCUUUGUAUUUGUCUCUCUUUUUGUCAUUCCCAGUGGUCUUUAUUAUCCGUGUUGUAGCCAUGUCUCAGAAAGAAAAUCUGAUAUCUGAGUUACACACCAGAAAAGGAACAUGGAAAAUAGUUGUCCGUAUCACUGAUCUUUGGCAAGCUCAAAAGCAAAAUAGUAAACAAAUAAUUGAGAUGGUGUUGAUGGACCAAACGGUUAUUGUUGUGUUCUUUCUGAUUGUUGUUAUUACUCAUUUGUAUUGUAUGUCAUGUCACUUCAUUUUAUGGUUUAAGUGUUUCAGGGUUCAAAAAUUGGGGCUACUCUCUGGCAAGAACUGUUCACUGAAUUACAGGACAAGUUACAGUGUGGUUCUUUGUAUUUGAUUCAAAACCUGAGGAUUGUUGACAACCAAUCUGAAUACAGAGUCACCCCAGUUCCAUAUUUUGUUUAUUUCCUAAAAACUACAUCUGUCAAGGAAAUCCACCGUCCAGAAAUUCCUUCUAAUAUUUAUCUCAUUACUCCUUUUACUGAUAUAAUCUCUGGCCUCGCACCCCGCCAUACUUUAGUGGGUCAGUUUGUUUAGUUUUUUUGUUUAACCAACAAUUUGAUAUGCAUAUUUGUUUCAGACUAACAUUUGUCUUGCCUAGCCAUCUUUGACAAGAUAUUGUUGGUGUGGUUGCUGAUCUGAUCGAUGUUAAGACAGUUAAUCCCCCUCACAGGAUGACAAUCGGGCUUAGGGAUAACAGGUAUUCAAAUCUCCCAAUUUAACACACACACACACACACACACACACACACACACACACACACACACACACACACACACAUAUAUAUAUAUAUAUAUAUAUAUAUAUAUAUAUAUAUAUAUGUUCUCACACUAACCAAAUCAGACCAUUCCAGUUUGUCCUUAUUAUUUUAUAUGAUGAUAUAUGAUGAAUAGGUUAGCAACAACUAACAUACUGAUUGUGAUUGUUUGGUCAUAGUAACUGUGACAUUCUAAUAACUGUUUGGGAGGACUAUGCUAUUCAGCUACAUGAUGCUAUUGACAAAAACCUUCUGCUUCAAGAACCAUUGGUUGUUAUGUUGACCCUAGGUAAAAUCAAGGAUGCUAUAGGUGGUUCUGGUGUUGGUUAGUCUUUAUUAUGUAGAUUUAUUCACUUUGGGUGAUAAAUAUGUAUGUUGUUGAUGAUAUUGAUGGAUAUCAUUCUAGACAAGUAUCCCCUGAGCGUGCAAAAUAUCAAAUUUGGAUCUAAAUUGUAUGUCAACGCUGACAUUACAGAGAUACACCAAUUUCGUCAAAGGUUUGUCAUUAAAUUUACAUUUUUACAGUGUUGGAAUACUACAAUGUUCAUGUUUUUCAGUUUCUUUGCAUUUUUUAUACGCUUUAAUGGUCGGAUUCUAAUUUUUUAUAUUGUCGUCCAUUCAGUUUGUCUGUCCCAUUUUAUUCUGGUGGGAUAAUCCAUGAUAAAGAUGGUUCUCAGUCCCAAUCUAGCCAGAGUAAUGUGGUAGAAAAUUUUUUGCAGAAUGCUCAGGUAGUCAGUAUAGGUGAAAUCAACAAUCUCAAACAGAUUAAUAAUUGAACAAUGCUUUCGUUAAUAUGAGCUUUACCACAUGUUUUUUUCUUCAUCUAUUAUUUACCAUGUUACAGGAUUGUUACUGCUUAACUGUUGGAACAGUUGACGAAAUCAUCAUUGAUGCUCCAUGGAGUUAUGACAGUUGUCCUAACUGUACAACCACAUUUGAUCCAUCAAAAGGUGGCCCAGCUUGUCGUUCUUGCCAUACCAGUGUGAUCGAUACAGUUCCACAGUUAGCCAUGAUCAUUUUUUGUACUAAUUAUUUACUUACACGCUUUCCUGUUUUAGCAAAUUUCCCUUAAACUUCUAUGGAUGUCAAGGUAUAAAUUAAAUUUUAGGAUGGAGCAUAAUAGGGACAAAGGAAACUUCCUUCUCUGGGAUGCAACAUGUAUCAAGCUAUUUGGUAAGACUGCUGGAGAAUGUCGAGAUGAGUUGAUAGCGGUAUGUUCUACACAAUACAAUCAUAGAUUAAAUAAUGAUUCUGUGAUUUGUCAUUGAUACCAUUUACUUCACCUGUCUAGGCUAGGGAUGAUAUUAAGGUGUUUCCAACGUGUGUUGAUGAAAUCCUGUCCAAAACUUAGGCUGUCAGAUUUAAGUUUCGUUCACAAUUACGCCAAUCAUCUGUGUUGGAUGUGAGUGAAGAACUCCAUCAUAUUCAAUCAUUGAUAGCCACCCUUGGGUUGAAGGUAAUAACUAAAUAAGUUUAUCACAAUAUAAGGUCAACAACAAUAAAUGGUGUUUCUCCUGUGUUAAUAUUUUUCAUGCAUGAACAAUCAAGUAAGGGAAAAGCAAUAGCUGUUGAGCCAGAAAGUUCACCACCAAUUUUUGUUCCCACGGUGGGUCUUUUGUUUCAAUAUUGCAUGAUGCCAAAUAUUUAGUUAUGAUAUUGUUCUUAAUAUAUAUAUUGCUAAAUGUGUUCACAGCCAUCGUUGUCACAGUCUUCUGAUUACGAUCCCGGAAACUCCACCUGUUUAACUCCAACCAAAAGGAUUAAUUGUCAGCAAACCAGUUCUAAUUUUGAUUCUGAUGAGCAUACAUAGUAUCAGUUAUCAACUAACAAACAUAUCAAAGCUAAGUAAUUAGGGCUUCCACAAUCUUGUGGAUUCGGCUUCUAUGUUUUGUUUAACAUCAAUUUGAUCGUAUUGAAUUUGCUAACUGAGUACAUAUGACAAUAUAUUUUGUGCGGUCCACCAUCAUUUUAUAGCAAAUGAUGUAUAAACAAUCUAAUAUCAAAUAUAUAUGAUAAUAUUUAAUUAAAGUUUUACUUUUCAUUGGUAUUCAUCCGUCUCAUACUCUUUACUAUCACGAAUACCAUUACAAUUAUUAAAUCAAUAACAUAUAACCAUAUCAAUUAACUAUUCAAAUUGCCAUACGAUAACAUAUAAAUCGAUUCGGUUUGCUUUGUUUGCAUGUUACUAAGUCAAGUUCUAUUGUAUGACGAACAAAAUACUUGGUUUCAUGAAAUAUCCUCCUGUCAUAUUUACUGUUUUAUUAUAUAUUCAAUAUUCAAAUGUUGGGAUAUAUCCAAAUAUUAGCUUAUGUCAUUUAAUGGUUUAAUUUUUUUUAUUCUUAUAUUCAUAUUUAUUUAUGUUUUUAUAUAUAAUUAUAUAUAACAGGGAAGGCAUAACACUUAUAGUAGUGUUUCGUUCCUUUUUCAAGUAUAUAACAGGGAAGCAAAAAUGUUAAUGCACGGUUAUACGUUUUACAAACAAUUCUUUGUUUUUUGCUUUCAUAUAUGUUGGCAUAUUACACUGGAAUCAAUAUUAUUAUAUAUUUAUGUAUGGUUUUAAAUUUUAAUUCAAUUAGUAUUAGUAUUAGUAUUAAUAUUAUUAUUAUUAUUUUAAUAAUUAUAAUGAAUAAUAAAUAAUAAAUAAUAAUAAUUAUAUUAUAAUAAUAUUUUUUAAAAAUAACUCAUGCUUAACGUAUCCCAGACUUCCAAAAUUUAUUAUUAUUCAUAUAUUAUUAUUCAUAUAUACAAUAUACAAUACACGGACAAUAAUAGCAUUAAUAUACGUCUAUUGUUCUCUGAUUUUUUUCAAUACUUAUUAUUAUUAUUAUUUUGUUACUAACCUCAUUAUCUGCAAAUGCAGUUAAUGUGUACAGCUAUAAAAACAUAUGGUAUGAUUGUUCUAUGUUUUAUAGGCGGCUAUUUUUUGGGAUGCCACGCUCAAUGCAUUUAAUGAAGCAAAUAUAAAUACACCUUUACUAGCAACACUAACUAAGCUUCAUUCGUUAGCUGAAUUCACCAACUCUAUAAACUUAUUCCCCUCAUUCGACGGCCUUUGUCAAUCCCCAUUGAUGUCGAUCAAUCAAUAUCAAUAUCAAUAUUACUGGUAUCAAAACAAUUGUUAAAAAACUUUUGUUACUUCCAAUUCAUCUGGCAAUGCACCAUUUAUUUUCCAACAUUUUGUUUCCUCCCUCAUAAAAAAUUACAUGUUUACGACUUCAAUAAGAAAGACGAUGAUCAUAAAUGUUCAGACAACAGAGAAUUUGUAAACCUAACAUUUUAGAGCAGCAAACUAUUCAUACUACACUAAACCAUUGAGUAUGAAAUUUAAUGCGUGUUUGAAUACAAAUUUUUCUAUUGUUUUAUGUUGUUCUUCUUUUGCUAUUGCAAAUACAUAUCCUUUACUCGCUCAUGCAAAUGCAAAUAACUAUAAUGUUGGUAUCAUUUUAAAGUCAACCUACUACAACAAUUUAUUUAACUUAGUUUCAACGUUUGAUUUUGGUGUUGUUUGGCAAUUAUAAGCCAGUUGUUGCAGAAAUUGAACUACUCAUGGACAAAUAUGUUGAACGAAAGAAGCGUAGGAAAACUAUUUUACAACAACGAAAAAGACAACAUUCAGCUACUAAUGGUAAUACUUAAUACAAAUUUGUAAUUUGUAAUUUGUAAUUCAUUUAUACAUUAUUAUUCUUCAUAUCAUAUUAAUAUUAUAAUAUACUUACAAAAACUAUUGUUAUAGACAACUUGCAGUGUAUCUCACAAUGUAGUCCAACCAUUAACCAUGAUAAUAACCCCGCUACAAGCUUCCAAUGUACACCACCAUCACACAGGACUUUAUCUAUAAAUGAUUCUGAACAUUGCUCAAAAAGACAUACAGUCAAUUUUUCUUCCAUCUAGAAAAAUUUGAUGUCAUCUUAUGACAAUCAAAAAAAUAGAACAACUGCUUCUACUUCCACAUGCCAAGCUAGUAAUCGUUAUUCCAAUAUGACACAGUCUCACAUUGAUAUAGGUAAUUUUUAUUGUUAUGCUAUUAUCAGAUAUAUCUACAUAUACACAUUUUAUUUAUUAUUACGUCCUUUUCAAAUUUAAUUCUGCAGUCAACUUAUAUAUAAGAUGCCAAAUUGUCUGUUUAUUAUGCAGAUAAACAUCAGACAACAACUAACACUACACAGGAUAAUUAAUUUGUCACCCAUGACAGCUCACGUUCCACCGAUAAUGAUGUAAAUAUGACACAGGAAAACAUCAAUAUAGAUAUUUAGCAACUUAUUUAACACAAUUUCAACGUUUGAUUUUAGUGUUGUUUGGCAAUUAUAAGGCAGUUGUUGCAGAAAUCAAACUACUCAUGGACAAAUAUACUGAAAGAAGGAAGCGUAGGAAAACUAUUUUACAUCAACGAAAAAGACAACGUUCAGCUACUAAUGGUAAUACUUAAUACAAAUUUGUAAUUUGUAAUUUGUAAUUCAUUUAUACAUUACUAUUUUUCAUAUCAUAUUAAUAUUAUAUUAUACUUACAAAAACUAUUGUUAUAGACAACUUGCAGUGUAUCUCACAAUGUAGUCCAACCAUUAACCAUAAUAAUAACCCCGCUACAAGCUUCCAAUGUACACCACCAUCACACAGGACUUUAUCUAUAAAUGAUUAUGGACAUUGCUCAAAAAGAUAUACAGUCAAUGUUUCUUCCAUCUAGAGAAAUUUGAUGUCAUCAUAUGACAAUCAAAAGAAUAGAACAACUGCUUCUACAUCCACAUGCCAAAUCAGUAAUCCUUAUUCCAAUAUGACACAGUCAGACAUUCAUACAUGUAAUUUUUAUUGUUAUGCUAUUAUCAAAUAUCUACAUGCACACAUUUUAUUUAUUAUUACAUCCUUUUCAUAUUUUCUUCUACAGUCAACUAUAUAUAGAAUGCCAAAUUGCCUGUUUAUUAUGCAGAUGAACAUUAGACACCAACUAACACUACACAGGAUGAUCAAUUUGUCAGCGAUGACAGCUCAGAUUCCACCAAUAAUGAUGUAAAUAUGACACAGGAAAACAUUAAUAUAGGUAUUUAUCCAUUAUUUAUAUUUAUUUAUAUUUUGUUUCUUCCAUCAUCAAAUAAAUAAAUUGAAUAUUUUCGGCUGAUGUGUGUUAUACCAUAUCAAUAUAUAUAUAUAUAUAUAUAUAUAUAUAUAUAUAUAUAUAUAUAUAUAUAUAUAUAUAUAUAUAUAUAUAUAUAUAUAUAUAUAAAAUACUCAUUAAAUGACCCAACAAUAGAUGAUCUUGAUGAUUAUGAUGAACAGACCUUUCUAUCUACCUCAUAUGCAUACCAAAAUACAGGUUUGAACUUUCAACUAUAAAAUGUAUUCAAAUGUGUUUGAUAUAUUUAAUUAUUAUUCAUACCUUAUUUAUAGGUGGUACUUACAUUGAUAUUGGAGAUCCUGUAUGGGAAUGCCCACAUUGUAAAGCUAUGAUGUGGUAUGAUGAGAGGAUAAAUAAAUACAAACAAACGAACAAACCAAGGUUUGUCUUUGUUGCAUGAACCACCCCAUCCAUUGAAUCACUUACUUUUCAAUAACCAGGAUCCUAAAACUAAGAAUUUCCAGCAAUACAUACGAACAUAUAAUCUAAUGUUUGCCUUCACAUCUCCUGGUAUCAAAUUUGACAGAUCUUAUAACACUGAAAAAGGACCUCCAACUUUCCGUAUACAUGGACAAACGCAUCAUCUUAUUGGAAGCCUCCUCCCUAUUCCUAAUAACCCACCUAAGUUUGCACAACUAUAUAUUUAUGAUACAGACAAUGAGAUCAUCAAUAGACUUUCACAAAACCCGUUAGUAUUCAUACUUAUGUCACACAUAUAAAAAUUUACAUAUUCAAAUAGAUGUUUAUACUGUUCUGGCUAAUUUUUUAUUUACAGGAUGCACGAUAUACUUGAUGAACAGAUUAUCAUUGCAAUCAAAGACAUGCUUGAUCAUCACAAUCAUUAUGCCCAAAAGUUUCGAAUGGCAAGGGACAAAUUGCAUUCUACUGCAGUUCCAGACCUAAAGAUCAAACUGAUUAGUCAAAGACAAACAGACGGAAGGUUGUAUAACUUACCAACUACCACUGAAGUUGUUGCUUUGAUUGUUGGUGAUGAACACUAAACUGAUAAAAGAGAUAUUAUAAUAGAAAAACAAUCCAGACUUCUGAAGAGAAUACAUGAACUUCAUCCUGCAUAUUUGCCUUUGCAAUAUCCACUUUUAUACCCAAAUGAAAAAGAUGAUUACAAACUAAAUAUACCUCACAAAGAUCAUGCCAAUAUACAUACUGCAAAGAGGAAACAAGUCACAUUGCACAAAUAUUUUUGUUACCGGCUACAGUCAAGAACCAACGAAGCACAGACUAUACUUCAUUCCAGAAGAUUAUUUCAGCAAUGGAUUGUUGAUGGAUAUUGUAUGAUUGAAUCUCAAAAACUAAAUUAUGUCAGACAGCAUCAACAACAACUUAGGGUUGACAAAUACAUAAAUUUAACUGGCUCUAAUGAUCAUCCUGAAACACUUGGUAAGGACAAAGGAAAGAGAAUCAUACUGCCAAGUAGUUUUGUUGGUAGUCAAAGAUAUAUGAAGCAACUGUAUUUUGAUGGCAUGACAAUUUGUGGACAUCUUGGAUUUCUAGACUUAUUCUUAACAAUGACAUGUAAUCCAACAUGGCCAGAAAUACAACGCAAGGUCACACAAUCCAAUCUGACCCCCAAUAAUUGCCCUGAUAUUAUCACACGAGUUUUCAAAAUAAAACUCAAUCAAUUGAUGGAUGACUUAAAACAUGGCAAUAUCUUUGGUAACAUUAUUGGAUGUAAGUGAUAAAAAAUUCUAUGACUUUUUUCCUACUUUCUAAAUUGAUGUUUAUAAUAUAACUGAUGCAAGUUUAUUACAGAUAUUUAUACAAUUGAGUGACAAAAAAGAGGAUUGCCACAUGCCCACAUUUUCAUCUUUCUUCACCCUUCAAACAAGUUACCAAAUCCAGAAAAUAUUAAUCAAAUCAUUUCAGCAGAAAUACCUGACAAACACACCCAGCCAUAAUUAUUUGAAAUUGUCUCAAACCAUAUGAUGCAUGGACCAUGUGGGUUUGCAAAUAAAAAAUCACCAUGUAUGGUCAAUGGAAAGUGCAUUAGAUGUUUUCCAAAAAAAUUCCAUGGAGCAACAAUUGUUGACCAGGAUGGAUUCCCAGUUUAUAGGAGAAGAAAUGAUGGACAUACAAUAAUGAAAAAUGGAAUUGAACUAGAUAACAGAUUUGUUGUACCAUACAAUCCACAACUCUUAUUAAAGUAUAAAACACACCUAAAUGUGGAAUGGUGUAAUCAAAGUACAUCCAUUAAAUAUCUGUUAAAAUACAUCAACAAAGGUUCUGACCGUAUCACAGCUGCUCCUGGAAAUCAUCACAAUAGCAAUGGUGACAACACUCAGGUUCAAGAUGAAAUUAAACAAUAUCUUGAUUAUAGGUAUCCUUCUAUUCUCACCUGAUUCAAUUAACAAAAUCAUUUAACAUAAAUUAAUUUAGUUGAUCUUAUAUAUUUAACUCAAACUUACCAACAUCUGAUUCUAUCUUCAACAAUAUAUGUAUGCUACUUUAAUCAUUAGAUAUGUAUCUCCGCCAGAAGCAUGUUGGAAAAUUUUUGCAUUCCCAAUGCAUGUGCGUUCCCCAGCAGUGGAGCGGCUAUAUUUCCACCUUGAAAAUCAACAACAUGUUUACUGGACAGAUGAUCAACAAAUAGGUGAAGUCCUAUCAAAAAACACAAUCAAAGAAUCCAUGUUCACAGCCUUGAUGCAUUCUAACAAAAUAUAUUCUUAUGGACGGGAUAUUACAUAUCAUCAAUAUAUCUCAAGAUUUGUUUAUGUCGCCCGCAAAAGAUGCUGGCAACCAAGAAAACAAGGGAAUACAAUAGGCAGACUCAUAUGGGUCCCACCUUCAGUUGGUGAACUGUUUUACCUUAGAAUGAUGCUAUUCACUGCCAAAGGUGCACAGUCUUACAGUGACAUUAGAACAAUCAAUGGUGUGGUAUAUCCUACAUUUAGGGAAGCAUGUUUUGCAAAAGGCUUUCUAGGUAGUGAUCAAGAAUUUAUUAGUGCUUUACAAGAAGCUAAUAAUUGGGGUACUGCACACUACCUAAGAAAAUUAUUUGUCAAGCUUUUAUUUAUGAACACCAUGGACAGACCAGAAUAUGUUUGGCAACAGACAUGGCAAUGGAUUGCAGAUGAUAUCACAUUCAAUCAAAGAAAACAAGGUCAUUUUAUAUAUUCGAAAUAAUUAUUGUUUACUCAUAAUCAUUAUGUUUCUUAUUUUACUAAUCACAGGUAUUCGCCUUACUGUAAAGGAAACAAUCCAUUUAUGCUUGACUGAGAUUGAGAAUAUGUUACAAGCCAACAGAAGGAGCUUGCGAGAUUUUCCAUCCAUGCCAUACCCAAUAGGAUAUGCACGCAACCAACAACAUAAUAAUCUGAUCCAUAAUGAAAUGGCAUAUGACAAAGAAAUGCUAGCAGAACAAUACAACACAUCAUACCAAUUGCUCACAGGUAUUCACAAAUUAUGACAUAUUUGAUUCAGCAACUCCUCAAUCACAAUAGUGUAUAUUACUAUUUGUUAAUAUGUGAAUAUAUAAUUACAGAUGAGCAAAAAACUAUUGUCGAUACCAUUAUGCGUGUAGUUAACACUCAAUUAGCUGCAGUUUACUUUCUCUAUGGAUAUGGUGGAACUGGCAAAAAAUUUGUUUGGACAACCUUAUCAUCUGCUAUACGCUCCAAUGGUGGAAUUGUUUAUACAGUUGCUUCGAGUGGAAUUGUUUCAUUACUCUUGCCUGGUGGUCGGACUGCACAUUCCAAAAUUUGCUAUACCAGUCCCUGCAACACAAAAUAUAACAUGCAAUAUUCAUCAAGGCAGUGACUUAGCUGAAUUAUUAAAGGUUACAAAACUAAUAGUCUGGGAUGAAACUCCAAUGUGUCACAAAUUUGCAUUUGAGGCACUAGAUAAAAGCCUUAAAGACAUCAUGCAGAACAAUCUACCUUUUGGAAGGAAAAUUAUCAUUUUUGGUGGAGAUUUUCGAUAGAUCUUGUCAAUUGUUCCAAAAGGUAAUCACUCAGACAUCGGCCAUGCAACUAUAAAUGCAUCAUACAUUUGGGAUCAUUGCCAAAUUCUUAAACUUACAAAAAACAUGAGAUUGCUAUCAAAUGCUCCCCAACAGCCCAACAAUGAGGAGCUCAAACAAUUUUCAGAUUGGCUACUUGACAUAGGAGAUGGAAAAAUUGGACAACAUAAUGACGGAUUUUCAGAAAUCACUAUUCUAGAUGAGUUUCUUAUCAAGGAUUAUGAUGAUUAUAUCCAUGCUAUUGUUGAAGUCACCUAUCCCAGCUUGAUAGAUAACUAUAGUGACACAGAUUAUUUGCAAAAAAGAGUUGUUCUUGCCUCUAAAAAGGAAAUUGUUGACAAAAUAAAUGAUUAUGUCCUAUCACUUAUACCCAAUAACGAAAAGGAGUAUUAGUAUUGCAGCGCAGAUAGUAUUGAUAAAUCAGAUGAACUGUUCAAUCCUGCUUUCGCAUUAUUGCCACCUGAAUUUCUGUAUUCAUUGCAAACAUCAGGUAUACCUAAUCAUAAAUUAAAACUGAAGGUCGGAACUCCAAUCAUGCUAAUACGAAAUCUCGACCAGACUGAUGGUCUGUGCAAUGGAACUAGGCUCAUUAUCACCAAACUUGGAUCUAAUGUGAUUGAGGCUGAAGUACUUAUUGGGCCUAAUACAGGAAAUAGGACAUACAUACCCAAAAUAAAUGUCUCCUUCUGAAUCUCUAUGGCCAUUCAAACUUAUCAGGAGGUAGUUUCCAUUCAUAGUUUCUUAUGCUAUGACUAUAAACAAGUCUCAGGGACAAUCAUUACACCACUAGGACUGUAUUUGCCACACCCAGGUUUUAGUCAUAGCCAACUAUAUGUUGCACUUUCAAGGGUUAAAAGCAAAGAUGGACUUCAUAUUCUCAUACAUGACAAUGACGGUAAUCCAAAAAAUAUUACCACUAAUGUUGUUCACAACGAAGUCUUUGCCAAUUUAUAAACAGGUAUCCUUCCAUCAUACAAUACAAUUAUGUUGUUGCAUUAAUUACACCUUUCUAUUUGUUUGUUUUAUUCACUCUAACAUAUAACACAUGUAUCAUGUAUGUUGUCGCAUUCCAAAAUUGCUAUGCUGACUUCGGGGAAUUCAAUGCAACUUUAACAAAUUUAAUUUAUAUUACAUGGUCAAUAUCAAAUUGUUUAUUUCAUCGUAAUUUAUUUAUAUAACUGCAAAUCAUACAAUUAUUUACGAAAUACACAUACAAAUCCAUAUUAUGGUUAAUUAAAUUGAAAUCCUUUUUUAUUUAAUGUGAUUUAACGAAAAUGUUUUCGAACUCCUUGGACCACCCCUGCAUAUUUUGUAUUCGUGCUUACACUCCUAUACGAUUGCUUUCUGAACUUCCACUUAGUCUACAAAUAAAUACAACUUCAAUCCUUUUUUAUUUAAUGUGAUUUAAUGAAAAUAUUUUCCAAGUCCCUAGACCAACCCUGCACAUUUUGUAUUCGUGCUUACACUCCUAUACGAUUGCCUUUUCAACUUCCACUUAGUCUACAAAUAAAUACAACUUAUCCACUGCCAAAUUAAAAUUACACCAAUGAUUCCGUAUUCCUAAUAAAUACACUGCACAAUUGUUGUUGAACCCUUACUUUUCCCAAUACGUACACACUUCCUACACGCUUUCUAUCCCUGCUUACUCUGCUAUUAGAUUGCCUUCUGAACUUCCACUUUGUCUACCAAAAAAUAUGACUUUCUCAUCCCACAUAAAACUUACACCACUGAGGCACCUUUGUAAAAAAUGCACUAAGACAAUUACUGCAGUUGUAUCUCCCUAUACUACAUCAAAUGUAAUCAUUAUCAUACAUUUGUACUCUAAAAUAAUAAUAUCGGGAGAUGUCAGCGCUGUAUACGGUUGUGACUCUUCACAACUCUUUUUUGCAUCCUUCAACAACAGAGAGUCACCAUUUAAUUUGUUAAUUAAAUCGGUCAUUAUAUCGAUAUAACACCACCGCCACUUACAACACUUCUAUACACAUAUAUCUAUCUAUACUGCACUUCCUACUCAUCUUCUUCGCAUCCUGCCAAAACAAACUACACUUCCUAUUCAUCUUCUUUGCAUCCUUAUGGCCACUUCCGCAUCCCGCUCCACUAUUGUAAUUUAUUUCCUUUGCUUCUCAUUUUCAUCUUUCUUAUAUUUGUUUGCUCUGUUCCUUUGGUUACUUAAUAUUUUCACAUUAUUCGCGUAGUUCCACGCGAUGCAAUGGACAACAUAAGAUUUACGACACCUUUCAAAGUUCAAAAGGUAACAUUUCAUAUAAACAACUAUUUUCUACUUAACUAAAUUUCCAUUUUUUUUCAACUACCUUGCUUUACUUUCUUUGCCUGCAGAACCUUCUGCAAGUUCCUUACUCUUAUCAUAGACAAUGGCUCCAGAAUUACCCAAAAUAUGUUUUAUUCCACUGUGAUGGCAAUAUACAUUUCAUCCGGGUAAGAACACAUGGUACUAAAUGCUUCUUUGUUGAUGGCUUAAAUGAUUUUAGAAAGGCACACAACCUAAACGAAAGCGUCAUUCUACGUUUCGUUGCUGCUGACAAAAAUACCACUUUCACAGUUCAUAUUGACGGACCUACACACCACCACUCCAGCCUAAAGCCCAUUAUAUAUAGAAGAAGAUACAUUUUUACAGCUGAUAUCACACAUGAUAUGCUACAAAACAACCUUCCUUUGGUACGUUAUACUACACUUUUUUAAAUCUAUGAUAAUUUGUCGUUGUUUCCUCAUCAAUUUGUUUAACCAUCCUUUGUCUUGAUCAUGCAGAUACUUCCUGCAGCAUUUUUGAAAUUUGUCUAUGGCUCAAAAAAAAGUAUUACCAUCCACCGCGGACUUCCAAAAUCCACCCAAUGGCAACUCAGCAUCCACAAUGACAUGCCAGCUAUUACAGAACCAUGGUUCAACUUGAUCCAGGACAAAAAUUUGACACCUGGAGAUGAGGUAGCUUUCUACUACCGUUUUCAUGAGCAUGCAUGGGAACUGCUCAUCAGGAAAACUAUUGAAUGGGACAACAAUGACACCGACUUUGACUUCGACGAAUGAGUACUUUUAUAUUCAUCUUUAUUUUUAAAAAGGUUGAAUAUUUUGUGGUUUUUGUUUCCUCCUAUUACCAGACAAUUUCUUGACUAUAACUGCACCGUUGCUAUUUUAAUAUUAACAAUAUUUACGUUCUCUUAAUUUUGCUCAGCCCUCUGUUUUUCUUUUGGUAUUUAUAUUGAUUUACUGAACUUUGGCUUCCAAAUUACGUUGAAGGCCAUGCCUUUUGUUGGUAUUUAUACGAAAAAAGAGAUAGCUCAAUAUUGGCUUCUAAAAGAUUUUUUUUUACAUUAUAAAUUUUUUUUUCCUCAAUUAGAUUAAAAAUUAUUUAGGAUAAGAAAAGGUUAUUCCAUAAUAUAUUGGUUUGUGUUGCAUUUGCUUCUUUUUUUUUUCCAUUUCUUCUUUUCCCAUAUUGUCAUUGUUUUGUCAUUCCCAUCCCGUACCUCUCACUCCAUUGACUAUUUCUCUCCUUUGGGCUUGCUUUGUGAACUUUUAGUUUCUAUUGCAUUUGCUUUUUUUUUUCCCGGUUGUGUAUUCAUUGUCUGUUUACCUUUUUCGGUUUCCUUUGGACUAAAGUACUGAAAACAUGCGUCAACUUUGUCUGAUUCCGUUUUGAUGCCUACUACUAUUUCUAUUAUGUUUUUUUUUCACACGUUUGUAUGUGGUUCGUUUUGGCCUUUAUACGAAAAAAGAGAUAGCUCAAUAGUGCCACCACUAAAAUUGUUCUAAAACAUUAUUUUUUAUACAUUAUUAUAAUUUUUUUUGCUGAAUUAGAUUAAAAAUUAUUUAGGAUAAGAAAAGGUUAUUUUUAAAUAAUAUUAUCCCACAAAAAAUUGUUUACAUUAUAUUAUUUAUAGAGAUUACAAAAUUAUUUAACAUAACAACAAAUUACUUUUAAGACUGAAACAUUUUUUAAAACAAAGACUAAAAGAUUAUUUUACAAAAGAACUUAUUUUUUUUAUAAGUGUAAAUUAUCUUUUAUAAUGAAAAUAUUACUUUCAUAUGCCCACUAAUUAUGCGAAUUUAGUCUCUCUUCAAAAUAAAAUACAUCUAAAAUUACAAAAUUAUUUAGCAUAACAACAAAUUACUUUUGUAGACUAAAACAUUUUUUUCAACAAACACUACAAGAUUAUUUUACAAAAAAACUUAUUUUUUUUAUGAGUGUAAAUUAUCUUUUAUAAUGAAAAUAUUACUUUCAUAUGCCCAUUAAUUAUGCAUAUUUAGACCCUCUUCACAAUAAAAUACAUCUAAAAUAAAAAUUUUCCUGCAAAACCACAAUAUUUUUAAAUUUAUUUCCUAUGUUUCUUUUGUAUAAUUUAAAUCAAUUUCAAAAUGUUUUCAACACAAUCAACUCUUCUUACAAAUUCUCUUUAUGUUAUAUACAAACAAUACCCUGACAAAUAGUAUUUAUGUCACUUACAUUAAAAUAUCAACCCGUGCAUCGCACGGGCCAGCCACUAGUAAUAAUUUAUAACAAUCUAUAAGUUAUGCUAUUCACCAGAAAAAAAGGGAAAACUAAAAUAAAGUGUGAAUAAGGGACGCGGUUUCUGUGGACCCCACAUAUGGCAACGAGGGGAAGAAGCUGUCAAGAAAAACUCAUCAUUUUCACUGUCCAUGAUUUCUUUGCAUCCAUAAACCAUUCACCUUCCUUCGAAACUUCACAGCUUUUGCAAUGGCUUCUAACAUAUGACAAGUGGGGGAAGAAGCUGCCAAGAAAAACUUCUCAUUUUCACUAUCCAUGCUUUCUUUGCAUACAUAUACCAUAUAUCUUAAGUUUAAUAAAUAAAUAAAAAUUAGGUUAAGUUUACACAUUUUUUUCUAUAAUUUUAGGAUUAGUAUAUUUUUAUCCCUAUAAUUUGAAAAUAACUUUUUUAGUUUUAUAGUUUACGUUUAAAUUCACUUUUAAUUCGUAUAGUUUAAAAAUGAUAUUUUUAAUUCUUUUUUUAUCCUUUCAAUUUGAAAGUGAUUUUUUUAAUUUUAAUAAUUUACAUUUUAAUUAUAUUUUAGUCAUUGUUAAAAAAUUAUUAAAAAAAUAAUUUUAAAUAAGUUAUAAAUUAUCAACUAUUUUUUAUUACAAAUGUGAUAAAUUAUUUAUGAAUUAAUUAAUAAUAUUUUUAUGGUUAAUUGUAAUUGAUAAUAUUACUCAUAUAUAUUUUGGUAAUAAUGACUAAAAAAUUAAAAUAUAAAAUAUAAGAACUAAAAAAAUCAUUUUCAAACUAUAGAGAAUAAAAUAAAAUAAAAAUAUAAAUCAUAAGAAAUAAAAAAGUUACACCAGAAAAAAGUUUUUCUAUUUUGAUAAUUUUAUUUCUCUCCCAAUAAAAUCAAAAUACACCUCAAACAAAUAUUCAUAUGAAAAAAAUAUAUACAUUAUUUAUUUAUUUAUUAUUUGUGAGAAUCAUAUUGAUUUUUUAUAAUUAAUAAUUUAAAAAACCGCUAAUAGUUUUAAUGUUAUGUACCAUGAAUAUCAACUGUAGUCAAAUCGAGGAAUGACAAAACUAAGAUCGCAUCAAAUGUCUUACUAAUGAGAAAUGUGUAAGUAUUUUCUCUAAUUGUAGCAUCCAAGUAGACAUGGCAAGAAAAAUCAUACCCGUGGGGAUCCGUCCGAAUCCGUUUUAACUUUAAUAGGUAAUAUUCGAGUUGACCGAGUAUGAGUUCGGGUUCGGAUUUUUCCCGAUAACCAAAAGUUGGGUACGAAUAUGUGAUUACUAGACCUGUCCCGACCCCGAACUCGAACCCGUCCCGCUACUUAAAAUCUUUAGAAUUUUUGCAUAAUUUAAUCAAAAGGCAUAGGAUUUUUAUUACUAGUUAAUUUUAUUUUAGAAUUUUUACAUAAUUUUAUAUUAUUUUCUUAACUAUUUUUGUAGACACACGCGCUAUAAUAAAUUUAUUAAUAUAUAAGUAGUUAAAAACAAAUGUUUAACAAUCAAUUUAUUUUUUCUAAAAUCAAAUUUUUAAUAUUUUUUUAUAAAAAAAUAUUUUUUUAAUUUGAAUCGUGUAUGGGACGGGAUCAGAGAUAUCUGAUACCCCAUGGGUACGGAAAUGAGACAAUAAACUUAAAUUCGUCGGAUAUCAGGUAUGACUAUGAAAUAUGUUGAAAAGUCAAAGUAAAGAAUUAAAAAGACAAUACUCAUACACAUCCUACCCCAUUGUCAUGUCUACAUCCAAAUCCACACUUAUACCUUAUUCACACGGCAGUGUGUCAUAAUUUUCUUCCAAGAGAUUGUGUCAAGAUUGUCUAGCUGACUUGACUUAAUAAUAAUAAUUUACAAUUAAAUAUAAAUUAGUCACGUCUUGAAUGCCUAAAAAAAUGCGUUAGGAUUAAUAUCAAUAGUCUUAUCAAUAGUCUUCACUAGAAAAAACCGCAUAUUUUUAUCUCUAUAAUUUGAAAAUAAUUUUUUAUCUUAUAAUUUAUAUUUAAAUUUUUUAAUACUAUAUUUAAAAGUAGUAUUUUUAUUUCUUUUUUAGUUCUUAAAAUUUGAAAAUCAUUUUUUUAUUUUUAUAAUUUGUAUUUUAAUUAUCUUUUAAUUCUUACUAAAAAUAUAAAAAUAAUUUGUUAUAAAAAAUUAAAAUAUAAAAUAUAUAAACUAAAAAAAUUACUACUAUACAAAUUAAAAUAAAAUUAAAAUUUAAAAUUAUAAAAAAAUAACUUUCAAACUAUCUAGACUAAAAUAGAAUUAAAAUAUAAAAUGUAAAAUUAUAAAAAAAAAAAAUAACUUUCAAACUAUCCGGACUAAAAUAAAAUUAAAAUAUAAAUUAAAGAAAAAAAACCUAUUUUAAAACUAUAAAGAUUAAAGGAUAAAAAAUAAAAAUAAAAUGAGUAAUUAAACAAUACAAAAAUUAAAGAAAAAUAAAGGAAAAGUGAACCGAAGAUGACAGCACAAGGUAGGUUGAAAAAUGAAAAUCCUAAGACGCAAUCGUGACAUGAGAAACUGACGAGUGAACUACAGUUAUUAACUUUAUAUAAAGCAAAUUGGAAAAAUAAAGAAAGAAUCGUUUCUUUCUACAAUUAUUAGCUUUAUAAUAUUUCUUCACUGCCCAUAGUUAUUAUCCUCGCAUUACGCUUCUGCAAUUGCAAUGGCUUCUAAGGCCAUCAUCCAAUACAGCUCUUCUUCUUCUUCUUCUCAUGCGAUCAUCACUACAUAUGAUGUGUUUGUCAGCUUCCGCGGUGAAGACACGCGCAACAACUUCACUGCUUUUCUCUUUGAUGCUCUCUUUGAAAAUGGCAUCCAUGCCUUCAAAGAUGAUACACAUCUUCAGAAAGGCGAAUCCAUAGCACCCGAGCUGCUACUGGCCAUUCAGGGGUCUCGCCUUUUCGUUGUGGUCUUCUCAAAGAACUAUGCUUCCUCAACUUGGUGCUUGCGUGAACUUGCACACAUCUGCAACUGCACUAUUGAAGCAUCCCCGAGUCGUGUUCUUCCAAUUUUCUAUGAUGUUGAUCCAUCAGAGGUGCGGAAACAGAGUGGUUAUUAUGGGAUUGCCUUUGCAGAACACGAAGAAAGAUUCAGAGAAGAUAAAGUGAAGAUGGAGGAAGUGCAGAGAUGGAGAGAAGCUCUGACACAAAUGGCCAACCUCUCUGGCUGGGAUAUCCGAAAUAAGUAAGUACAAAAUUAUAUGCAGUCAGUCAUAUUAUAUCCAUGUGCAUACAUUUCAUCAUUUCUUAGUCAAGUUGUUUUUAUCAAACUUAUUAUCGCUUUCUAAAGUAGAGUUCAUAGAAGUUGAGGACGUAACAUGCAAAUUGACUCUAAAUAUAUACAUGUUUAAUGCAAAUGGUGUUUAAAAUCUCUGAAAUUAUCUUGCCCUGUACAUCUAUACAUUAUGUUGUGGUUCUGAUAAUUUUCCAUUCAUCAUUUUCUUUAAAUUUUCAGGUCACAACCUGCAAUGAUUAAAGAAAUUGUUCAAAAAAUAAAUUAUAUAUUGGGUCCCAAAUUUCAAAAUCUUCCAAGUGGUAAUCUGGUUGGGAUGGAAUCCCGUGUUGAAGAAUUAGAAAAGUGUUUAGCAUUGGAGUCGGUCACUGACGUUCGAGUUGUCGGAAUUAGUGGAAUGGGGGGAAUAGGAAAAACGACUCUUGCCCUUGCUUUAUACGAAAAGAUUGCUUAUCAAUAUGAUGAUGUAAACAAAAUUUAUCAACAUUAUGGUUCAUUAGGUGUACAAAAACAAUUACUUGAUCAGUGUCUAAAUGAUGAAAAUCUAGAGAUUUGUAAUGUUUCUAGGGGAACAUAUUUGAUAGGGACUAGGCUACGCAAUAAACGAGGACUUAUAGUUCUUGAUAAUGUUAGUCAGGUUGAACAACUACACAUGUUUACAGGGAGUAGAGAGACUCUAUUACGUGAGUGCCUAGGUGGAGGGAGCAGGAUCAUCAUAAUUUCUAGGGAUGAACACAUAUUAAGGACACAUGGAGUAAAUCAUGUUUACAGAGUUAGGCCAUUGAAUCAAGACAAUGCUGUUCAGUUAUUUUGCAAUAAUGCUUUCAAAUGUGACUAUAUUAUGAGUGAUUAUAAAAUGUUGACACAUGAUGCACUAUGGCAUGCUCAAGGCCAUCCCUUGGCAAUUAAAGUAAUAGGCAAAUCCUUGUUUGGUCUAGAUGUUUCGCAGUGGGAAGGUACAUUGGUUAGGCUAAGUGAAAAUAAAAGUAAGAAUAUUAUGGACGUGAUACGAAUAAGUUAUGAUGCUCUGGAAGAAAAAGACAAGGAAAUAUUUUUAGAUAUUGCUUGCUUUUCCGGUCAGCAUUAUUUUGAGGAUAAUGUGAAGGAAAUCCUAAAUUUUCGUGGAUUUAAUUCUGAAAUUGGCCUCCAAAUUCUUGUUGAUAAAUCACUCAUAACCAUUAGUUACGGGAAGAUUUAUAUGCAUGACUUGUUGAGAGAUUUAGGCAAGUGUAUUGUUAGAGAAAAAUCACCUAAAGAGCCAAGAAAGUGGAGUAGACUAUGGGAUUGUGAAGAUCUCUACAAAUUUAUGUCGAGCAAUAAGGUAUAAUGAAUUUUUUAAUGUAUAAAUCUUAGGUUGCUCAAUUUUUUUUGGAAUUUGUAUAUACCUCAAAGAUCUAAUAUUUUCUUUUUUGUUUGCAAUGUUGUAGGAAGCAAAAAAUCUGGAAGCCAUAGUUGUUGAAGAUGAACCAGGGAUGUUUUCUGAAACAACAAUGAGAUUUGAUGCUCUAUCAAAAAUGAAAAAUCUUAAGUUGCUUAUACUUCCCAGGUAUUAUGAGAAGGGGCUUUCCACAAUUGAGGAGGAGAAAUUUUCAGGAAGCCUUAAUUAUCUUUCCAAUGAAUUAGGAUAUCUUAUUUGGCAUUUUUAUCCCUUUAACUUUCUACCCAAGUGUUUUCAGCCACACAAUCUUGUUGAGUUGAAUCUUUCUGGGAGUAACAUCCAACAUUUAUGGGACAGCACACAGGUAGUGUAAAUUUUUAAAUUUUUAUGUUUUUUUUAUUUUCUUUAAAUGAAUGUAUUUAUAAUUUCAAAUAAUUAAUAAUUAUGGUCCAGGUGUUGUUUUUAAUUUUGUCUCUUUCUAUUGGCCUUCAUUGCAGCCUAUACCCAAUUUGAGACGUUUGAAUGUCUCUGACUGCGAUAAUCUAAUCGAGGUGCAAGAUUUUGGUGAGGCCCUAAAUCUCGAGAGACUAGAUCUCAGUGGAUGUGGACAACUCAGUCGGUUCCAUCCAUCCAUUGGUUUUCCUAGAAAUCUUACCUAUUUGAAUUUAAGUGACUGCAAAAGUCUUGUCGAGUUACCACAUUUUGAACAGGCCCUAAAUCUUGAAAAGUUAAAUCUGGGAGGAUGUGAACUACUAAAACAGCUACCCCCAUUCAUUGGUCAUCUAAGAAAGAUUACAUUUUUAUUAGAUUUGCAAGAGUGUAAAAGUCUCACUGACUUGCCACAUUUUGUAGAGGACCUAAAUUUUGAAGAGUUAAAUCUCUAUGGAUGUGUACGCUAAGGCAGAUACAUCCAUCCAUUGGUCAUCUAAAAAAGCUUACUCAUUUAAAUUUGAAAUAUUGCAAAAGUCUCGUAAACUUGCCACAUUUUGUAGAGGACCUAAAUCUUGAAGAGUUAAAUCUCCAAGGAUGUGUACAACUAAGGCAGAUACAUCCAUCCAUUGGUCAUCUAAAAAAGCUUACUCAUUUAAAUUUGAAAUAUUGCAAAAGUCUCGUAAACUUGCCACAUUUUGUAGAGGACCUAAAUCUUGAAGAGUUAAAUCUCCAAGGAUGUGUACAACUAAGGCAGAUACAUCCAUCCAUUGGUCAUCCAAAAAAGCUUACUCAUUUAAAUUUGAAAUAUUGCAAAAGUCUCGUAAACUUGCCACAUUUUGUAGGAGACCUAAAUCUUAAAGAGUUAAAUCUCGAAGGAUGUGUACAACUAAGGCAGAUACAUCCAUCCAUUGGUCAUCUAAGAAAGCUUACUGUUUUAAAUUUGAAAGAUUGCAAAAGUCUAAUAAGCUUUCCUAGUAACAUAUUGGGACUCAGUUCUCUCACAUACCUAAGUCUUUUCGGAUGUUCAAACCUACACACUAUCGAUUUAUCAGAGGAUUCAGUUAGAUGUUUGUUGCCUUCCUAUACUAUUUUCUCAUGUAUGCGUCAACUUGAUCUAAGUUUCUGUAAUUUACUUAAAAUCCCUGAUGCUUUUGGAAAUUUGCAUUCCUUAGAAAAGCUAUGUUUAAGGGGAAACAAUUUUGAAACACUACCCAGCCUCGAGGAGCUUUCCAAACUGUUACUUUUAAACUUACAACACUGCAAGAGAUUGAAAUAUUUGCCUGAGCUCCCUUCAGCAACUGAUUGGCCUAUGAAGAAAUGGGGAACUGUUGAAGAAGAUGAAUAUGGAUUGGGAUUAAAUAUUUUCAACUGCCCAGAAUUAGUUGAUAGAGAUUGCUGCACCGACAAGUGUUUCUUUUGGAUGAUGCAAAUGGUUCAGCUCUUCACUAUUUCACUUAAUUGCCAUCCUUCCGGGGAUUCAAUGGCAUGGCGGGUUCCAUUGAUUUCAAGUAUUAUUCCAGGAAGUGAAAUACCAAGCUGGUUCGACGAACAGCAUUUGGGCAUGGGUAAUGUCAUAAACAUAGACAUAUCUCACUUUAUGCAGCUUGACAAAUAUUGGAUAGGCAUUGCGUUGAGUGUAAUCUUCGUGGUACACAAAGAAAGAAGAAUGCCCCCUCCAGACAUGGAACAAAGAAAGAAAGAACGUCCAUCUCUUUAUAUUCCGGUUCUUUUCCGUGAAGAUCUAGUCACGGAUGAAUCGGAUCACUUGUGGCUAUUCUAUUACCCUCGAUCACAUUUUGAUGUCUCUAAUUUUGAUGAGUUGAAAGUGGUAUGUAGACCCAGAGAUCUUGAUUAUCAAGAUUUGGAUGUUGAAGUGAAGAAAUAUGGGUAUUGUUGGGUAUAUGAACAUGAUCUAGAUUUAUCAAACUUAACAACGAUGCGCAAUAAAAAUUCGUCGCCUCGGAAGCGCAAAUAUUUUACAAUUGAAGAAUUGGAGACAUUGUUGAAUAUGGAUGCACAGUGGAAGCAGCAGUAGCAAGAUCAAGUUCACCUGGACUUUUGGGGUAGAUAGUCCAAUCAUCUUUUUACAAGGUACAAAUUAAACAAAUUUCACCUUGUUUGAAACUUUGGAUAAUAAGGUGAGAAGAAAUGCAUGGUUGGUGGCUAAAAAAAAAAACAGAGAAAGAAACGC